AUAAGUUUGAAAUUCUUGAAUUUGUCCAAUAAUAAUCUCUCUGGGGCUAUUCCUACAUCUUUAGAGAAACUCUCAUAUCUUGAAGAUCUAAAUCUUUCUUUCAACAAGCUAGAAGGAGAAAUUCCUAGGGGAGGGUCUUUUGGAAACUUCGCAGCUGAAUCAUUUGAGGGAAAUGAAUUAUUAUGUGGUUCACCCACUUUACAAGUCCUGCCAUGCAAAACUAGCAUCCACCAUACAUCAUGGAAAAAUUCUCUUCUCCUAGGGAUUGUCUUGCCAUUGAGUACUACAUUAUUGAUAGUAGUCAUUUGGUUGAUCCUAAGAUAUCGUAAGAGAGGAAAACAACCAUCGAAUGAUGCUAAUAUGCCACUAGUAGCAACGUGGAGAACAUUUUCAUAUCUAGAACUUUGUCGAGCAACAAACGGAUUCAGUGAAAACAAUCUAAUCGGCAGAGGAGGUUUUGGCUCUGUUUAUAAGGCAAGACUUGGGGACGGGAUGGAGGUUGCAGUGAAAGUUUUCAAUUUGCAAUGUGGAAGAGCGUUCAAGAGUUUUGCUGUUGAAUGUGAAAUGAUGAAAAGUAUCCGUCAUCGAAACCUUAUCAAAGUUAUUAGUAGUUGUUCAAAUGAAGAGUUUAAAGCGUUGGUAUUAGAAUACAAGCCUCAUGGAAGUUUGGAGAAGUAUCUGUAUUCCAGUAAUUGCAUUUUGGAUAUUUUUCAAAGAUUGAACAUAAUGAUAGAUGUUGCAUCAGCUUUGGAAUAUCUGCACUUUGGUUGUUUAGCUCCAGUAAUUCAUUGUGACUUAAAGCCCGACAAUGUAUUGUUAGAUGAUAAUCUGGUUGCUUAUUUGAGUGAUUUUGGCAUCGCGAAGCUCUUAAUUGGAGAAGAUCAGUCUAUGACUCAAACGCAAACACUUGCCACAAUAGGUUAUAUGGCACCAGGUUUGUUCAAUAUAAAUAUUUUCUAUUUCUUGUAAAUUUCCUAAUAAGUUAUUUAUGUUUCAUGAUCUUCAUUAGAUGAGGAAAUUAUUAUUAAUGAUAUAUCUUACUAUUUAACUGUUGCAAUUCAUAGAGUAUGGAAGAGAAGGACGAGUAUCCACAAAUGGAGAUGUUUAUAGCUUUGGAAUUAUGUUAAUGGAAACUUUUACCGGGAAGAAACCCACAGAUGAAAUUUUUAAUGGAGAAAUGACAUUAAAGCAUUGGGUUAAUGACUGGCUACCCAUUUCCACUAUGGAAGUUGUUGAUGCUAAUUUGCUAAGUCAGGAGGACAUACAUUUUGUUGCAAAGGAGCAAUGUGUGUCAUUUGUCUUCAAUUUGGCUAUGGCGUGCACUGUGGAAUCUCAUGAGCAGAGAAUCAAUGCAAAAGAAAUUGUAACAAAGCUCUUAAAAAUUAGAGACUCAUUACUUAGAAAUGUUGGAGGCAGACGUAUAAGUCAACCAAAUUUAAAUUGAUUCUACCCCUCCAUUGCUUGCUAUCCUUUUCAGAGACUUGAACGGUUAUCCUUCAUACCAGUUUUGUUGAUAUGUUUUGUUAUUGCUCUUGCUCAUGUUUGUUUCUCUAUUUCUUUAAUUUGCAUGCAUGUAUUUUUCGUUCUCUUUUAUGUUUUUGUUGGUUUGUAUGUAGUUUGUUUUUAGGGGUAAGGUUGAUUAUGUCCUCCCCUAAUUACACGUAUCCUUUUUAUGUUUAUUCAAUAAAGCUUCUCUAAUACUAUCAAGGUUCAUCAAAAGAAAAUUUUUAAUUAAUUUUCUUUUCUUUGACAGGUAAUGAAAUUCUAAUCUUCAUAGUGAAUAACUUCAAUAAUAGAGUGUAAGAGUGUUAGUAAUUAUGGUUGUUUUUUGAACCUGGAGUCAAGAGCAAUUUAACAGCAACAAACAAGUCUCUUGUAUUAUAGGCAAAAUUCUUUUCAUUAAUCUUAUUUGUCUACAUGUUCUCCUAUUUUCACCAUUAAUCUUCGCUCAAGGUUUCAUGCUUCCUCUUUGAUGAAGGAAAAUAUUACUUGCGAAUAUUUCAAUUUGACAUAAGAGACUGUUUUGCCAUCCAUUUGAUAAAAUGGAUAUGAGUGGAGCUUUCAAUCAUUACCUCCACCAAAAUCCUUACAACGCCACUUUUAAAUUUUAUUUUUUAAAAUACAUUCAGUUUAAUUUAUAAAAAAUAAAUCCAUUUGUUCAAAUUAAUCUUUUUCUCAUAAAUUUCAACCUAAAAAACAUAUUUCUUUUAAAUUUUUAAUUAUAAAAUACAUACAAGUUCUAAACUAUUAUAUUAUUUUCUUCUUAUUAUAUAGUUUAUAUCUCCAUAACUCUAAACUCCUAUAAUUUUUUAAAAAAUGUUUUUAAUUUAAAAAAUAUAUAUAAUAUAGAAUGGAGUGGGUAUAAAAAAAACUUAUUAAAAGAAUAAUUCAUUUAAGUAUUUAACUGAAUUUAAAUUAAAAUAAGAAAUAAAUUAAUUUAUUUUUUAUUAGUUAAGUAAUUUUCAAUUGAAAAAGAGUUGUAUGAGUAAUAUUAUUGAAAUAUGAUUAAAAUUCUUAUGAAUUAAAUAUUUUCGUAUAAAUACUAGUGAUAAUUACAGAGAAAAGACGAGGAACCAAAGAAAACUUGAAUAUAAAUACUCCAGUGUAAUUUUACAUAUGCAAAUUAUGAACUAGUGAUCUUCAGAGCAUCAUAAAAUUAUUUUGACACAAUUAUUUAUUUUGAAAAAUUGCCAACAAUGUUUAAAGUGGAUUGAAAAGAUUAUAAUACUUAUAUAAGACAUGAUAUCAUUUAAGACGGCUUAUAAAUUAUAAGAAAUAUAUUGAUCUUACAAAUAUUUAAUACGUCAAUUAGACAGGUCCAGCUACCUUCCACCCGCUGGAAGGUACAACUUAUUUUGUCCUCUAGUGUUGUGGCCAUUGGAUAUUUGAGAAGUUGAUCUAACGGUUCUUGUUCGGCAGCGUGAAAUUGAAUUUCAAUUGGCAACCAUUUCAUGAACUUUGUAAGAGAAUUAUCUACAUAAACAUUAAAAAAAGAAGGGAAAAGGACACAGAGACCCUCAACGUUUAAAUAAGGUACAUAAAACUCCCUAAUGUUUCAAAAAAGACACUCAGACCUCCAUUGCUUAACAGAAUCCGUUUCUUUUAACAGAAAUUAUAAUUUUAAAGUGCAAUUACCAUUAUACCCUUAUAGCAUAUUAAAACUAAUUGUUCAUUGUCCAAUUUAUCCCUAUAUUAUCAAUAAAAUUACGAAAAUAAAUUUGAUAAAGAUAUUUCCAUGCACAUCUAAAAAUUGAUAAAGAAAAAAAAUAACAAAAGUAAUUAGCAAGAAAUCUCCAAUAAACUGAACAAAUUAAGAACUCUGUUCAUCAAACAACCAUAAACCAAAAAAAAAAAAUUUCUCGUAAUCAUUUAUUUAUAUUCUUGCACAUACAUCACAUAUGCAUCAAACAUGCUAGAGAAGUUAAUUUAGUAAAAAAAAUGAAAAUUAAAGAGAAUUCAAUAGGCAAGAUCAGCAACCGAACGCGAGCACAAGCAGCAGCCAAAAGCGAGCACAAGCAGUAGCCAAACACGAGAUUCAACAAGCAAGAUCAGCAACCAAACGCGAGCACAAGCAGCAGCCAAACGUGAGCACAAGCAGCAGCCAAACGCAAGCAAUUCCAGCAGCCAAACGCGAGUAGUUCCAACAACCAAAUGCGAGAUUCCAGCAGUUCCAACAGCACAAGCAGUAGCCAAACGUCGAUCGCGAGCAGAUUCGGCAACCAGAUGCGGUCUCGAUUGACGCACGAGCAGUUCCAGCAACUUCCGGUAGCGUGAGCUGUUCCAGCAACUUCCGGCAGUCCCAGCAGCUUUCGGCAAGGCAAACCGUGAGUGUGUGUUAAAAGAUUUGUCUGGAAUCAAUGUGUGUGUGUGGGGUUUGUUUGUGCGUGUGAUGUGUGUGUGGGUUUUUAGUCAAUUCACUUGUUUUUAAUUUGUAAUUAUGAUAUAAACCUUGUAAUGAUUUAACGAAACGAUUUCCGAUAAGCAAUGGGGGUCUGAGUGUCUUUUUUGAAACAUUAGGGAGUUUUAUGUCCCUUAUUCAAACGUUGAGGGUCUUUGUGUCCUUUUCCCAAAAAAGAAAACCAAUUUUUCCCUUUCAUCAGCCGCCGCCGCCACCCACAACCCCUUAAUAUCAUCAUCACCAUCCCAAUCUUUAGCUGCCAUCCACAAGCUCUAACAACCACCAUGACCGCCAUCACAAUCACCACUCCUCACAACCCCUAGCCACCACUACAAACAUUUACAAACUCUAACCAUCAUUGACUCAUUGUCAGUUCACCAGCCUUAUCUUCCAUUGCCGCGGCCUACCAAUCAUUCACAACACCUAACCGUCGUCACCAACAAACUUUCGCCGCCGCUUCCUACAAGCAAGCCUCACCACCCACCGCCGCACACACACAAAGCCAUACCAACCGCCAUACUAUUGCAAUAGAGGCCACAAUGUAGACAAGAUCCAGCAGAUGAAGGAUGUUUUCCUUCUCCAGCUGACUAUUCUUUUUUAUCCUUUUUUUUGUUUUUUAAUUGUUAUAUUACUUUUAAUUAUUUUGGUUGUUAGAUUGUUUUUGUUAUUGUUGCCGGCGGCAAUGGAGUUGCAGCUCGUGAUGAUGAUGGUGAUGUUGGUGUCAUUUAAUCGAGAUGAGAGAGAUUCAGAGCUAAACAAAAAAGUGGAGGCUGUGGAUGAGUAUGAGAGCGAUCUAGAUGAAGUGAAACACUCUCUCGUUUUACGUAGAAUGGAAACAAGCAAUGAUGAGGAGGAGUAGACAGAAUUUGAGCGUCGAAUAAAUUGAAGGGUCCAGAUUCACUCUUACAUUGAAUCUGAUAGCCAAAGUGGUGCUCCAGCUGAGUAUGAUGAUGAUGAAGAGGACGAAGAGGAACAUGACAGAGAAUUAGAAGAAGAAGAUGAAGAAGGGGAUGUUUAUGAGUAUGAAGAGGAAGACGAUUUUUAUGAAGAAGUGGAAAGGAAUGACGAGGCGGUUAAAGUCAAAGAAAUAGAGGGUAAUGAUGCAAGAGGAGUACAGAGGGCGCAGUGGAAGUGAGUAAAGGGAAUUAUGAUAAUGGCAAUGGUGCUAAAACAAUGAUGCAGCGAAUGAGGGAAUAGAGGAAGGGGAGAAGGAGAGUAAUGAGCCUUUUGCACAGCAGCCGGGGCUUUUUAUAUGGGACAAUGUUGCAGGUCGACACAGGUAUUAUUUGAUUUGAGUGAUCUAUAAAUAACUGAUAGCUGUACUUUCGUUAGGCUUGUCGAUUAGUCUAGUCUCGUUUUUUGGUGCUGUCUAAUGAUUGUUUGCUGGAAUUUGUGUAGAAGGCUUUUGGCGUAGUAGGUUGAAAGGAGAGAAAGUUCUCAAGUAAAGAUCUGUGCUUUGUGGUGUCAAAAGCAGCCAUCUAGAUGGUCUAAAGCAGCCAUCUAAAUGGUCAGCAACAAUUUGUUCAAACAAGAAGAAUUUGGUAGCAGCAAAUAUGGAAUGAAGAAAAUUGAAAAAAAAAGAAGUUUGAAGAAGAAAAUGGGGAACACAAUUUUGACGAGAAAAAAAAAAUUAAUUAUUAUUUUAAUAGCCAAUUUUGGCUAUAUAAAGGGAGCUCUUCAUUUGGUUUUCUGCAUUCAAUUCCAUUGAGAGAGAAGCAUUGCCUUGCUUUAGAGUUGAGAGUAUUAAAGAGUUUAAUAAACUCUUGAGUGAUUAGUGUUAUGAGAGUUUGGGUGUAUUGGGGUUUUGGAAGUGAGCUAAAAUACUACAAUACUUGUAACUCCUUUUCACUAGUAAAAUAUUUCCUUUUGUCUUCGCCCGUGGAUGUAGGCUGAAAGCCGAACCACGUAAUUUCUGGUGUCCUCUAUUGUGCUUAUUCUUUAUUUUUCUACCAAUUUUGCUUUAGCUGCGGUCCUACUUCACCCAUCAAUUUCCUAACAGUGGUAUCAGAGCUAUUGGUUGUAUUUUUGGAGUCGGGAACUGUUCACGUAAGGGGUACUAUUCACGUAUAUGGUACUGUUCACGUAUACAAUACUGUUCACGUAUACGGUACUAUUCACGUAUACGAUACUGUUCACAUAUUUGGUACACUAACUUGUGUGCAGUAUUGAUCAACAAAAUGGCGACAAAGUAUGAAAUUGAGAAGUUUAACGGAAAUAAUUUUUCGUUGUGGAAAAUGAAGAUGAAAGCUGUAUUGAGGAAAAAUAAUUGCUUGGCAGCAAUUGGAGAAAGGCCCAUGGAGAUAACUGAUGACAAGUGGAACGAGGUAGACGGCAACGCCAUUUCUGAUCUACACUUGGCACUUGCGGAUGGAGUAUUAUCCAGUGUGGUAGAGAAAAAUAAGGCGAAGGAAAUAUGGGAUACUCUCACAAAAUUGUAUGAGGCCAAGUCACUACACAACAAAAUCUUCUUGAAGAGAAAACUCUAUAUUCUUCGAAUGGCGGAAUCUACAAUGGUGACCGACCAUAUCAACACAUUGAAGACUCUAUUUUCACAACUCACAAUGUUGGGUCAUAAUAUAGAGGAAAAUGAACGUGCAGAGCUUCUACUUCAAAGUCUACCAGAUUCGUAUGAUCAACUUAUCAUCAACCUGACGAACAACAAUCCAGUGGAGAGUCUAGUUUUCGAUGAUAUUGCAGCCUCCGUAUUAAAUGAGGAAAGCAGGCGAAAAAAUAAGGAAAAUAGACAAGCAAGUUCGCAGCAAGCAGAAGCGCUAUCGGUGACGAGAGGGAGAUCAAUGGAACGUGGCCCCAGUGGGAGUCAAAAUCUGAGUAGAUCAAAAUUCAGAAGUAAGAAGAAUGUUAAAUGCUACAAAUGUGGCAAGAAAGGGCACGUCAAGAAAGAAUGUUGGAGUAACUAGAAGAGAAAAGAGGGCAAAGAACCUGAGUCAUCAAAUGCUCAGGGUUGUGUAGCAAGCACCUCGGAUGAUGGCGAAAUUCUUUACAGCGAGGCAACAACUGUUUCAGAAGGCAAAAAACGACUUUCUGAUGUCUGGCUUAUAGACUCAGGAGCUACCUGGCACAUGACCUCUAGGAGAGAAUGGUUCCACACAUAUGAACCUAUCUCAGGAGGAUCUGUAUAUAUGGGAGAUGAUCAUGCCUUGGAGAUCGCUGGUAUUGGUACUAUCAAAAUAAAAAUGUUUGAUGGUACAAUUCGCACAAUUGGAGAGGUACGACAUGUCAAUGGCUUGAAGAAAAAUCUAUUGUCUUUGGGAUAAAUGGAUAGUCAUGGGUACAAAACUCAUGUGGAGAAUGAAAUUAUGAAGAUCGUUAAAGGCGCGCUUGUAUUGAUGAAGGCAGAAAAGAUCGGUGCUAAUCUAUUCAUGCUUAAAGGAGAAACACUACAGGAGGCUGAUGCGUGUGUCGCGUCAAAUGGAGAAGAAUCAACGAUGAUGUGGCAUCUCAAACUUGGCCACAUGUCAGAAUAAGGUUUGAAGAUUCUCUCUGAGGGAAAAUUGCUUCCGGGGCUCAAAUCGGUAAGUUUACCAUUUUGUGAGCAUUGUGUUACAAGUAAGCAACAUAGAUUAAAAUUCAGUAGAUCUAUUGCUAGAAGUAAAUGCAUUCUAGACUUGAUUCAUUCUGAUGUUUGGGAAUCACCGGAUAUAUCCAUGGGAGGUGCAAAGUACAUGGUGACUUUCAUUGAUGAUUAUUCCAGAAGAUGUUGGGUGUAUCCAAUUAAGAAAAAGUCAGAUGUAUUUAUAGUGUUUAAAGAAUACAAAGCGCGGGUGGAACUUGAAUCUGGUAAAAAGAUCAAGUGCUUGAGGACAGAUAAUGGUGGAGAGUAUACAGACGGCGAGUUUCUUGCUUUCUGUAAGCAAAAAGGUAUUCAGAGGCAGUUCACGGUAGCAUACACUCCUCAACAAAAUGGAGUGGCAGAGCGGAUGAACAGAACUCUUACAGAAAGAAUAAGAGCUAUGUUGAGGACUGCUGGUCUACCCAAUUCAUUCUGGGCAGAAGCAGCCAAAACUGCCUGUUAUAUAGUAAAUCGGUCGCCAUCUACAGCUAUUGGGUUGAAGACGGCAAUGGAGAUGUGGACUGGAAAGCCAACUGAUUAUUCCUACCUACAUGCAUUUGGAUGUCCUGUGUACGUGAUGUACAAUGCCCAAGAAAGAACAAAGCUGGAUGCAAAAUCUAGAAGAUGUAUCUUCUUGGGAUAUGCUGAUGGAGUAAAGGGGUAUCGUCUGUGGGACCCCACUGCCCACAAGAUCGUCAUCAGCAGAGAUGUUAUUUUUGUAGAAGAUCAACUGCAAAGAAAAGAUGGAGAUGACGACACUGUAAAAGAAAAGUCAAAAACUAUGCCGGUAUAUGUCGAAAAUAAUCCAGAAAAUUCAGAUUCUUCUAAAGCAGCACCAGAGCACAAGAACAAGAACCAGUCGAGUCUGAGGCUCUAGAAGUUCGUCGGUCAACUCGUGAGAGACGACCGCCGGCGUGGCACUCGGAGUAUGUCACAGAGAUCAACGUUGCAUACUGUCUUCUAACAGAGGAUGAAGAGCCUUCAACUUUUCAUGAAGCUUUAGAAAGCUCAGAUAUUGCUUUGUGGAUGACAGCAAUGCAGGAAGAAAUUGAAGCUCUACACAAGAACAAGACAUGGGAACUUGUACCACUACCACGUGGAAGAAAAGCCAUUGGAAACAAAUGGGUCUACAAGAUCAAGCGUGAUGGCAAUGACCAAGCGGAACGGUAUCGUGCAAGAUUGGUGGUGAAAGGAUAUGCUCAGAAAGAAUGUAUUGACUUCAACGAGAUAUUUUCUCCGGUGGUUCGACUCACAACAGUCAGAAUAGUCUUGGCGAUGUGUGCUACAUUUGAUCUACAUCUUGAGCAGUUAGAUGUGAAAACUGCAUUUCUUCAUGGAGAACUUGAAGAAGAAAUAUAUAUGCUCCAACCAGAAGGUUUUGCAGAAACAGGAAAGGAGAACUUGGUUUGCAGGUUGAACAAAUCUUUAUACGGUCUCAAACAGGCGCCGAGGUGUUGGUAUAAGAGAUUUGAUUCCUUCAUCAUGAGCCUUGGAUACAACAGACUCAGUUCAGACCAUUGUACAUAUUACAAGAGGUUUGAAGAUAAUGAUUUCAUUAUUUUGCUGUUGUAUGUGGAUGACAUGUUGGUAGCAGGUCCCAACAAAGAUCGAAUCCAAGAAUUGAAGGCACAUUUAGCUAGGGAGUUUGAAAUGAAGGACUUGGGACCAGCAAAAAGAUUCUAGGGAUGCAAAUUCACCGAGACAGAAAUAACAGGAAAAUUUGGCUUUCGCAGAAGAAUUACUUGAAGAAAAUCUUGCGACGCUUCAACAUGCAAGAUUGUAAGUCAAUUUCUACCCCACUUCCUGUUAAUUUCAAAUUAUCCUCAAGUAUGUGUCCUAGUAAUGAAGUAGAGAGGAAGGAGAUGUCUCGAGUACCGUAUGCAUCAGCAGUGGGAAGUUUAAUGUUCGCUAUGAUAUGUACAAGACCAGACAUUGCACAAGCAGUGGGAGCAGUCAGUCGAUACAUGGCGAAUCCUGGUGGAGAGCAUUGGAUAGCUGUGAAGAGGAUUCUGAGAUACAUUAGAGGAACCUCAGGUGUUGCAUUAUGUUAUGGAGGAUCAGAGUUUACUGUCAGGGGCUAUGUAGAUUCAGAUUUUGCAGGAGACCUUGAUAAAAGGAAAUCCACUACUGGUUAUGUGUUUACACUUGCGAGAGCAGCUGUAAGCUGGGUUUCAAAACUGCAGACCGUUGUGGCUUUAUCUACAACAGAAGCAGAGUACAUGGCAUCUACACAAGCUUGCAAGGAAGCUAUUUGGAUACAAAGGUUAUUGGAGGAGCUCGGGCACAAACAAGAGAAAAUUUCUGUGUUUUGUGACAGUCAGAGUGCUUUGCACAUUGCAAGGAAUCCAGCCUUUCAUUCCAGGACAAAGCACAUAGGAGUUCAGUAUCACUUCGUUCGAGAAGUAGUGGAAGAUAGAAGUGUGGAUUUACAGAAAAUCUAUACCAAAGAGAACUUAGCAGAUGUUUUGACCAAGCCGAUAAAUACUGAUAAGUUUGUCUGGAGUAGAUCCUCUUGUGGCCUAGCAGAAACGUAGGCAACAUGAUUAUGGCGAAGCAGAAAGGAUGGUGUGGAGAUUGAUUGAUUCUCAAUCUAAUCUCCAAGUGGGAGAAAUGUCAAAAGCAGCCAUCUAGAUGGUCUAAAGCAGCCAUCUAGAUGGUCAGCAACAAUUUGUUCAAACAAGAAGAAUUUGGCAGCAGCAAAUAUGGAAUGAAGAAAAUUGAAAAAAAAAGAAGUUUGAAGAAGAAAAUGGGGAACACAAUUUUGACGAGAAAAGAAAAAUUAAUUAUUAUUUUAAUAGCCAAUUUUGGCUAUAUAAAGGGAGCUCUUCAUUUGGUUUUCUGCAUUCAAUUCCAUUGAGAGAGAAGCAUUGCCUUCCUUUAGAGUUGAGAGAAUUAAAGAGUUUAAUAAACUCUUGAGUGAUUAGUGUUAUGAGAGUUUGGGUGUAUUGGGGUUUUGGAAGUGAGCUAAAAUACUACAAUACUUGUAACUCCUUUUCACUAGUAAAAUAUUUCCUUCUGUCUUCGCCCGUGGAUGUAGGCUGAAAGCCGAACCACGUAAUUUCUGGUGUCCUCUAUUGUGCUUGUUCUUUAUUUUUCUACCAAUUUUGCUUUAGCUGCGGUCCUACUUCACCCACCAAUUUCCUAACAUGUGGAAUAUAAUUAAUAGGGACAAAGUAUACUAAAUUACUUGAUAGAUAGAUGCCGAGCUAAUCAUGAGCUAUGAUAGCAUUAUUCGUGCUUUGUGUAUUUUUAUUAGGGCUUGUCUAUUUCAAAGUGUGGAGUAUAGAAUUUUUGGGUUAAGUUUGAGUGAUGAAGUGUUAGAUAGGUUUCUGUUUUGCAUAGUUAAGCCGUCAAUACGAGCUAUCGAAACAGAUAUGGAGCAGGAUAUCUAGUUUUGGGUUUGGUCUUAGUUUGAAGAUGGCUACUGAUUAUGCAGCUAGGUACGUAUUCGUGUUUGUGGAUUUCUAAAUGCUUUCUGUCAAAUGUGACUAGAUUAUUACUAAAAGUGCAUGGAUCUUACACUUAAUUAAUUAUAUAUCCAUUUGUAAUGUUCAAAAUGAUAAUGUACUUUUGCUUGAAAUUAUGCUUUCAAGACAUCAUUUUGAAAAUCCAUGGUUAUAAUGUGUCUCUAAAUUCAGUAAUACAAGUUCUGUCAAUUGCUGUUGGAUGCAGUGACCUGAAUAGUUUAAUAUUCAUUUGCAGAAAGGAGUUGAGAAAGAAAACUAAAAAUUUCUGUGCGUGCUGCUGGAAAUUUAAAUAGCUUCAUUUGAGCAUUAAUUGCCGGCAUGAUCUCUUAGACUUCUCUUGCAUUGAAUGAAUGGAUGAGUGCUAAUCCAUGCAAAGACUUCCAUGCAUGCACAAUGAAUGCUACAUCAAAGGUAUGGUAAAAUGUCAGCAAGCUUGGCCCAAAUUAUCAAGCUGGUUUGGUGGCUGCUAGAUUUGUUCAUCCGGAUUUUGGACCAUUUUCCUUGACAAUGAGAAAAGCUCCAAGAUCUGUAAAUCGAAAACUCAUUGAAAUGCCAAAAGAGAGAUGGAAGUGAAUAAGUAGAGUGUUAGUGAAAAGAGGGUGUAGUGAUUGUGUGGGAAGCUUUGGGUAUAACUGGGGUUUGGAUGUGAGAUAAAAUAUUUUGAGAGUGAAGUUGUAACAAUUUUGUACGUAGAUAAAUUUUUUGUCUCGUUGUCCUUGGCAACUGUGGUUUUUUAUUUGGGUAAUAGAGUUUUUCAGGUAACUCUUUUGUUGUGUGAUCCGAGUAUUCUCUGUUGUAUUUCUUUUAUUUGUUAUUUAUUUGACGUAUUGCUAGCAGAGAUCUUGGGUGGGAAUAAAAAAUUCCCAACAAUUGUCAGUUGUUUUAAACUCUAUUCCGAACAGAGCAUGAAGGGAUUCACUUAUCUAAUUAUGUCAUUUAUGCUUUAACUUCACUUCAUUUCAUCUUGUCCGUCACCUUUACUAAAGUUGUGUAUGUUGGAGUAUUAGGUUCAUCACAAGGAUCAUAUUAUGGCUAAGGAAGGAGCACAGUUUAUUAGCUACACUCAAGUGUAGCAGAGUAUUUGGAUUCAAGACUGUUAUAAGGUUGUUACAGAUGCAAUGCUGUUGCUGUGCAACUGUAUGCCAUGCUCGCAAGUGCGCUGUAACAGAUUGCUCAGCAGGCACCGGAUAUUUUAAGCUAAUUUUGGUAAUUAGUCUAGAGUGUUCUGAUUUAUUCUAUAAAUAGCUCAUUUGAGCGUAGAUAUCGUACAUUUCUGUUACUUCUAAUAAAGAAAUUCUUUAUUCCUUUUUCUUUCACUUUCUCUUUCAUUUUCAUGAUCCCCAAACACCAUCAAACAUAGAAUUGCUGUUUUAAUUCCCUCCUCUUGUCGAUAGAUGUUUGCCGAAUUUUUUCAUUUAAAAAAUAUUAUAUUGGUUAAUAGAAUUUGAAGUUUUACAAAAUAUAAGUUUAAUUUAAAAAAUAUAUAUUUGUUAAUUUAAAUUUUUUAUUUGGUGGUUGUGUUUGAGAAAAUUUUAGGUAUACUUGGAUAUACUCUCUUAUUAUUCAUUGAAUUUGGGCAUUUAAACAUACUAGUAUGCAAUAUUUUUAAGUAAUUACCAGAGAAGUAUACAUGAGAAAAAUAUAACACGUGAAACAAUACACAAUGAAAUUAUCUACAAUUUUCCAUUGACUUAGUCAACUCUUCAUUAAUUUCAUUGACUUGAUCAACUCAUGAUCUAACUUGACAACUUGAAAAUUAAAUUAUGCUAGUAAUUCUGUAAAAUAUGCUAGUAAUUCCGUAAAAUUAAAAUUUAUCUCCCAAAAUUGAUAAAUACUGUGUCACUUUGUCAAAUUACUUAGGGUAAAAGCUCUGUGGCUAAAAACUUUUAACAUUAGUUGUAUGCUAAUUGAGAAGGACAAGACACGAAAGAAUUCAAUGAAUGCCACAUCAUGUAACACUAAUACUAACACUACUUACUCUUAACAAAUUCUUACAAACGUGAUUCAUGAAAUUAACUUGACUUUUUGUCUAAAAAAGGCCUAAAGAAACAUGCCAAGCAACAAAUAAAGUAGUCCAAACGUGAUUCAUGAAACUUGAUAGGCACUAUCUAAAUAGUAUUAAUAUGGCAACCAAAAACAUGCGCGCAAAGUAGACUUUCUUGGACGAUCCAUGCCAAUCAGCAUAUAAAGUAGUCCAAACGUGAUUCGUGAAACUUGACUUCUUGUCUAAAAAGGCCUAAAGAAACAAGACCAAAAUUUCCAUGCAAUAGCAAUAUGGUGGCCACAAUGCACUUUUUAAGCCAUUUUUCAAAACUAAGUUUCUUCGUAUCACAUGCACUAUUCAAGCAAUUUUUCAACAUUUUCUCCUUCCCCUAAAAGCUACAUGCAUGAAUCAUGUCCCAAUCAAUUUCUUGGCAAAAAUUGGAACGCAAGAACCGAUUGGAGCAUAAGGACAAUGUCGCGAUUCAAGAUUCUCAGCAAGACCACGUCACAAUGCAUCACUUUUGGAAAGUAAUUUAGCAAUUUCCAAUGCCUUAGCUGAUUAAUGGCUUGACCAUGUGACGAUUGGUCCACCUUAUGCACAUGGCAAGAUCAAAGAAAAUAUCACAGCUAGCUCGACGACUACUAGCCAAAAUAACAAGACAAUGACGGCCAGUUACAAACUCUAUACGAAGGAAAUACCGAAAUAUGAAUAUCCCUCCUAAUCACUUUCUUAUAUUAUCAUUAUUUUGUACAUGUAACAGAACACGUUCUCUCUUGUAAUGAAGUCAAGAAAACGGUUUUAGUUUUUAUAUCAAUAAUGGAAUCCAAAAUCUUUCACAGCUUGCUUCUCCUUUGGACGCUUGAAAGACUUUCUUACCUGGCUAAAACUGUGAAAAUUGUUCAAACUAAUUUGAUUGAUAACUUUCUGACACUAUAUUGUAUAUGAAGGCUGCAUUUAAAUGUGAAAUAAAAAUGAGUGCUUAUAUUAAAAAACAAUCAGUCUCAUUGCGUCCUCUUUCAUUGACAUAGGCAAUUUUGCGGUCAACUCGAGGAGUUGUUUGAUUUUAUGUUUCAAAUUAAGUACCAUAGCAUUACUACUUCUAUAAAUAACUCAUUUGAGCUUCGAGCUUGUUAUUUGUAUUUUACGUUUCUGUUUCUCUUCAUAAAGAUUUUUUUUUUUCAUUCUCUUUUUCUUCCACUUUCCCGACUCCCAAACACCACCAGUCUUUGAUUUUCCUAGAGUAUUAACUGUCUGUUUACACGAACAUAGACCGACUGUUUGUCUAAUUACUGACAAGAAACAGCAUACUCUGUCUCGGGGUCUCAUCGUUUAUUGACAUGUCACUUGUGAACGGGCUAAUUAAAGGGCGUUCCUUCCUUCAAGAAAGAAUGCCAAGAAAGUACCAUCCAUUAGACACGUUAAGAAUUAUUUAACAUUAAAAAUGAUAAUAAUCAUAAUAAUCGGUUUAGUGUUACCCCGUUAUUAGGUAAUGACUGUCCGAUUGUCUUCGCUUUCAUUGACUUCGCAACUGUGAAUUCUAAGCCGGGUUAAGGAUUGACAAAAUGUUAUAACCCAUAAACACUACAACAAACAGUUAUAUCACCGACGAAAUAUUUCCGAGGGCGUAAAAUACCUUUGAUAAUAAGUACUUUUUUCUAAGGUGUAAGAUGGCCGUCGGAUAAGGAUGAAAAUAUGAUCAAUAUUUCCGAGGGCAAUUUGCCCUUGGUGAUAAUGAAUACUUCGUCGAAAAUGCCUGCUAGACUUAACUAGAAGCACCCCAGAAUUUACACACUUCGGGCCCGGCCUUUGGAGUAGAGUACUAAAACCACAAGCCCGCAGCCAUAACUUCCACUAAUUGUUUUUUUUAAGAGUAGCGUACUUGGAAAUUUUUUUUCUUGUAAAUUUAAUUACUCUUGGUAAAAUUAAAAACCUAAAAGAAUGAAAUACAAAUAAAAAGCUAAGAAAAUACAGAAGAAACGAAAAAAUAAACAAAAGGAAAAAAAUUAAAACAGAAGGGAAAGUUCAAAAGAAAACGAAAAAGAACAAAGUUAAAGAGAACGAAUAAGAAAGAAAAAGAAGGGGAAAGUUCUUCAAUCAUUGCAGCGCAAGCACUCACAUCUCUCACUUUUCAAUUUCUCAUUGUCUAUUGCUCGCCCAAUCGCUUUGGUAAUUAUUUCACUGUUGCUUUCUCUAUUUGCGCUAGAUUUCAUCUUUUUUUUUUCCUUCAAUUAACUUAGGGUUAGGUUAUAGUUUCCAUCAUUGAUGAUGAGUCUGAAGGCUAAUUAUUUCUCUUAAGUUUGUAAUUGUUACCAUCUCUUGCAUAAUCGCUCACUCUAUGCUUCUAAUUUUGUUUUUAAUUUGUUUUUGCUGCUUCCGAUUUUGUUUUAGGCCAAAUGGUAGCUUCCUAUAAGUUCGGUGAAGCUAUUGCAUUUUUUUUUUUUUAAUUUUUAUUUUGGAGCCCUUACUUGUGAUGCUAAUUAUUUAGAAUUCAUUGUUUGUUAUCUGAUUUGGAUUAAUUUUAAUGAUCUUUUUGCUGGAUUUCAUUAAUUUUUUUUUCCAUUUUUAAUGUUAUGUGAUGCUAAGUAUGGACUCUAAAGGAUGUUGAUAUUUUUUAAUUUUGAGGAGUUGUAGGGAGAUGAAGUGAAAUAAACAUUUAGGGGGUCAUGUGUAUAUAGAAUUGUUUGAUAGAGCUAACAUGACUAAAAAAUGUAAGUUAAUGCUAUACUAAAGCGAUGGUUAACUUUGUACUUUGAAUUUUGCAGCAUGAAUUUAGUAUAUUGGUAUUUUCAUUUUAUGUGUACUAAAAAACUAAAAAGGAAGAUAAAAAUAGAUGAGUUACCAGGGAGAUAAAAUUCAAUCUGCGGUGAACUAGUUGUAUUUCUUUUUCUCCUUUUUUUUUUUUUUUGCCCCACUUUCUAUGCAUCCUCAUUUUAAAUAGUUAGUAUUGCUGGUAUUGGUUUUAUCAUAAUCAUAACUUGUGAGAUGAAUUUUGUGCUUAAUUUUUUUUUUGUUUUGUUGAAAGGGUGUAUAAAAUUUAAUAGUAAUAUCAAGAACAAGUUUCUUAAGCUUUGAACUGAAUAUAUAUUAAGCUUUUAAACUUUUCCUGGCUUGCUGCAAUGAUUUCUUUUCUAAGCUUUUCCUUCCUUGUUAAAGCACUUAUUCACAUGUUUCAGGCUUUGAUUGUUGUACUACUAUAUGAAGUAGCUCUAUGCUUUGUAGGGGAUGCCUUCUUGAUGAUAUUCUGCAGGUUAGAAUCUGAUUCUCUAAAAAUUCUUAUACAUGUAGAGAACAGGAGCUUAAAGAUGUCGUAGAACUUCAUGUAAAAAUUCGUUUUUCAGAUUGGAUGUCAGAGCUGAGGAGGGGAAUUUUUAAGAAGUAUCCAACUGUUGGAGAGCAUUAUGCACAUGCUCCUGAGAAUGUGCCUCCAAGAAUAUUGAGACAAAUGGUUGACAAAUGGAUGGAUGAGGGGUGGAAGGUACCAAUAAUGACUAUUAGCAUAAUAUUUUUCUGUCCUUUUCUUUCCUAAGCUUUGCUGUUAUUUUAAUUCAUCAGUGAAUUAUAGUUGCUAGAAUCAUUAUAGAAAUAGGAACUGAUAAAUCUUAUCCAUGUGCUUUGUACAUGAGUUGUUCUUGGCGGGUUUAGAAUAACCAAGUUGAUUUUAUGUUUUUUUUUAACUUAUAUAUAGAAAACAAGCACAACAAACAAGAGGAACCGAACCAAGUCCAAACUUAUUCACACUAUAUAUUCCUAUAUUUAUUUUUUUUUUGGCAUGAUUUCAUUACUAUAUGCACUCAGACAAAUGUAUGUAUUUAUUAUAGGAAACAAUGGAAUCAAUAUGAUCAACUGUUAUAGAUCAAGGCUUGUCAGUUGAUGAAUGGAAAAUAUUUCGAGAAGUAACAGGAGAACCAGCACAUGGUCGUGUUGUUGGUUGGAGAGCCGGCAUCAAAGGCAAGGAUGUGUAUGGUUCUCCAGGUCAAGGAGGUAACAAGCAUCAAUGUACUAAUUUGGAAGUGAAAGUAAAAGACUUAGAGAAGAAGUCAAGAAGUUGAAAAGACUGAUAAAGCUCGUUCUUGGAAAAUCCGCACAAGAAUCAUCUCAAAAGGUAUAGGUUGUUUAUUUCAUUUUAUUAAUAGAUUAAGUGAAUGAGUAUGUUCUAUGUUUUGAGUUCUCAUGGAAAAUGAUUGGUGACUUGUCAUUGCUCUGUUAGUUAAUGAACUGAAGUGAUUAUGGACAAGCUUAUAAUAUAGGUGGAUGAUUGAAUAAUUAUUAGAUUUUUUUUUUUUGAAACAGAGACUGCAUUUAUAUAGAGUUUUUUUUUAUUGCACAAUUUUUCUCAUUAGUCUCAGCUUCUUUAUUAUAUUUUAUACCAGUUUUUGUUUUGGUAAUAAUAGUGCUUAAAAUUUUUUCUUUUACCUAGGAUAUUGUUUUGACGGAAGAAGAUGACAGGUAUGAGGAUGAUGAAGUUGAGCCAAACGAUUUAGAAAUUGAAGAAGUUGCUUUAGAGGAUGAUUGAACACAUUCAAGAUAUGAUGAUAUCAUUUUGUAUAUACAUUUGGUAUUUUUUUGCAUAAAAGAUACGAUAAAAUUGAAUUUUUUGUUGUAUUCUUGAAUGAUGAAUGUGAUUUUAUGAAUUUUUAAAAUUAAUGAAGUUACAUUUAGUAAUUUCGAAUAUUAUUAUUACUUUUGUUACAUCACUUCUCUAAUAUAGAUAUUUCAACAAUAAAAAUAAAAAAAUUAAUGAAAUAUUAUUAUUAAAUAAAAUAAAGGGGGCCAUUAAACAACAAAAUAAGUUUAUUUUCGACGGUAUAUCUUUUAUUUCCGAGGGCAAGUUGCAGAUGAAAAUAAAAAUAACCAGGUUUAUUUAUCUUUUUUCCGAGGGCAUUUAAUUCCAUUUCCGACGGCAAUGCGCUCGGAAAUAAUUUUUUUCUCUGACGACUCGUCGGAAAUUCGACAUUUCCGAUAAGACUUAAUACGGCGACGGUCGACGGCAUACCACGCUCGAAAAUGAGUUUUUCUAAGGGUUUUUGUGUAUUUCCGACUCCGAGGGUAUUUGCCCUUGGAAAUGACCCAUUUUCUUGUAGUGAAAGCACAGAUAAUUAAUCAAUGGGCCACUGAUUUCUUCUUUCAUAAAAGAGAACUUUUCCAGGGAGAUUGGAAUAAAAGGCUAAUUCUUGGUAAAGAUCAGAAAGUUCUCAAAUAAAAAUUCGGCUUUGUGGAAAUUAAAUUAAAAGCAAUUAAGCAUUAUAAAUUACUUAACAGCUUAAUCGAGUUUGGUUUUGAAAAAUAUAUCUUUAAAUCUCUUGUAAUUAAAGAUAAUUAUCAUAUUACCGUCUCAAAUGGACCGAUUUCAAUCAAAUGAAAUCUAGAAAAUUGAGCAGCUCAUUGAUGUAUUUGGUGGAAUUGUGACUUGUGUCAGAGUCUUCGUUUUAGAAGAGUGCACAGCAGCUGCCAGGUCCACUUGGCAGUUGGCACGCCAAAAUUUUUCUGUUGACCAAUAAUUUUGAAAGGGAUAUUAUUAAUUCACUAUCAAAUAUUUUCGAACACAUCACUUUACUAUCAAAAUUUUUUGACAAUAAUUUUUUGUCAUUUAAUAUUUCAAUUUUUAUCAUUUUAUCAUUAAAAAAAUAGUAAAUACAUGCUUAGCGUAAGUUAUCCAUAAAAAUGGUUGUUGAAUUGUCUUGUUUCUCAUUUGGUUUAAUUUUCAUAAAUUCGACUCACACAAUUCAAUUAUGAGUGAAGAGUUUUUUUGGGAAAAAUCUGGUCUUCCAUGUACUAGAAUCAGGUCUGUUUGAUUUUAUUAUUUUUCUUUUGUUUGAAAUAUACGUGGAAAAUGUUGAACACUUUGUAGGAUUUAGAAGAAUUUGAAAGUUUGAAUGCAUAUAGUUUACUAUCGAUCAGCUAGUGCAUAUUCUGUAUUUUAUGAAAUCAAAGCUGGUUGAUUGAGAAAUGGACCUUAUUACAUGUCAUAAGAUUUUACAGUGCUUUCUAAUGGAGCAAAAUAAAAUGAUUCUUACCUGCACAGAAAAUUAGAAACGAAAAGGAGGGUUACUGAUCCACAGAGUUGUUAUUUACGAGAAGCACAUAGAUAUUACACUUAAUUUAUUAUCCAUCUGUAUUGUUUGGAUGACACUGAAGUAUUACCUAAAUUAGCCUUUCAAAACUUCUUUUUCAAAAAUCUAUGGUUGUGAUGCGUCUCUAUAAACUCACUCGUACAAAUUCUGUCUAAUGCCAAUUGUUUUAAACCCUGUUCUGAACAGAGCAUGAAAGGAUAUGUUCACUUAUCUAAUUAUGUUUUUUAUGCCUUCACUUCACUUGAUUCACCUUGUCCCUCUUUUAAAACAGCUGUAUAUGCUGGAGUGCCAAAUCCAUCACAAGGAUCAUAUUAUAUCCUACGGAAGGAGCACAGUUCAUUGGCUGCACUCAGUUUACAGAGUAUUUCGGGAUUCAAGACUGUAGGUUGUUGCGGAUGCAACUUGCAAGGCUGUUGCUGUGUGACUGUAUGCCACGCUGGCAAGUGUGCUCUGACAGAUUGUGGAGAUGGCACCAAAGAUUGUAAACUAAUUAGUACUGAAAAAUCAUAUUUGCACAUAAAAUUGCACAAAAUAAAUAGAUUGAGAAAAGUUGUACAAAGAAAUAAGAUUAAUAAAGUAAAUAAAUUUAUCUUUUAACAAAAUAUUUCUAGUCUUUUGGCGUUUUUGUGUAUUUUUGUGUAAGUGCAAAUAGCAUUACUCAUUAGUGAUUAACCUAGAGUGUUCUGAUUUCUUCUAAUAAGUAGCUCGUUUUAGCCUAGGACCUGUAAUUAUGUUUUACCUUUCUGUUACUUUCUCUUAAAUAUUAUCUCAGUUCUUUUCUUCUUUUCUUUCACUUUCUCUUCCAUUUUCCUGACUCCCAAACACCACCAAUCCUUGAUUUUCUAGAGUAUCAGCUAUCUAUUUCUACAAACACAAAACUGUUAUUUUUUUUUUUUUUUGAAGUCUGUUAUACACAGAUAUUACUGACAUUACAUCAGACAUUACAAUUAAUAUUUACAAUCAUACUAUAUAACUGGGAUUACCAUCAUACAUUGACACACUGAAGUAUAUGCUCAGAUAUUUUAAACCCUCUCUAAUAUUCGAGGGAUGCCUAUCCACUCACAUUUCGUGAGAGAGAGACUGUCUCCACUCAAUUAAUUGAUAAUUGAGGAAGAACUGAAACUAACCUCCAUAAUGCUUUUAUAGAGGCUCGAACCCUUACACUCAACAUUGUAAGUGCAAGGCUUCUCCCAUUGGACCAAAGGCCCAUUAGUACAAAAAAACAAAACUGCUAUUUACUUUCAAGAAAUAACAUAUUCUGUGGUUUAUUGGCUUAUGCCUCGUGAAUGGGGCUAAUGUUGGUCUAACUACUCCCGUGAAACAACGUACUCUGUGGCUUAUUGUCUCCUCUUCCAUUGACUCUGCCAAUUCACGACUUUGACACGCACACUAGAUGCUAACUGCCUUCUCCAUUCGACGUGCAAAAACUUUCUUGAGUCGGGUUAAAAUUAAUUGAUCAUUUUAUUUGGUGAUAAUGACUUAGUUGUCAAGUCAUGAGUUUGAUGAUGAAGAGGACGAAAAAUAUUAUUUUAUUAUUUAAAAUAAGACUAUCAAUUAUUUCGAUGGUCAUCUUAUUUUCUAAAAUAACUAAAUGGAAUCUUACAGAAUUAAAGUGCUUGACGUCUUCAUACCUUGCUUGACUUCUUUUUACAGAAUUAUAAAGUGAAAAAGGAAAUUAAGAAAUUAAAUACUUUUCAUGCGAGUGGAGAAGAUUGGGUAGCGAUUACAUUAAAUAAAAGAAAAUUAAUUUAAAAGUACAACACUUUAAUAAUCUCAUUCCCAAUCAUAUCGGUACAAAAAUUCUGUAGAUUUAUUGAAUAACUAUUUAUUUUACUUUGGUAAUUUCUUUCUAAAAGUGAGGUAAACAUUUUUAUUUUCUUUGCAUUCGAGCUUUCUUUCUUUUGCGCUGGCCUUCACUUUUGACCGUAUUUCAUGGGGCACAUUCAAUCUGAAUUUUCUGCAAGUUUGUGGCAGUUUUGUUAAUUACGAACAUUUGUAGGAUUUUAUGUAGAUGAUACAUUUUUCUUUUCUUUUUUUCUUCGGUGAACAAAUUAAAAUUUUAGUUUUUGUCAUCAUGACUAGUGAAAUGAAAAUAGUCCUCAUUUCAAGGAUAUACCGAUUAAUGGGGAACUAAUUUCGUCCUCUUAAAAAAGAAUUAUUUGCAGCGUGGUAAUUCGGAGAUUUCUGUAUUAUAUAGCCAAACCUAAGUGAUGAGAAAAAUGAGAAAUAAUUUGGAGGGAAACAAAAAAACUAAUUCAAGUUAAAGACCAGGAAUUGGUGUUCCUCACAAAAACAAUAAUUCAAGCCUCGCAAUAAUUUUUUUGAUUUAUUUAAAAAAAAGUUGUUUUCCUCACAAAACAUUUCAACGUCUAUUCUCUCGUACAGGGGAAUAUCCUUCACUCUUUGGCGUAUCCCUGGGGCAAUGUAAGUUGACUUUACAUUAAAACAAAAAAUAAUUACAAUCACAUAAUUACAAUUAUCAUCACUGAUUUGUAUAAUUUUCAGGACUAGUAAAUUAUCCCAAUUUUUAAAAAACAUAAUUACAAUUAUCGAUCGAACACCACUAAUUCCAACAAUUCAUCCAAGUUUUUCAACUUUUUAGAUAUUUGAUAUAUGUCAUGUUUUAACUUGGUACGAGAAAAAAAUUAUAGAAUAUUUUUUUUUCAAAUUAGUGGAAUUAUUUUGCGAUAAAACUAUCACAAUCACAUUUAAAAACAUUCUUUAAAUUUUCACUAUUUCUACUGUUAUUCUUUAAACUUUUUUCUGAACAGAGCAUGGAGGGUCGCUUAUCUAAAUAUGUUUUCUGAGCUUUCACUUCACUUGAUUCAUCUUGUCCCUCUUUUAUAGCUUCUAUCUCGUGUGAGCUUAGAACCUGCAACUCGUAUUUUACGUUUCUGUUACUUUCUCUUUCAUUUUCCCGACUCCCAAACACCAUCAGUCCUUGAUGUUAUAGAGUAUUAGCUGUCUAUUUGUACAGACAUAGAGCUACUGUUCCCACUGUAGAUCUUCAGAUGGUUAGCUCACUAUUGUUUGAAUAUUAAAAUUAAUUUGUUAAAUAAAUAAAGAAAACAAGAGACAAUUGCCAUAUAUAUUCCAUAUUAAUUAGUCACCGUCCGAUUGUCUCCACUUCCAUUGACUCUGUUGAUUCAUGCUUUCAUGAAGUGAAACGCUUAACACUCUGUUCUGAUCCGCAGGAGAGGAGGAAAAACAUAAUUUUAUUAUUUCAUUCCUGACACACGCAAAGAGCUUUCUUAAUUGAUGAAUGUGACAUGAAGCUCUAUAAAUAGUUUAAUUUGUAAAAUUGUUAAAAUUUGUUAAAUUUCAUUUAAUUGAUGAAUGUGACAUGAAGCUCUAUAAAUAGUUUAAUUUGUAAAAUUGUUAAAAAUUUAAAUUUCAAGGUAGAUAAAAUGAUUAACUUUUUUCAAUAUUUAGAUAAUUAACAUGUGCCAUGUAACUAUGAAUGAAUGAAUGAAAUUUUUGAAGUGCGAAUCCAUUUACAAGUUACAGACUUGUCUUAUUUCUCAUUUUACUUAAUUUUCAUAAAUUUGACUCACGAUCAAUUAUGAGUGAAGAGUUUGUUGGAAAAAUAUGGUAUUCCAUUUAUUGUAAUCAGAUGAGUGUGAUUUAAUUAUUUUUUCCUUUUGCUUGAUGUCCCGAAAAUUAUGAAUACUUUGUAGGAUGCAGAAGAUUAAAAAUUUUAACGCAUAUCUAUAGUCAAAACUGAGGAAACAGAACAUUAUUGCUUCUAUAAAUAGGUCAUUUCAACUUAAAACUUGUUACUUGUAUUUUAUAUAUUUUUUUUUUAACUUUUUCUUCCAUUUUCCCAAACACCACCAAUCCUUGAUUUUUUUCUUAGAGUAUUAGCUGUCGAUUGUUAUAAACGUAGACAUACUGUUUGUCUAAUUACUAUCAAGAAACAACAUACUCUAUCCUGGGGUCUCUUCGUUUAUUUAAUAUUUAGGUUUAUUAAUAUACUAUAUUAUUAAUUAAAUUAAUUAAUAUUAAUUAAUAAUUUAAAUUAAUUAAAUAAUAAAAGUUAAAUGAUUAUAUUGAAAAUCCAAGUAGUAUUUUAAUGUAAUGAAACCUAAAUCCCACCUCUAUACCACAUUUGUUACACAAUGUAAUUAUAUAAAAAUAAUAUUUUAAUACAAUAUAAUACAAGUAUAAGGCUGUGUAAGGCUGUAAUAUUAAUUAGCCUGUGUAAUAGUAUGCCAUGCUGGCAAGUGUGCUAUAACAGAUUGUCGAGCUGGCACCAAUUAUUUUAAACUAAUAUUAGUAAUUAGUUUAGAGUGUUUCGAUUUAUUCUAUAAAUAGAUCAUUUAAGCUUUGAACCUGUGAACUUGUAACGUGUACUGUACUUUUCUAUUACUUCUAAUAAAGAUUUUCUCUAUUCCUUUUUCUUUCACUUUCUCUUCUGUUUUCCCGACCCUCAAACACCGUCAAUCCUUGAUUUGAACUACUGUUUGUUUGUCUAAUUACUUUCAAGAACAAUACCCUCCAUCCCGCGGUCUCCUCGUUUAUUGACUUGUUACUUAUGAACAGGGCUAAAUAAAGGGCAAAUAAGAUGUUGGGCCAAUGGACCCAACGUCACAGAUCUUGAAUUGAUUGCCUCUUCUUUUCUCUACAAAUCUUUGCUUAAUUUUUAUGUUUCCUCAACUUUUUCCCCCCUUUUGUGCUAAAAUUAUUUUUCUGAUACUUUAUGCAAAAAAUAUGAUGAAAAUGAAUUAGUUUAGAUUAUCAAUAAAUUUUUAUUACAUUCAAGAUAAGGACAACUACUCUUAGAUCACUUUUAUUUAGUUGAAUUAUAGGUAAUAAAAUUGGUUUUAACAAAAUAUGAUUCUUAACCCUUGUAAUUAAAGACUGGUGUUAUUUAGUUUAGUUGUAACACCAUGCAACAGGUCAUCUUGGUGGGUUCAAAUUAAUAUACGAUCAUUCUCAAUAUUUAAUAGUUCGUAAUUAAAAAUUCCAAUAUCACAAUUAGAAUUUACAAACAUGUCAAAGUGAGUUAAAUCAAACCUAUAAAUUUAAGGUUUACUACAAGCUUCUAACAAAUUAAAAUUUAAAAUGAUUAAUUAAAUGCUAGACAAUAUUUAGCUUAUAAAUGUUCCCGACCACAUGAUGAAUGUACUUAAAACAUCCUAAUUGGUCGCUAAUUGAUUGGUUGUUAUUUUUUCAAUUUCUUUUUAUAUAUCUUUGAAGCUUCUAGUUUCAUAACAUGUUAUUUGCAAUUCGUGUAAAUUAUUAUUUUUUAAAUAUUAGAGCAACAACCAGUAUAAAAAUAAAAUGCACUCAUUUAAUGGAAAUUUUUCUAGAUGCUUCAAUGGCAGAAUCUCAUUGGUCUAUAACUCUCAAUAAAUUUUUCUAGAUGAUUCAAGAUUCAAUUUCAAACCAAUGCCGAACAAACAGUAUAAACCUUAAUAAGAUAGUUGAAUAACCAUCUCUUACGUCGGGUGACCGAAUAACCAUCGCUUACGUCGGAAUUUAAACUUAAACAAAGCUACAUCCCACGUGUUCCCCACUUUCUUCAUAUUUCCAAAAAACCCCUACCAGAUCCAGAUAAUCACCUUAACUUUUCUCGUAUAAAUAGAGAAGACGACGACGAUUCCUGCAAAGCCAGGUGAGUCACGUGAACGUUACGGCCAUGGGACAUUGGAAUUGGAUCAAACCACUGGAAUGCACAGCAAAAUUAACCCGAAUAAACUAGGUUGAGUUAAGAAUUACUUUUCUUUUCAUAAUAAAUUAGAUUGAGUUAAUAAUAUUUGCCUGUGUGAAAUGAAUAAUCAGUUUAGUGUCACCCCAUUAUUAAUUUGUGACUGUCCGAUUGUCUCCUUUUUCAUUGACUUUGCAACUGUGACUUCUGAACCGGGUUAAGAGUUGACAAAAAUGUUAAUGUUAAUAUGUUAUAAUUCAUAAAACACGCAUAAUUAAUUAAUGGCCCACCAAUUUCUUCUUCUCAAAAGAGAAUUUUUGCAGGAGAUUGAAAAAAGGCUAAUUCAUGUUAAAUAUCUUAGAUGAGUGUCUAUCACGGAUACAAGUCAAGCCACACGAUUUUUCUUGUUAUACUAUUUGUUGGCACUUGUGAAUCCUUGAAUUAUCAAAUGAAUAGCAACAACACUUCAAUAUCUAUUGUUACACGGAGAGAAAUCCGUUCUCUCUUUGAUGUACUACUUGGCAAUAUACAUUGAUCUUUCACUAAAACAAGCAUUCUCAUAUUGUUGAGAAAAACUCACGUUAAACUAUUCAAUUUAAUCAUUUAUUAAACGGAUAUUUGGUUUGAUUCAUUUUAUUCAUUUAGUAGAAUUAAUAAACGAAUCGAAUCGAAUCCAGAUUCAUUUAUUCUAUUACAAAUCUACAACGAAUUGAAUCGAAUCGAAUCAGAAUUCAUUUACAAUUCGUUUAGAAAAAUAUAAUUGAUAAACAAAAUUAAGCAAAAUAAAAUAUAAAAAAGCCGCAAAUUUAAUACCACUUCCUACACCAUAUUCCUAAUUAGCUAGGGAUAGUCUACCAUGCAAUGGCUGCUGUCUUCAUUAAAUAAAAUAUGUGCUUUUAUACGCCCUCUCAAAGAAUAUCGAUCUCCUCAAGACUUUACAUAUUUGUUUUUGAAUAUAAACACUUGUUCACUUCUACAUAUUUUUUUUUAGCUACAUCCAUAGAAUUGCUCUAGCCUCUACGUUGGACAUAGCUGCUGUCUUAAUUAAAUAAAAUAUGUACUUUCAUACGCCCUCUCAAAGAAUAUCGAUCUCGUGGAGGCUUUACAAGCUUCGGUGGGAUCUUUAGAAAACGUCUCGACGACUCAAAAGACUACACUCCCACUUUCAAAAGUGGCACGAUUUGAACUUAUCCUGCCAACCUUCUAGAAGAGUAGUGAUAAACUUCAAGAUCAUUCUUUUAAUUUUCUCCCUUUUAACAUUUUGGUUUCAGGUAAGGACCAAUCACUUGGACACUUCAAUUUUACUUUUGGACCUUUCUUAUAAUGACAACACCCUCCAUCCCUCGGUCUCUUCGUUUAUUGACUUAUUACUUGUGAACAGGACUAAAUAAAGGGCAAAUAAGAUGUUGGGCCAAUGGACCCAACGUCACAUAUCUUGAAUUGAUUGCCUCUUUUUUUCUCCAUAAAUCUUUACUUAAUUUUUAUGUUUCCUCAACUUCCCCCCCCCCCCCCCCCCUUUUGAUGAAUUAUUUUUCUGAUACUUUAUACAAAAAAUAUGAUGAAAAUGAAUUAGUUUAGAAUAUCAAUAAAUUUUUAUUACAUUCAAGAUAAGGACAACUACUCUUAGCUCACUUUUAUGAAAUUCGUUACUAGAAAUUUGUAUAAAAGUCGUGAGAAUAGAAAUUUUGGUAAAACAAAAGUCGCGGGCUUAUUUAGAAAAAAGAAAAAAUUACAUUCUAUUUUCCAAUUACUAAGGUCAGCCUUAACACAUGCCGGUCUUUUUCUCCUCUACUUUCUAGAAAUUUUGGUUUCACUAUAAAAACUCGGUAUAUAACAAACUUAUGAGUGUUCUUGCAUUACCAAUCCAACUAAGCACACGCUUACAAUCUAAAAUACUCUCAUCUCAUGGAAAGAGUUCAUUCUCUCAGGAUGAUGAGCAUAUUUCUCCUACUCCAUUGUUUGAUUAUUAUUUCCUUAUUUAUCGCAGCAACAACAGCCAACACAAGUUCUAAUAUCACAGACCGAGAUGCUCUGUUAGCCCUGAAAGCUCACAUAACUCAUGAUCCGACCAAUUUCUUGGCCAAGAAUUGGAACACAAGUACUCCUGUCUGUAAUUGGACAGGCGUCGCUUGUGACAUCCAUAGCCAUAGAGUCACAGUCUUGAAUAUUUCAAGCUUAAAUCUCAGAGGCACCAUCCCAUCUCAACUUGGGAAUCUUUCUUCUCUGCAAUCACUCAAUCUCAGUUGUAACCGACUUUCUGGUUCCAUUCCCUCCGCCAUCUUCACCAUAUACACACUGAAAAAUGUUAGUCUCGGUAAAAAUCAGCUCUCUGGGCAAAUUCCUACAAAUAUUUGUAGUAAUCUUCCUUUUCUUGAAUUUCUUUCUUUGUCCCUAAACAUGUUCCAUGGCGGAAUACCGUCCACUCUAUCAAAUUGCACAUAUUUAAGAAUCUUAAGUUUGGCAUACAAUGAUUUCUCGGGAGCCGUACCUAGAGAAAUCGGUAACUUGACCAAACUUAAGGUAUUAUAUAUUGGCGCGAAUAGACUCCAAGGUGCGUAUGGUCAUGGAGUUUAAUUAUAAACAUUGUUCCAUGAGUUGUAAUAUGAAUAAUGUUCCAUAAUACACUUCUGAGCCCGAAAUCCUUUCCUUUCCUCCUUGACUCUCCUAUCGUCGAGCUAAGUGACUCUGUCAUGCCGCUUCAAGUAAUACAAACGUUGAUUAAUUUGCAGGAGAAAUUCCUCGAGAGUUUGGCAAUCUUACCGAAUUGGAGCAGUUUUCGUUACCAACAAACAAUCUCCAAGGUAUGAUUUUAAACUUUUUGCAAUUUUAUUCUAGCUCUGCUUGCUUCUGUAUUCAUUCGUUUGUUCAUUAAUUAUGCUAUGAUUUAUUGUUUUUCUUUCAAAUAGAGAUAAAGCUCCAUGUCUCCCCUCACUCAUUUCGUUCUUUGAUUUAUGCAGAUAAAAAUAAAAAAAAAUGUUUUGUAAUUUUCUUUUGUCAUAUUGCCACUUCCCUUUUAAAGCUCCCAAUUAAGUCGAUGAAAAUGAAUGAUGCUUCAUUCGUAUUCUUGUCAGCCUAAUUCUUAUAUAAUUGAAGAGUAAAUUGUUAUUAUGAUAUUCGUCAGCCAAUAAAUUCUUUUUUUUUUCUCAAAAUAUGAGUGAUCAAAUUGUUUGCGCAUAUAUAAUUUUACUUAAUUUGCAGGAGGUAUUCCACAGGAAUUGGGGAAUCUUGCAAAAUUGGAGAUUUUACAGCUGUUCCAGAAUAACUUGACCGGUAACCAUCUUUACUAUAUAUAUAUGAGACAUCUUCCGCUUCUUAAUUAAAAGAUUUCAAGUCUCUCAUUAUAAAUUCUCAUAUGAGGAUAUGUCAUUACUACAAUCUAACAUUAUUCCCUUUUUUAUUAGAAAUUAGUUUGUGUUAAUUCAAAAUUUUGUAACAUUUAAAAAAAAAUUAAAAACACGUGGAAUAAAUCAUCAAUCUUUCUUCUUUAUUGAAUUUGGAUUUCUCAAAAAUUAUCUUGACAAGUAUACUUCACUAAUGAUAUGCAUGUGUGACAACUUCAUAAAAUAUUUUACAUGGAGUCACCAAUUAUCUUUAAAUAAUUGGAGAUGCCAUCAGUGAUACAUAAUUUCUUAACAAGCACCAUAUCAAAAGAAAUCAACAAUUUUAUUAAUCUUCAAGAGUUGCAUCUUCACUGCAAUUAUGACAUAAAUUUUUAGUCAUCAAUCGCAUAAUAUUUUAUGUUAACGGAUGAUGUUCAGUCUUGGAAUUUAUAAUACCUUGAAGGUUAGUAGCUUUGAAAAUAAGAACUGUUCAUUUGCUAAAAAGUUAACUUAGUAUUUAAGUUUUUCAAUUGAAAAUUUUGAAAAAAGUCUUGAGAACUGCCCUCCUUAGUAUUUCAGCUGAUAAAUAUGAAAAAUAGGCUAGAAGAAAUAUUGUUGUGUGUGCUUAUUCUACUUGGGCUUUGGGCUUGAUUACAAGGUCGAGCCUUGAUUACAAGGUCGAGCACUUACACCUGUCAUAAUAAUAGGCUUUUACUGUCACCACACGUUUAAUAAUUUCUUAACCUUCCGAAUUAAGUUAUAGCAAUUUAUAUAUAAAUAACUAAAGCAUACUAAUGCUAGCACAAAGUACUCAUGACUUAGGCUUGUUGUGUUACCUAUUACACACGGUCGAACACUUACAUCUAUUAGAAUAACAAUAGCAUCCGCGGAUCGACUAUCAGUGAUCAAAUUGUUUGCACAUAUGUAAUUUGCAGGACCAAUUCCACGGGAGUUGGGAAAUAUUACAGGAUUGGGGAUCUUAGCGCUGUCUGAUAAUUUUUUAACCGGUAUCAUUCCUUCAUCUAUCUACGAAUUGCUUUUCUCUAUUAAAUUUGGAACUGUCAUUUAAUAACUUAACAGGUAACUUCCCUUACAAAAUGUCUGUGUGACAUGUUUUGCUUCUAAAUUAAAAUAUUUCGCGUCUCUCAUUAUAAAUUCUCAUAGGCGGAUGUAUUGUUACUACUAUUUAACAUUAUCUCAUUUUUUUAUUAGAAAUUAAUCUGUGUUUAUGCAAAAAAAUUUAGCAUCUAAAAAAAGUAUAAAAACACGUGGAAUAAAUCGAAAAUCUUUCUUCAUUACUGAAUUCGGAUUUCUCAAAAAUUAUCAUGAGAACUUCAUAAAAUAUUUUACAUGGAAUCAGUAAUUAUCUUUAAAUAGUUGGAGAUGCCAUCACUAAUAAAUAGUUUCUUAAAAAGCAUCAUACUAAAAGAAUUCAAUAAUUUUAAUAAUCUUAAAGGGUUACAUCUUCACUGCAAUUAUGACAUAAUUUUUUAUCUAAAUAUAUUUUUAGUCAUCAAUCGCAUAAUAUUUUAUCUUGACGGAUGAUGUUCAAUCUUGGAAUUUAAAAUAUCUUGAAGGUUAGUAGCUAUGAAAAUUAGAAAAUUUUUAUUUGCUAAAAAAUUAACUUAGUAUUUAAGCUUUUCAAUUGGAAAAUUUGAAAUAAAUGUUGAGAACUGGCCCUCCUUAGUAUUUCAGCGGAUAAAUAUGGAAAAUAGGCUAGAAAAAAUUAUUUUACUGAAAUAAUAGUUAAAAAUAGAGGAGAAGUACAGUACUCAUGACUUAGGCUUGCUGUGUACUUUUUUUUACUUGGGGUUCGGGCUUGAUUACACACGGUCGAAUACUUACACAACUCCCCCCACAUAGGGUUUUACUUUCAUCCCACAUUUGAUAAUUUCUUAACCUUCCCAAUUAGAUUAUAGCAAUUUAUAAAUAAAUAAAUAACUAAAGCAUACUAAAGCUAGCAUUGAUGGAUGGAUGAGUGGUGUCAAAAGUGUAUCUGUUUUUAUGUAUUAUUGUUCCCUGAUACAAAUCUAAAUAAUGGAAAAUAUAAAUUUAAUACUUUAUUUAAUACUCUGUUAACAUUUUAUCUAUAUAUAAUAAUUAAACUGAAACUCGUACUUAAAAAAAUUUUGGUUACGCAUAUUCAUUUCAUGAUAAAAAAAUGUCUAUUUACACUAAUUUACCAUUAUCAAUAAAAUGCUUUGAGACAAAUAAUCUAAUUUAUAUUAGUAUAUUUAAAAUACUUGCAUUUAUUAUAUUUUGAAAAAAAACUAUUUGCAAUUAUUUUAAACCUUUGAAUUCAAAUUUUCUUAGUUAUUAAAGUCAAAGGGUAUAAAUGUAUAAUAGUCAAAAACAGAUUUGUAUGAUCAUUUUUCAAUGUAUAAAUUUUCUUAGUUAGUAGGAAAUUAAAAAUUGUUGAUUUACUCAUAAAUGAAUUUAGUGUUUAGCAUUUCAAUUUUGGAAAACUUGAACUAAAUGUUGAUAACUUCGAAUCCAUCGAGCCAAGUUUCGCUUCCUUGACACACAGACCCAUUCGAAUUGAGUUUCCAAGUGCUUAGAAAAAGCAUUUCUUUUCCAUGUCACUAUAAUUUAUUCACAAAAGAGUUGAUUAGCGUCGAUGUUGCUGCAGAGUCUGAGACCAUGUUAGUAGGAGAAAUUUGAAAAGAAAUUAUUUUACUAAAUUAACUUAUUUUAUCUUGCUGUAACUGAAAUACUACCUUUUUUUUUUUUUUGUUAUCACUGGGGCUUGAUUUACUUUAAUAAUAGCAGCCACAAGCUUAGGCUUUUUUACUUUUCACCACACAAUUUGAUCUUUUAAUUCGUUUUAACCACAUAAUCUAUCUAUCUCACACCUAUUGCUUACUUAAAUCGCAUACAUAUUUUACCUACUAAUUUUUACAAACAUUAGUGAAAUAUAUUUUAUUACAUUUCGCUUGUAACUGCUCUAGUUGUGCACUAUUAAUACUUAACCCUCCCUUUUAAUUUACCGUGCAAUCUAUCAACAACUUAAAUUACAUAUAUAUUUUAUCUAUAUUUUUCCCGAAAAAAAAUAUAAAAAUAACAGAAAAAGAAUAUGUGUAGCAAUUUGUAUGGAACUAACAAAGCAUUAACGGUGUGUAGCCUUUCAAUACUUCAUGAGUGGCUUUUCUUGUGUGUUAGUACUAGUAAUAAUUGUGUAGUGUAUAAAUGACCUUUUAUUAUUAAAGCGCGUCCGUUGUUAGAUAUUAUUUAUUAUUUGAAAAAUAAUCUGAAUAUAAUUCUUUCAAAAUACAGGGGAGAUACCAACUGAAAUCAGUAAUCUCCGUAAUCUGGAGGAGUUGGACCUUGCUCGAAACAAAUUAGUUGGUAUUGUCCCAGCUGCAAUCUUCAAUGUGUCAACACUCCAGCAUCUUGGUCUUCAAGAUAAUUCUCUCUUGGGAUGUCUUUCGUCCAACGGAGACGUCCGACUUCCAAAUCUUGAAGGGCUUUAUUUGUCGGGUAAUAAUUUCAGUGGCACAAUUCCUAGAUUCAUCUUUAAUGCUUCUAAGCUCUUUAAGCUAUCGUUGCAAAGGAACUCAUUCUUUGGUUUUAUUCCCAACACAUUUGGCAACUUAAGAAACCUUAAGUGGCUGUCUUUAUAUGAUAAUUAUUUGACAUCUUCAACUCCAGAAUUGAGCUUUCUAUCCUCGUUGUCAAAUUCCAAGUCUUUAACAUUUAUUGACUUAUCAAAUAAUCCACUAGAUAGCGUUCUUCCAAAGACAUUUGUCGGUAAUGUUUCUCAUUCUUUGGAAUUCUUUGUCAUGUCGUAUUGUAACAUUAGUGGCGUCAUCCCUGAAGAGAUCACCAACUUGACCAAAUUGACAACCAUUAUUUUAGGAGGCAAUAAAUUGAAUGGAUCAAUUCCGAUUACUCUCAGCAAGUUACAAAAGCUUCAAUAUUUGGGUCUUGACGAUAACAAAUUAGAAGGAUCAAUCCCAGACAGUAUUUGUCGUUUAGCUGAACUGUAUGAUUUGGAGUUGGGUGGUAAUAAGCUAUCUGGAUCAAUCCCUGCAUGCUUCAGUAAUCUGGCUUCUCUGAGGACACUGUCGUUGGAUUCCAAUGAGUUAACUUAUAUUCCCUUAACUUUUUGGAACCUUAAGGAUAUCUUGUACCUCAACUUUUCAUCAAAUUUUUUGAUUGGUCCACUCCCAUUAGAGGUUGGAAAUUUGAAGGUUUUAGUUGGAAUUGAUUUUUCGAUGAAUAAUUUUUCAGGCGUUAUCCCAACAGAAAUUGGAGGCCUACAAAAUCUAGAAUAUCUCUUCUUAGGAUAUAACAGAUUGCAAGGAUCGAUUCCUGAUUCAUUCGGUGAUUUGAUAAGCUUGAAAUCAUUGAAUUUGUCUAAUAAUAAUCUCUCUGGGGCUAUUCCUGCAUCUUUAGAGAAACUCUUAUAUCUUGAAGAUCUAAAUCUUUCUUUCAACAAACUAGAAGGAGAAAUUCCUAGGGGAGGGUCUUUUGGAAACUUCUCAGCUGAAUCAUUUGAGGGAAAUGAAUUAUUAUGUGGUUCACCCAAUUUACAAGUCCCGCCAUGUAAAACUAGCAUCCACCACACAUCAUCAAAAAAUUCUCUUCUCCUGGGGAUCGUCUUGCCAUUGAGUACUACAUUUAUGAUAGUAGUCAUUUUGUUGAUCCUAAGAUAUCGACAGAGAGGAAAACGACCAUCGAAUGAUGCUAAUAUACCACUAGUAGCAACAUGGAGAAUGUUUUCAUACCUAGAACUCUGUCAAGCAACAGACGAAUUCAGUGAAAAUAAUCUAAUUGGCAAAGGUGGUUUUGGCUCUGUUUACAAAGCAAGACUUGGGGACGGGAUGGAGGUUGCAGUGAAGGUUUUCAAUUUGCAAUGUGGAAGAGCAUUUAAGAGUUUCGAUAUUGAAUGUGAAAUGAUGAAAAGUAUUCGCCAUCGAAACCUUAUCAAAGUUAUUAGCAGUUGUUCAAAUGAAGAGUUUAAAGCGUUGGUAUUAGAAUACAUGCCUCAUGGAAGUUUGGAGAAGUAUUUGUAUUCAAGUAACUGCAUUUUGGAUAUUUUUCAAAGAUUGAACAUAAUGAUAGAUGUUGCAUCAGCUUUGGAAUAUCUGCACUUUGGUCAUUCAGCUCCAAUAAUUCACUGUGACUUAAAGCCCAGCAAUGUAUUGUUAGACGAUAAUAUGGUUGCUCAUUUGAGUGAUUUUAGCAUCGCAAAAUUGCUAACAGGAGAAGAUCAAUCUAUGACUCAUACACAAACACUUGCAACAAUAGGCUAUAUGGCACCAGGUUUGUUUAAUAUAAGUUAUUUAUAUUUCAUGAUCUUGAUUAGAUGAGGAAAUUAUUAUUAAUGAUAUAUCUUACUAUGUAAUUGUUGCAAUUCAUAGAGUAUGGAAGAGAAGGACGAGUAUCCGCAAAUGGAGAUGUUUAUAGCUUUGGGAUUAUGUUAAUGGAAACAUUUACUGGGAAGAAACCCACAGAUGAAAUGUUUAAUGGAGAAAUGACAUUAAAGCAUUGGGUUAAUGAUUGGCUACCCAUUUCCACUAUGGAAGUUGUUGAUGCUAAUUUGCUAAGUCAGGAGGACAUACAUUUUGUUGCAAAAGAGCAAUGUGUGUCAUUUGUCUUCAAUUUAGCUAUGAAGUGCACUGUGGAAUCCCCUGAGCAAAGAAUCAAUGCAAAAGAAAUUGUAGCAAAACUCUUAAAAAUUAGAGACUCAUUACUUAGAAAUGUUGGAGGCAGAUGUAUAAGACAAUCAAAUUUAAAUUGAUUCUGCCCCUCCUUCAUUGCUUGCUAUCCUUUUCAGAGACUUGAACAGUUAUCCUCCAUAGAAGUUUUGCUGAUAUGUUUUGUUAUUGCUCUUGCUCAUGUUUAUUUCUCUCUUUCUUUAAUUUGCAUGCGUGCAUUUUAGUUCUCUUCCAUGUUUGUGUUGGUUUAUAUGUAGUUUGUUUUUUGGGAUAUGGUUUAUUAUGUCCUCACCCUAAUUAGAUGUAUCCUUUUGAUUUUUAUCAAUAAAGCUUCGCUAGUACUAUCGAGGUUAAUCGAAAGAAAAUUUUCAAUUGAUUUUCUUUUCUUUGACUAAUAAUGGAAAUUCUAAUCUUUAUAGUGAAUAACUUCAAUAAUAGAGUGUAAGAGUAUUAGUAGUUGUGGUUGUUUUCUGAACUUGGAGUUAGAGUAGUUUAACAGCAACAAAUAGGUCUCUUGUAUUAUAGGCAAAAUUCUUUUCAUUAAUCUUAUUUGUCUACAUUUUCUCCUAUUUUCUUCUUUAAUCUUCGCUCAAGGUUUCAUGCUUCCAUUUUGACAUGUGAGAUUGUUUGUCAUCCAUUUGCUAAAAUGGAUAUGAGAGGAGCUUUCAAUCAUUACCUCCACCAAAAUCCUUACAAUGCAACUUUUAAAUUUAUUUUUUAAAAUACGUUCAGUUUAAUUUAUAAAAAAUAAAUCCAUUUGUUAAAAUUAAUCUUUUUCUCAUAGAUUUCAACCUAAAAAAUAUAUUUCUUUUAAGUUUUUAUUUUAAAAUACAUACAAGUUCUAAACUAUUAAAUUAUUUUUUUCUUAUUAUAUAGUUUAUAUUUCCAUAACUCUAAACUCCUAUAAUUUUUAAAAAAUAUAUUUUUAAUUUAAAAUAUGAAUAUAAAAUAUAGAAUGGAGUGGGUAUACAAAGUUUUGUUAAAAGAAUAAUUCAUUUAAGUAUUUAGCUGAAUUUUAAUUUAAAAUAAGAAAUAAAUUAAUUUAUUUUUUAUUAGUUAAGUAAUUUUUAAUUGAAAAGAGCUUAUAUUAUGGACAUAUGAUUAAAAUUAUCAUGAAUUAAACAUUUUCAUAUAAAUACUAGUGAUAAUUACAGAGAAAGUACGAUGAACCGAGGAAAACUUGAAUAGAAAUACUCCAAUGUAAUUUUACACAUGCAAAUUAUGAACCAGUGAUCUUUAGAGCAUCAUAAAAUUAUUUUAACACAAUUAGUUAGUUUGAAAAAUUGCCAAUAAUGUUUAAAGUGGGAUUGAAAAGAUUAUACUAAAAAUAUAAGACAUGAUAUCAUUUAAGAGCUUACAGAUUAUGAGAAAUAUAUUGAUCUUACAAAUAAUAUAAAAUAUGUCAAUUAGACUGAGUCUAUGCAAUAAAAGUUUCAAAUUAAAAAAUAAACCUUUAUUUUCUUUUAAUCAUUAAUGUGAUCUUAAUUAUUAAAGUCAUUCAAUGUCCAUUACUUAUUUAUUUUUUUAAUUAUUUAAAUGACAUUGAAAACUCUACUCAAUAUUAAUUCAUUCUAGUGUUUUGUUUUAAAGUAAUCGGAAACUACAAAUGAAACAAAUGCUUGAAAUCACAAAUGGCCUAAAAUUAGAUUUUUAUUUCUUAAUGUUGUAGUGACUUUGAUCUUGAUAUUGAAAAUUUAUUUGUAACUUAUAUAAAGGCCUCGAUUUUAUCAUAAUUGAUUAGUAAGGCUAUGUACGGGAGCAUGGAUAAAUUUUGAGAUUGGAUUAUAUUUUUGGAACUAAAAAAUUAAUUUCAUCCAAUGUUAUGUAUAGCUGUUGGGACUAGCAAAUUAGUCUAAAAUUAUUGAAAUUAUUAGUCUUUUAAAUUAUAAUUUUUUCGUUCCCACUUUAAAAACAAAAAAUAUUUUGGUGGAAAACUGUACAAUGAUUAAAAACAAAAAAUUAUCAUUUUCCAAUGUUUACAAAGAAAACAAGAGACAUUUUAUUUCACUUUUACGCUCGGGCCUCACUAUCUUAACUUUUGUAACAUAGUGUAAUAAAUUACGUGGGCCCAUUUAAUAAAGAAAUAAUCUAAUAAAUAAACUAAUAUAACAAAAUUUAAAAAUAAUAGCAAGAGUUUAUUCCAUACCUUGGAGCUUAACUACUUAAUAGAUUACCCAAAUAGUUUUAAAUAAAAAGUAAUAUCAUAUAAUUAUUAUACUAAAUUAUUACAUUGUUCGACCAAUAUGCAGUUAUUUAAAAAUUAUUACAAAUUUUCAUAUAUUAAUGAAAAUAUUUCAAUAAUAAAGUUACUUCUUGACAGCUAAUAUAAAUAAAUAUAUGAUAAUUAUGAAAUAAUUUAAAAUUUUCUCAAUUAAUAUUAUCUUAUAACUACAAUUUAUUUACAUAAUUAAAAGUUUUUAAGAAAUCAUAAAAUAUCAUCGUACCUAUAUGCAUUUAUAAUAAUAUAUAAUACAUCAUAAUAUAAUAGCUAAAUAGAUAAAUUAUUAAUGAUAUAAAAUAUAUAUUUAUAUUCACUGUAUUAUAUUAUUCUUUCAUAAUUGUUUCAUUAAAUAAUUCCCUAUUCUCUCUCUCUUUUUGUCUUCAUUUUUUCAGAUAAGCAACCAAAAAUCAUUUCACCUUUUUUAUUUUAUUUUCAAGUACUGUUUUUAAAAUAAGGUACCAAACAUGUUUUUAUUUUUAAUAAAAACUAAUCAUUCUUAUUUCAUAAAAUAAAUUCAAAAACACCAUUUAAAAAAUAAUACCAAAUGCACCCUUAGAAACUAUGAGAAAUAUACUGAUUUUGCAAAUAAUAUUUAAUACGUCGAUUAGACUGAAUCUUUGGAAUAAAAAUUUCAAAUUAAAUAAUAAACCCUUAGUUUCCUUUUAAUCGUAAUUAUAAUCUUAAUUAUUAAAGACAUUUUAUUUUGUGCUUGUCUUUUUUUAUUCACUUUUUUUUAAUGAAAAAUAUUGCUCUGCAUGCAAGUCUUUGGUCGCGGGCCUAGGCGUCCCAAACAUCCAGCUGACAGCGACGUUUCCACUUUGAUUAUCCGCACUUCCCAGAAGUCGCAAGGAAAGACUUAUUCGAGUAGUUUGAUUGGUUUGAAGAUUCAUGAGACUGCUUUUCACUAGAAUUCCACGGCCUCAUUCAUUUUUUUUUUUAAUAAUCUAAAUGACAUCGAACACUCUACUCAAUAUAAAUUUAUUCGAAUGUUCUGUUUCAACCUAAUCGGAAAUUACAAAUGAAACAAAUGCUUGCCAUCACAAACGGCCUAAAUGGGAUUUUUGUUUUUAAAUGUUGCAAUGACUUUGAUCCUGAUGUUGAAAAUUUAUAAUGGCUUCAAUUUUAUCAUAAUUGGUUUAUAAUGCUCUGUUAGGAAGCAUGGAUAAACUGUUGGAUUAGAUUAGAUUUUAGGACUAAAAAUUAAUUUCAUCCAAUGUCAUAUUUAGCUGUCGUGACUAAUAAAUUAGUCCAAAAUUAAGAUAAGAUUUAUAAUAUUAAAUGAAAUAUUUUUGUUCUCUUUAUCACUCUUUUCUUUUUCAUUUAAAUUAAAUAUAAACAAUAAUUUCAUAAUUUUUUAUGUAGAAUUUUAUAUUAUACUAAAUAUCGAAAUUCUAUUCAAUAAUUUAUUUUAAGUUGUAUUUACUUAAGAUUAGUUAUCUAAGUUUAAUACAAUAAUUUAUUUGAAUAGUAUUGAAUAUUAAACAUUAAAAAUUAUUCAAUUAUUUGUUUAAAAUAAAAUUGAAUAUUAAAUAUUGAAAUAAUUAUUUAAUAGCAUAUUAUAUUAUUUAUAUAAUUAUUUAAUAGUCCAAUCUAAUGUUGUACAAAACAUGCACAAUACUAUAUAUAAUCCAAACUAAUCCAAUUCAAUCUUAAUUAAUAAUUCAAUCCAAUCUUGUGAGUCAAAAUUGGCCUAAGGUUACCAAUUGUGCAAUAAUCUUUAUAGCCCGUUUCCCAGCCACACACCCUUUUGUAUUAGUAUUCUCACAGCCAUUGGAAAUAUGGCUCGUAAUCUAACAAAUGACAUUAUACGGCUGUUACUUGCUAGUUUUUAUAAGGUGGCCAAGGCCUUUUAUCAAACACUAUAGGAUCAACUAGUACAAAAUGAAUUCAUUUGGGAUGCAUUUAACGUACUGUGUUAGCUAUAUCGUAUUAUAAUGUAUUGCAUUAACAUGCAUUAUAUUAAGUUAUAAUGUUAUACUUUGAUAUAGUAUAAAUUGUAUUAUAUAAGGUAAUGUUUUAUAUUAAUGUUAAAACUAAAUUAAUAUUAUUUAAAUUUAUUAAUAUUUUAGGAUUUUUAUUAAUUUUUUAAAUUAAGUAUUAAAAAUUAUUUUAUAGUAUAUAAAUGAGUUAAUAAUAUACUAUUAUUAAAUGAUAAAAUAUUAAAGUACUAUGUUAUAUUAUUAAAAAUUAUUAUAUUAUAAUAUAAUUUAUUUCUAGAUAUUAAUUAUUAUAAUAUAGUAUAAUCAUAUAAUAAUAUAAUAUAAGUUAAUAUUAUAUUGUAAAAAUAUAAUAUUGUACAAUUAUUUAAUGUAAUAUAAAUUAAUUUAUACUAUAAUAUUAAAUUAUAAAUUUAUUUUUAUUAAUUAAAUAAAAUUAAAAUACUUUUAUGUAUUUAAACUAAAUAAUUAAAAUAAUUUAUGUAAUAGAAGUAUGAUAAUGUAUUAUCAUUUUCUCAUUAAAUAUUUUAGGUUUAUUAAUUUGUUAAAUUAUUAUUUAAAUUAAAAUUAAUUGUUUAAAUGUAAAUAUAAAUAUAAAUGAAUGUUUAAUAAAAUCUACUCCUAUGGAUCUAUUUUAUACACUUUUUAUUCUAUAAAUCACGCUUAUAAUGUAGUUGUAUAAUAGAAACUGGAUAUUUAAUGGAAGCAAAAUCGCGCACGGUUUGUGGGUUAAAAGGGUCAGGAUUCUCUCCUGAUCUGAUCUUCAUUUGAGCAAAUUCUGUUAAUAUGAUUAGUGGUUAAUAAGUUAAAAAGAAAAAGUAGUUAAAUCAUAAUCAUCCAAUUUGAUACACUGAUUUUGUCCUCUUUAAUAUUUUUCUAGAUGCUUCCAUGUCAUAAUCUCAUUGGUCCAGUUUUCUUCACUGCUUAGAUUCAACUUCAAAAAUCAAUUUGAAGCAAACACAACAAUUCAACAAAUAUAAUAAGCGUCGAUAAGCUUGUGGCUGACUGGCUGUGGCCAAGCAAAACGUACCUCAUGGUUACCGAAUCAUAUCUUACGUCAGAAUUUUUAACUUAAACUAUGUUACCGUUCCACGUGUCACUCUCCAAAAAAUCCCCAAACUUUUAUCGUAUUUCCAAAGAAACCCCUAACAAAUCAAGGUAAUUACCGUCACUCUGCUCAUAUAAAUAGUCUCCUUGAUUCAACUGAUGUAGGGAUGGCAAUGGGGUGGGUUGGGGUGGGGGUGCGGAAUGGGGUACAUUAAAAUUUUUUGUCUCCAUUCCCCACCUAUUCCCUAAUAAAUUUAGUGGGUUGGGGAUGGGGAAUCCCCACAUGGGGAAUGGUUUCCCCAUCCUCACCCCAUUCCCCAUUUACCUAUUUUAUAGUAAAUAUAAAUAUAUUAUUUCAGUAAAUUAAAAAUUAGAAACUUAAAAUAAAAUCAUCACCAUAUUAUGAAGUAUUUAUUUUUUUUUUAAAAAAUCUCUAAAAGUUUGAAACAAUAUCUUAAAAUGAUAUUAAAAGUGAAAAAUAUUUAAAGACAGCAACACCUUAAAAGAGAAAAGAAAACAUAAUAAUGUUUUAGAAUUGAAAAAUAUUGUAGGAUUUUCUUUUAUUCAUAUCUUGUUUAUAUUACAUAAAAAUUUAAAAAAAUUAUUAAUUGACAUUAUAGUUGAUAAAAUAAAAAUUACUAAAUAAGAAUUAAAAAUAUAUUUAUAUAUAAUGGGGAUUGGGGUAGGGGUGGGGUGGGGAGUGCAAUACCAAACCCCACUCCGUUAAUAAUUUGAGAAUUAUUUUUCCCCCACUCCCCACCCCAUUCCCCAAAAAUUAUUAAAAAAAUUUUCUAUUUGGGGUGGGGCUUCAUGGGGUCUCAAACCCGUGGAGGAUUUUGCCAUCCCUAAACUGAUGACAUAUCCUCAUAUAAAUAAAGACUAUGACGACAUUUAUUUAGAAGGGAAAAUUAUAAAAAAAAUCUCCUCUUUCUCUGAAAAUAUAGGGUUUCUCAAGAAUAGCUAAACCUACAUCCCUAUCCUGCAAAAUCUCAAUUUAACCUCUCUAGGGUUUCGAUUGAAGAGCAUACGCUUCAAAAUUUAUUAUUCUUUUAGUGGAUUUUGGUUGUCGCGUAUCCUUCAGUUGUUAGUUCGGUUCGGAUAAUAAUUUGGAAUUCAGUUUGAAGGGUUAAGUGCAAUUUCUAAUUUUUUAUACAAUUUAAAUUGAAAUUGAUAGAACAAUUGGGCGGUUAAUAAUUAAUUGAUGGCUAGUGAUACUACAACGGCGCCCGCGCCCGCAGCUCCGGAAAAAGCGGAGGCGGUGGAGGAGUAUGAUAGCAAUCCAGAUGAAGUGAAACGCUGUCUUGGGACACGCAGAAGGGAAGCCAGCGAUGACGAGGACGUGGAGGAGGAGAGAGAUUGGGACACGCAGAAGGGAAGCCAGCGAUGACGAGGACGUGCAAUACCAAACCCCACUCCGUUAAUAAUUUGAGAAUUAUUUUUCCCCCACUCCCCACCCCAUUCCCCAAAAAUUAUUAAAAAAAUUUUCUAUUUGGGGUGGGGCUUCAUGGGGUCUCAAACCCGUGGAGGAUUUUGCCAUCCCUAAACUGAUGACAUAUCCUCAUAUAAAUAAAGACUAUGACGACAUUUAUUUAGAAGGGAAAAUUAUAAAAAAAAUCUCCUCUUUCUCUGAAAAUAUAGGGUUUCUCAAGAAUAGCUAAACCUACAUCCCUAUCCUGCAAAAUCUCAAUUUAACCUCUCUAGGGUUUCGAUUGAAGAGCAUUUGCUUCAAAAUUUAUUAUUCUUUUAGUGGAUUUUGGUUGUCGCGUAUCCUUCAGUUGUUAGUUCGGUUCGGAUAAUAAUUUGGAAUUCAGUUUGAAGGGUUAAGUGCAAUUUCUAAUUUUUUAUACAAUUUAAAUUGAAAUUGAUAGAACAAUUGGGCGGUUAAUAAUUAAUUGAUGGCUAGUGAUACUACAACGGCGCCCGCGCCCGCAGCUCCGGAAAAAGCGGAGGCGGUGGAGGAGUAUGAUAGCAAUCCAGAUGAAGUGAAACGCUGUCUUGGGACACGCAGAAGGGAAGCCAGCGAUGACGAGGACGUGGAGGAGGAGAGAGAUUGAGGGCUUCCAAUGGCGAAGUGUCCACAUUCCUGCGGGAGAAGCGGAGGCUGUGGAUGAGUACGAGAGCGAUCCAGAUGAAGUGAAAUACUCUCUUGUGAUGGGCAGAAUGGAAGCAAGCGAUGAUAAGGAGGAGGAGGAUAAAGAAUUUGAGCGUCGAAUGAACCGUAGGGUCCACAUUCAUUCUUACGAUGAAUCUGAUGGCCAAGGUGGUGUCCAGCUGAGUAUGGUGAGGUUGAUGAUGAAGAAGAUGACAGAGAAUUAGAAGAAGAAGAUGAAGAGGGGGAUGUGAUAUGACUUCAUAUCAUUUAAUUUGUAUAACCGUGACGCCAAUCCCAUUGAUCCUGGUCCGACCCGAACGGAUCUUGUUGAAUGAAUUGAUCCAUUGUUGUAUGCCUUACUUCUUAGUGAUUUUUUUCCUACUUGGAGCCGCCUUUGAGUACUCCUGGGAGAUAAAGUGGAAACGUUUUUUUAUGGUGAAGAGUGGGGAGUGAAAAGACCAAUUCAGCAGAGAACGACCGCAUGAAUCGGAAUCCAAGAAAGGCUCCACGUUCUCCAAGUGAUUGAUCUUAGCGUAGCGUGCUAGCCGCUGCUUCAUUUCGUAUAGUGAUAACGCUUUCUUAGCGCUCCGCCGCCCCCCCCCCCCCGGCGGCCGCGCCCGGGGUAUAGUAGGGGACUGGUUGCGCGGCUUUCUCUUAUAGGGGUCUAUUUUCCCUUACUUUACUCAACUUGAGUCGGUUAGAGUAUCGCUUUCAUACGGCAAGAGUUAUUGAUUCAAAUCCAAUAGUAGGUAAUAAUGCUGUCAAUGUCGGUUAGAGUAUCCAAGAGUUAUUGAUUCAAACGCAGUUGUCAACCACAUUCGAAUAACCCUUCUGCUACCUUCUAAAAACCCUUGCAUGGGCAUUAAUGCUGGCAUAAUCUCUUUGACUUCCCUUGCAUUUGAAUGAAUGGAUGAGCGUUGCAUUUGAAUGAAUGGAUCAGUGUCAAUGCAGGCUAAGAUUUUCUGGACUUUCAUGGAUGCACAAUAAAUGCUACGUCAAAGGCCUGGUAAGAUGUCAGCAAGCUGGUCGAAGAUAUCAACCUGAUUUGGUGGCUGCAAGAUUUGUUCAUCCAGGACCAUUUUCUUUGACAAUGAGAAAGCCCCAAUGUCUAUAAAUUGAGAACUCACUGAAUUGUAGAGAGAGGGGAAAGUGAAUAACGGGAGAGCCAGUGAAAAGAGAGUGUGGGAAUAUUUGUGCGUAAUUGGGGUUUGGGUGUGAGAUAAAAUAAUCAGAGAGUGGUUGUAAUAAUUUUUUAUAUAGUGAAAAUUUUUGUCUCCUUGUUUUUUGCAGUGGUGGUAAAUUUUGUCUCUAAUAAAGGAGUCUUCCAAGUAAAUUUUGUGUGUUAUGAUUGGGAUAUUCACCAUUUUAGUUUUUUAUUUAUUAUUUGUUUUACAUAUUGCUAGCAAAAAUCUGGGGCGGGAACCGAAAAUUCCCAACAAUUAUUAAUUAUUUUAAACUCUGUUCUGAACAGAGCAUGAAGGGUUUCACUUACCUAGUUACGUUUUUCAUUCUUUCACUUCACUUGAUUUCAUCUUGUCCCUCUCCUUUAUAGAAGUUGCAGAGCUUGGAUCUUUACUCGAACAGUUUCACUGGCUCUAUUUCUGACACAUUGGGCAAGCUGAAGGAAUUGCAAUUCCUGUAUGAUAAUUUCCCCAACUAUUAUUUGAAUAAUUAUUUAAUGCCGUUCAUUCCAGCACUGUUUGGCUGUCAACUUUAUUUUGUUAUUUAUGAGGAGAUUCAUUUCCCACCUGAAGCUAGAAAUUUACGGAUCAAUGACUUUUUUUUUUUCGGGGGCCAAUUGCAGUUUUGAUAACAACUAAAAUCUGUGUGGUCCGGUUACCACAAAGCCUUGCCCCAGAUCCCUGCCAUUUUCUCCUCCACCUCCAUUUGGGGAAAUUACUACUUACUUUUUGCAAGUUUUUCUUGAAAUAUUUAUUUUGAUAAGAAAACCAAUAAUACAUUUUAAGAUUUGGGCUGUUUCAAAGAUUUCGCUUGAUGUCUCUGCUACUGGUUUUCAGCAGAGUGCCCAAAAAUAGUUUUCAGCAGUACAAAAAGUAUAUAUUUUGUACCUUCCAUACAUUUUGCUUUGUUAAUGUUAUUAUUUGAUAACAUGUUUGUCGAGUUGCACAGUGUAUAAAUGCUAUACAAAUACACUCCUUUCAUUUUAUACAACUUUGAUCGAUCAAGUUGUAUCUCUUUGAUAAUAUGUUCAAUCUCCUUUCAUUUUAAACUUCAAUUGAGUUGCUAUCUAUUUAACAUUGGCAAGUCAGAGAGAGGGAUGGGACUGUCCAAUUAAAAUUAAGUUCCAAGUGCCAAUCCCACCAUUGUCGUCUCUUGUUUGCCAAAUUCAAAUUUGAAAAUCUCACCAAGUCAGUAUGGUGAUGUUGUGGGAUUGUCUCGCCUAGGUUUUUAGCCUCAUGACCUCCUUUAUUAGAAAAUGUCUUAAGUGUUCUUACUCAAUGGUAGAAUCAUAAUUUUACUUCAAUGGAAGCCAUAAUGAUUAAAAUAUACUCUUUUGAUUAAUUACUUAUUUGAUGUUGCUCUCUCUACCUUCAUCUCCUUCUUUAUGAAAAAUUUAUUGUAAUACAUGGAAGUAUAUAUUGCAUUGAAUAAAAUGAAAUUGUUCAAAAAUUAACAAAUUCAGCUUUAUUAUAAUCUAAAACAAAGUAAAUAAAAUAAUACCCAUCAUGUAAAAAUUAAAAAAAUAAAAAAUUUUGUACCACUUUGAAUCUAUUUUAAUUUUUUUGGUCAAAUCUCAGAAGCACAAAAUUUGACCAACAAUAAUAGGUAAAAACUAAUAAUCUUAUAAUAAAAAGUAAUAUUUAAAAAUUGAAAAUUAAAUUAUGCUAGUAAUUCCGUAAAAUUAAAAUUUAUCUCCCAAAAUUGAUAAAUACUAUGUCACUUUGUCAAAUUACUUAGGAUAAAAGUUAUGUGGCUAAAAACUUUUAAGAUGAGUUGUAUGCUAAUGGAGAAGGACAAGACACAAAAGAAUUCAAUGAAUGCUACAUCACGCAACAAUGCUUACUCUUAACAAAUUAUUACAAUUUACAAACGUGAUUCAUGAAACUUGACUUUUUUGUCUAAAGAAAGGACUAAAGAAACAUGCCAAGCAACAAAUAAAAAGUUGAUAGGCACUAUUUAAAUAGUAUUAAUAUGGCAACAAAAAACAUGCGAGCAAAGUAGCCUAUUCCUUUAUUCUAUAAAUAGCUCAUUUGAGCUUAGAACCUUUAAAGUGUGUCGUACGUUUCUGUUACUUCCAAUAAAGAUUUUCUCUAUUCCCUUUUCUUCCACUUUCUCUUCCAUUUUCACGAUCCCCAAACACCAUCAAUCCAUGAUUUUCUAGAGUAUUAGCUGUCUAUUUCUACAAACAUAGAAUUGCUGUUUUAAGAAACAAAGUAGUCUGUCCUGUCACCCAUGAUUGCCUCUUUCUUUUCUCCACAAAUCUUUGGUUAAUUUUUAUUUUCCCUCAACUUUUUUCCCCUUUAGCACCAAAAUUGAUUUUUGAUACUUUAUGCAAAAAUUAUGAUGAAAAUGAGUCACUUUAGAACAUCAAUAAAUUUUUUUUUACAUCCAAAAUAACGACAAUUACACUUAGAUCACUCUUAUUUAGUUGAAUUAUAUAUGUAAUAAUGUUGGCUUAACAAAAUAUAAUUCUUGAUCGUUGUAAUUACGAGCUGGUAUUCUUUGGUUUUAGUAGUAGGGCUUAUAACGCUGUGCAACAAUUCUUGGUGGCUUCGAAUUAUUAUACGAUCAUUCUCAAUUCUUUACGGUACGUAAUUAAAAAUUCCUAUAUCACAAUUAGAACUUACAAACAAGUCAAAGUGAAUUAAAUCAAACGUAUAAAUUCGAGGUCUAUUACAAACUUCUAAAAAAAAUUUUCUCUGCUCUUUUUUCUUUCACUUUCUCUUCCAUUUUGCCAAUCCCCAAACACCGCCAAUCCUUGAUUUUUUAAGUAUUAGCUGUCAAUUUCUACAAACAUAGAACUGCUGUUUGUUUGUCUAAUUACUUUCAAGAAACAAAACUCUCUGUCAUGUGGUCUCUUCGUUUAUUGGCUUGUGAGCAAAUAAGAUAUUGGGCCGAUGGGCUUAACGUGACAAGUUCUUGAAUUGAAUGGCUCCUCUUUUUUUCAUAAAUCUUUGCUUAACUUUUUUGUUUCCUCAACCUUUUUUGGCCUUUCGCGCUAAAAUUCUUUUUUUGAUACAUUAUGCAAAAAUUAUGAUGAAAAUGAGUUACUUUAGAACAUCAAUAAAUUUUUAUUACAUCUAUAAUAAGACAACUGUAGUGAGAUUUCUCUUAUUUAGUUGAAUUAUAUGUAAUAAAAUUAGUUUAACGAAAUCUAACCCGUCAAUAUUCCAUAUGACAUAAUUAACGUAUUUAAAAAAUCUUAGCUGUUCCGUCGCUUGUUUUACAAUUCUUUUAUAUAUCUUUGAGACUUUCUGCUUCCUGACACAUCAUAUUGUUCUCAAUUCGUCUAAAUUAAUUUUUUCUUCAAACACUGCAGCAACAACCGGUAUAAAAUAGAAUGAACUCAUUUAAUGGGAAUUUUUCUCAUUGGUCUAUUUCUCUUCGCACCUUAGGUUCCUCUAACAAACUUAAAAGAUGUUCCCCAUCCCACGUGUCCCCAAAUCUUCGUAUUUCCAAACAAACCCCUGCCAAAUAGAGAAGAGGAUGGCUUUUAUUGCAACCUGUAUGAACGUUAUGGCCAUAGGACAUUGGAUCAAAAUCAAACCAAUGGAUUGUAAAGCAAAAUUACCAAUUAAAAAUUCAACCAAUUGAAUCGGUUUGGUGUCACUUAAAAAAUAAAUAAUAUAUAAAACAACACAAUUAAAUUCAUUCAGUCAGUAUUUUUCUUUUCUCAUUUUCAAUGAAUGCUUAAUAUGGAAAACAAUCUGUCCCAUUGAGCACUGUUUAAAUCAUUCCCUAGUUUGUUCAACAAGCAAAGAAUAUUCUUAUUCGGCUCGGCAGCCAAUCCGUUAAAAUUUGUAAAAAUUCAUUUAAGUGAUGACUGUGAUAUGACUCGAUCAAUCGUUUAAUUUAUAUAAUUUAUAAAAAUUUGAGCUUCAAGUAAUGUAGAUAGAAUGGUUAAUUAUUUUAAUAUUCAGAUAAAUUGAUAUAUGUCAUUAUAUUAUGAGUGGAUGAAAUAUCCAAUAGAAAAAAAAAAAAAUGUUUGUAUUCGUCAUUUUUAAUGGGAAUCUAUUUAGUUUAACUUAUCCAUAAAAAUGGUUGCCAGACUUAUCUUGUUUCUCAUUUUGUUUAAUUUUCAUAAAUUUGACUCACGAUUAAUUGUGAGUGAAGAAUUUUUUGAAAAAAAUCUGGUCUUCCAUUUAUUUUGUAGGAUUUAAAAGAUUAAAAAACUUUAAUACAUAUAAUUUUAUGCUCGAAACUAAAUACUCGUAGCAUUGCUGCUUCUAUAAAUAACUCAUUUGUGCUUCCAACUUGUUAUUUGUAUUUUACGUUUUUGUUUCUCUUCAUAAAGAUUUUCUUUUUUUUCUUUUUUCCUUUCACUUUUUCUUCCAUUUUCCCGACUCCCAAACACCACUAAUCCUUGAUUUUCUAGAGUAUUAACUGUCCGUUUCUACGAACAUAGACCUACUGUUUGUCUAAAUACUAUCAAGAAACAAUAUACUCUGUCGCGGGAUCUCUUCGUUUAUUGACUUUUGACUUGUGAACGGGGCUAAUUAAAGGGCAUUCCUUUCUUCAAGAAAGAAUGCAAAGAAAGUACUAUCCAUGAGACACGUUAAAAAUUAUUUUACAUAAAAAAUGAUAAUAAUCAUAAUAAUCGGUUUAGUGUAACCCCGUUAUUACUUAGUGACUGUUCGAUUGUCUUCUCUUUCAUUGACUUCGCAACUGUGACUUCUAAAUUGGGUCAAGGAUCGACAAAAAAUGUUAUAACCUAUAAAGCAUGGAUAAUUAAUUAAUGGGAAUGCACCUCUCAUCUUUACCAUUCUCUUUGUCAUUUUCAUAAUUCAGCUGUUUAUUAAUAAAGUGAAUAAAUUUAUCUUUUAAUAAUAUGUUUCUUGGCUGUUUUUUGUGUAUUUUUGCGUACAAUUUUGUGUGCAAAUAGCAUUAUUCAUUAGUAAUAAGUCUGGAGUGUUCUAAUUUCUUCUAACAAGUAGCUCAUUUUAGCUUAGGACAUGUAACUAGUAUUUUAUGUUUCUGUUAAUCUUUAAUAAAGAUUUUCUCUAUUUUUUUUUUUCCUUUCACUUUCUCUUCCAUUUUCCCCGACUCCCAAACACCACCAAUCCUUGAUUUUCCAGAGCAUUAGCUCUCUAUUUCGACAAAGGCAUAAUUAGUCACGGUCCGAUUGUCUGACUUCUCCGUUGACUCGGUCAAUUCACGACCUUGACCUGCACAGUUGAUACAAACGGACUUCUCCAUUUGAUGUGCACAAAACUUUCUUGGGUCAUUUUGUUUGGUGAUGAUGAAUUGGAUGUCAGUUCAUGAGUUUCAUGAUGAAGGGGACCAAAAACAUUAUUUUAUUAUUUAAAGAAGACUAACAAUUAUUUCGAUGGUCAUUUUAUUAUUAUUUUUUAAAUAUCCAAAUGGUGAAAUUUUAAAGAAUUAAGGUGGUUGACUUCUUUACACAGAAUUACAAAGCAAAACAAUUAAGAAAUUAAAUACUCGUCAUCCAAGUGAGAAGAGAUUGGGUUGUUGAUACAUUAAAUAAAAGAAAAAUCAAUUAAAAGCACAACAAUUCAAUAAUUUCAUUCUCAAUCAUAUCAAAAAUAAAAUUUACUGUACAUUGUUGUUCGGUUCUGUAAAAAAAAAAAAAUUAUUAGGGAUUUGCAGUUUUUUUUAGUGUAAUUCUCGUUAAUUAAAGUUUAGUCUGAAGGGUUAAGCACAUGGAUCAUAAUCAUAUUAUGGCCUAAGGAAGGAGCACAGUUCAUUGGCUGCACUCAGUUUACAGAAUAUUUUGGGAUUCAAGACUGUAGGUUGUUCCGGAUGUAACUUGCAAAGGCUGUUGCUGUGUAACUGUAUGCACUGCUGGCAAGUGUGCUAUACACAUAUUGUUGAGAUAGCACCAAAGAUUGUAAACUAAUUAGAACCGGAAAAUCCUAUUUGCACAAAAAAUUGCACAAAAUAAAUAGAAUGAGAAUACUUAUGCAAAAAAAAAUAAGAUUAAUAAAGUGAAUAAAUUUAUCUUUUAAUAAAAUAUUUCUAGUCUUUUAGUGUUUUCGUGUAUUUUUGUGUACGUGCAAAUAACAUUACUCAUGAGUAAUUAUGUUUUAUGUUUCUAUUACUUUCUAAUAAAGAUUUUCUCUGUUUUUGUUUUUUUUUUUCCCCUUUUACCUUCUCUUCCAUUUUUCCAACUCCCAAACACUACUAAUCCUUGUUUUUGGUUUUUUUUUCCAACUCCCAAACACUGCUUUCAUGAAACAACGUACUCUGCGGUUAAAAUUAAUUGAUCAUUUUAUUUGCUGAUAAUGAAUUGGUUGUCAAGUCAUGAGUUUGAUGAUGCACAGGACGAAAAACGUUAUUUUAUUAUUUAAAAUAAUACUAACAAUUAUGUUGAUGGUCAUUUUAUUUUUUAAAAUAUGCAAAUGGAAUCUUACCGAACUAUAGUGCUUGACUUCUUCAUACAGUGAUUGACUUCUUUGUACAGAAUUAUAAAGUGAAAGAAAUUACGAAAUUAAAUACUUUUCGUGCGAGUGGGGGAGAAAUUCUGUAAAUUUAUGAAAUAACUAUUGAUUUCACUUUGGUAAUUACUUUUUAAAAGUAACGUAAACAUUUUUAUUUUAUUUGCAUUCGAGCUUUCUUUCUUUUUCGCUGGCCUUUACACUUGACCGUAUUUCAUGGGGCAUAUUCAAUCUGAAUCCUCUGCAAGUUUGUGGCAGUUUGGUUAGUUACGAACUUUUGUAGAAUUGCAUGAAGAUGACGCUUUUAUAGACAUUUUUUCUUUUUUCAUUUUUUCUUCAGUGAACAUAUUAAAAAUUUAGUUUUUUGUCAUCGUGACUAGAACAGUAAAAUGAAAAUAGUCCUCAUUUCGACGAUUGACAAAAAUGUUGUACUCAUACCGAUUAAUGGGCCACUGAUUUCGUCUUCUUAAAAAAUUAUUAUUGCAGUGAGGCAAUUGAAUCGAAGAUGGACGAUUUCCAUAUUUGCCUAACCUACGUGAUAAGAAUUUUCAUAUGAGACAUAAUCUGAUUUAUUUUGCUUGACUGUAUGCCAAGAGACAGUCAUAUCUACUAAAUGAAACAAAUCUUGCUUUUCUAGAGAAAUAAUGCAAUAUGCAAUUAUGCAUGAAGGUACGCAUCCAUGUGAGAAAGUUGACGAAAGCUUCUUUUUCAGUAUUGGAAGUGCAAUCCACUGCGGAACAUUGGAUAAAACCAAUGGAAUGUAAAGCAAAAUUACCGAUUAAACUAAAUUGAAAAUCCAACUACUUGAAUCAGUUCAGUGUCACUCAAAUAUAUAUAUAUAUAUAUAACAACACAAUUAUCAUAUUAAUGAGGCACUGUUAAAUUCGAAUAUUUUUCUUUUUCAUUUUUAAUGAAUGUUUAAUAUGACAAACAAUCUGUUCCAUUGAGCACUGUUUAAGUCAUUCAAUGAAGAUGAAUACUUCUAUAACAAAACAAUUAUUCCCUUGAUUAUCUGACACACAAAGAACUUUCUUGCUCAGCUCGGCGGCCAAUCCUUUAAAGUUUGUUAAAAUUCAGUCAAUUGAUGAACGAGACAUAACCCGAUAAAUCGUUUAAUUUGUGUAAUUGAUAAAAAAAUUGAACUUCAAAUAAUAUAGAUAGAAUGAUUAAUUUUUUUCAAUAUUUAGAUAAUUGAUAUAUGUCAUGUUAUUAUGAGUGAAAGAAUGAAGUGUCUAUAGAAAACACAAUGUUUAUGUUUGUAUAAAAAAUUUUAAGUGCGAAUCUAUUUAGUGUAUAGGAUAUAAAUAAAAAUAGUUACCAACUUGUCUUGUUUCUCAUUUUGUUUAAUUUUCAUAAUUUGACUAAGGAUUAAUUAUGAGUCAAGGGUUUAUUGGAAAAAUAUGAUCUUUCAUUUACUAUUAAAGAUUAGCGUGAUUUAAUUAUUUAAUGGUCGUUCAAUUUUAUUGGUUACCAAAUUCUCUAGGAUCGCAUGUAGAUUAUACUUUUAUAUAUAAAAUAUAUAUAAAAACAAACACUGUACCAAUAAAGUGUUGGCUCCACUGGCAAUGGAGUCCCCUUAAGUGGCUUGACUGUGUUUGCUCCUCAGUUCGAGUCGCAGGGAAGUCGCCUUUGUUGGGAGAACCUGUGCCUCCCGGUUCGAGCGGGGACUUCUAGUCUGGGUUGUGGUACGGGCUUAAAGGUGCCUCCCACAGUUGGGGCCCUCCCCAAGAUACCUCGUGAUUAAGAUCAAAAAAAAAAAAAAAACAAACACUGUCAACAAGCAUUAAUGUCAUUUGACGCAUGAAAGACAAUUAGUCCCAUUUUUUGUCCUGUUUACUUGAACACCACUAAUUCCAACAAUUUAUCCAAAAAAAAAUAUAGUUACUCUUCUUCUUUUUUUUCCGAUCUGUUAAUGAAUGCUCCUACUCCUAUCAGUUCUAUAUCCAACUCGACCUCGGAAGCUAAUUCGCGUGGGCUUUGUUGGAAUAAUGGUAUCGAUUGGAAUUGUAAGGAAAGAGGUCUUCGUGUCGUGGACAGCUCAACCGAAGAGAGCAGAUGAAUAUCUUAUGUGAAAUUCAUUGAUGAAUGCCCUUUGCAGAAGCAGGAAAUAAGCUGCCUAAAAGUAAGCAUUAGAUGAAUGCCCGAUCGAACACCACUAAUUCCAACAAUUUAUCCAAAAAUAUCUUUGAGUUUCAAGGAAUGAAUGUAGCACGAAUGGCCAAGUUUUUCAAGUUUUUAAAUAUUUGAUAUAUGUCAUGUUCUGACUUAGUACGAGAAGAAAAUUAUAGAAUUUUUUUUAAAUUAAUGGAAUUAUUUUACGAUAAAACUAUCACAAUCACAUUUAAAAAUAUUCUUUAAAUUUUCACUAUUUCUACUGUUAUUCUUUAAACUCUUUCUGAACAGAGCAUGAAGAGUCACUUAUCUAAAUAUAUUUUUUUGUGCUUUCACUUCACUUGAUUCAUCUUAUCCCUCUUUUAUAGAACCUGCAACUCGUAUUUUACGUUUCUGUUACUUUCUCUUCCAUUUUCCCGACUCCCAAACACCAUCAAUCCUUGAUGUUACAGAGUAUAUUAAUUAAUUAAUGGGCCACUAAUUCUUCUUCUUAAAAGAAAAUUUUUGUAGGGAAAUUGGAAAAAAGGCUAAUUCAAUUUAAUUUUGAUAGGUGCGAGAGAAGGAUAGGACCGUCCAAUUAAAUUGCAAGUGGGCAUUCCCACCAUUCGUGUCACAUGCUUGUCAUAUUUAAAUUUAAAAAUCACACCAUGUCAGUAUGGUGAUGAUGUGGAAUUGUUUCACCGAAAUUUUUAUCUUCGUAACUGUUGUAGAAAAAAGCGUGCUCCCAGUGGAUGCUUCUAUUGAGUGGCAGAAUCAGUAUUUUAUUUCGAUGGUGGCCAUAAUAAUUAAACUACUGAUUAAGUUGGUUGUGACAUAAAAUCAAUGUUGUAUAAUUUUUUGGAUAUUAUCUCAAUUUUACUUCUGUAGGUUUGUUGUUUGUAUAUUAUCUCAAUUUUUAAAAAAAUGUAAUUGCAAUUAUCAAACACGACUAAUCCCAACAAUUUAUCCAAAAAUUUUUUAUGAUAGAAUGGCUAAUUUUUUUAAUCGACUUUCUGGAUAAAUGAUAAUUUUUUGAUAGAAAUGUUACUUAAGUAUUACAGGAAGAAAAUUAUAGAAUAAUUUUUUGAAUUAAUAGUAUUACUUUACGAGAACACUAUCACAAUCUAAUUUUAAAAAAAUAAAGUUAUUCGUUAAAUUUCGAAUUAUCAAGCAAAAGGCAAAAAUAGUUCAACAUCUGCUGUCCCACUGAGCAUUGUUAAAUUCAUACGAUAAAAUGAGUACUUAUAUUAAAAAAACAAUCAGUCCCAUUGCGUGCUCUUUCAUUGACAUAGGCAAGUUGCGGUCAACUUGUGGCACUUUUAUGAAUUUUCAAGAUGGGUGAAUUUUUCAAAAUUAAAAGAAAAAAAUAAAGAAAUGUAAUUUCAAUUUAUCCAAAAAUUUGAGUUUCAAGGAAUACAGCAUUUAUUAUAUGUCAUGUUAAUAUAGAGAAGAAAAUUUUAAAAACUUCUUUUUGGAUGAAUAAAAGUAUUUUCUGAUAAAUAUUUCACAAUCAUAUUUAAAAAUUUUCACUCCUCUUGGUACAUAAUUUAAGAAUUUAACAUUAUAAAUUAAUCUUUUUAAUCAAAGUAAUAAUCUCUCCUCGGUCUGCAAAUGCUAAAAUUUAAUAUUAUAUCCGUUGACGAUAUUUGCUCCAAAUUCACGAAAAUAAAAUUUGUAACAGAAUUAUGAAAUUCGUUACUAGAAAAUUGUAUAAAAGUUGUGAGAAUAGAAGGUUUGAUCAUAGGAAAUUAAUAUAACCCUAUCCGAUGCAAAAAUGAUUGUAAAGAAAAACAAAAGUCACGGGCUUAUUUAGAAAAAAGAAAAAAUUACGUUCCAUUUUCCAGUUAUUAAAGUAAUUCUAAAAUCACUAGGAUCACAAAGGAUAGGCUUUGGUUGACUGAGGUCAGCCUUAACGCUUUUCUCCUCUACAUUCUUAGAAAUUUUGGUUUCACUAUAAAUACUCGGUAUAUAACAAACUUAUAAGUGUUCUUGCAUUACCAAUCCAACUAAGCACACGCUUACAAUCUCAUGGAAAGAGUUCAUUCUCUCAGGAUGAUGAGCAGAUUUCUCUUACUCCAUUGUUUGAUUCUUAUUUCCUUAUUUAUCGCAGCUGCAACAGCCAACAGAAGUACUAUUACCACAGACCGAGAUGCUCUGCUUGCCAUGAAAGCUCACAUAACUCAUGAUCCAACCAAUUUCUUCACCAAAAAUUGGAAUACAGGUACUCCUGUCUGCAACUGGACAGGCGUCACUUGUGAUGUCUAUAGCCAUAGAGUCACAGUCUUGAAUAUUUCUCGUUUAAAUCUCACCGGCACCAUCCCUUCUCAACUCGGGAAUCUUUCGUCUCUACAAUCACUCAAUCUGAGUUUUAAUCGACUUUCUGGUUCCAUUCCCUCCGCCAUCUUCACCACGUAUACACUGAAACAUGUUAGUCUCAGUGAAAAUCAACUCUCUGGGCAAAUUCCUACAAAUAUUUGUAGUAAUCUUCCUUUUCUUGAAUUUUUUUCUUUGACCGGAAACAUGUUCCAUGGCGGAAUACCGUCCACUCUAUCAAAUUGCACAUAUUUGCAAAAAUUAGGUUUGGUAAACAAUAAUUUCUCGGGGGCCAUACCUAAAGAAAUCGGCAAUUUGACCAAACUUAAGAUAUUAUAUCUUGGCGGUAACAGGCUCCAAGGUGCGCAUGAUCACGAAGUUUAAUUAUGAAAAUUGUUGCAUAAGUUGUAGUAUGAAUAAUGUUCCAUAAUACAGUUUACACACGUUCAUUAAUUUGCAGGAGAAAUUCCUCGAGAAUUUGGCAAUCUUACGGAAUUGGAGCGGAUGUCGUUGGCAGGCAACAAUCUUCAAGGCAUGAUUUUAAACUUUUUGCAAUUUUAUUUUAGCGAUGAUUUAUUGUUUGAUUAUGCGAUGAUUUUAAACUUCUGUAUUCAUUCGCUUGUUCUUUGAUUAUACGAUGAUUUAUUGUUUUUCUUUCAGAUAGAGAUAACGCUCCAUGUCUCCCCUCACUCAUUUCAUUCUUUGAUUUAUGCAGAUAAAAAUUAAAAAAAAAAAAUGUUUUGUAAUUUUCUUUUGUCAUUGCCACUUCCGUUUUGAAGCUCCCAAUUAAGUCGAUCAAAAUGAAUGAUGUUUCAUUCUUAUUCUUGUCAGCCUAAUCUAUAUAUCUAUCUAUCUAUAUAUAUAUAUAAAGUUGAGACUUGAGGAGGUGAUGUGGCAUCACCAUUUCUCUUCUUUGUAUAUUCUCUAUUAUCUAAUAAAUUGAGAAAUUUUCUUUUAGAUUUGACUUUUCAUCUUCUCAUAAUUAAUUUGAUUGUUAUUAUACAAUAACAAUUAUGUAAAAAUUUUAAUUUUAAUGAGACAUAUUCUUUGUAAUGAAUAUCCAAAGAGAAGUGUUAUGAAUUUAUUAAAAUAAAUGUAAAUGUUCAUAACAUAUAUCUCUUAGUCUCCCCACUAUCUCUCAUUAGCAACCUUUAGCUUCCCUAUAACUCCCACUAUCUCACAAAGAAUUAUGAUCCAUAAUUUUUUAUUAAUUUCAUGGAGUGAUUAUAUAACUAUAAAAGGAGAGCUCAUCUUUUUGUUUUGUACACACACAAUUGGAAUGAAUAAAAUCACUCUAUAAUAAAUUAUCUCAUUGUAUUUUGUAUCUUGCAUUGCGUAUUUAUUUGUAUUGCUGGCUAAUAGCUUUUUUUGUUUUUUAUAAGGUUGCCUCAUCUUAAAAACAAUCAAUUCAUAUUUUUUAUCAGUUUCAUCAAGUGUAAAGUAACAAAAAAAAAAGAUAAUACUAAAUUCUUUUUUCAAAGCCGCGUGAAACGCGGGUAUAUUUUCUAGUUCUUAUAUAAAUGAAGAGUAAAUUGUUAUUACGAUAUUCGUCAGCCAAUAAAUUCUUCUUUUUUUUUCCCCCCAAACAUGAGUGAUCAAAUUGUUUGCGCAUAUAUAAAUGUACUUAAUUUGCAGGAGGUAUUCCACGGGAAUUGGGGAAUCUUACAAAAUUGGAGUGGUUACAGCUGUUCCGGAAUAACUUGACCGGUAACUUUCUUUACAAUAUAUAUACGAGACAUCUUCCGCUUUUUAUUAGAAAUUAUAAGUUCGAGUUAAAUCUUAAUUAAAAGAUUUCAAGUCUCUCAUUAUAAAUUCUCAUAUGAGGAUGUGUCGUUACCACUAUUGAUCUAACAUUAUUCCGUUUUUUAUUAGAAAUUAGUUUGUGUUAAUUCAAAAUUCUGUAGCAUUUAAAAAAAUUAAAAACACGUGGAAUAAAUUGUUAAUCUUUCUUCUUUACUGAAUUUGGAUUUCUCAAAAAUAAUUUUGACAAGUAUGCUUCACUAAUGAUACGCAUGUGUGACAACUUCAUAAAAUAUUUUACAGGGAAUCACUAAUUAUGUUUAAAUAAUUAGAGAUGCCAGCAGUGAUACAUAAUUUCUUAACAAGCACCAUACCAAAAGAAAACAACAAUUUUAUUAAUCUUAAAGAGUUACAUCUUCAUUGCAAUUAUAACAUAAAUUUUUAGUCAUCAAUCGCAUAAUAUUUUAUCUCAACGGAUGAUGUUCAGUCUUGGAAUUUAUAAUAUCUUGAAGGGUAGUAGCUUUGAAAAUAAGAAAUUGUUCAUUUGCUAAAAAGUUAACUUAGUAUUUAAGUUUUCCAAUAAAAAGCGUUGAGAACUGGCGCUCCAUAGUAUUUCAGCAGAUAAAUAUGAAAAAUAUGUUAGAAUAAAUUAUUUUACUGAAAUAAGAGUUAAAAAGAGGGAAGUACAAUACUCAUGACUUAGGCUUGUUGUGUGUGCUUAUUCUACUUGGGCUUUGGGCUUGAUUACCCCCGUUAUAAUAAUAGGCUUUUACUUUCACCACACAUGAUGAUUUCUUAACCUUCCCAAUUAGGUUAUAGCAAUUUAUAUAUAAAUAAUAAAGCAUACUAAAGCUAGCAUUGAUGUAUGGAUGAGUGGUGUAAAAAGUGUAUAUGUUUUCAUGUAUUAUUUAUUCACUAAAACAUAUCUGAACAGGGGUGGAUCUAGGAAUUUGUAUUACCCCGGGCUAAAUUAAAAAAUUUAUAUUUUAAAGUGAACAUAAAAAUUUAUAAGUAGAAAAAACUGCAUCAAAUAAGGGGGGCACGAAAAAUCUUAUCGCUAUAAGUUAUAAACAAAAAUAGUUAUAUAAAAAGAGUAGAAAACAAAAGCAAUUAAAAAAAUAAAACACUAUUUUACAAUUAUGAAAUCUGACUCUAAUAAAAUGUGAUUAUACAAGGAUUAUAUAAGGUUUAAUAUAUUAAUUAAGGAUUUUAAGCUGAAAAAAAUGAAUACAUGUAAUUACAAUCAAUUAAAAAUUGAAGUAAAACUUUAAUGUUUGAAGUCAAGUACUUAAUUACCAGGUUUCAAUAAAUUAAACAAUUCAAAUUUAUUCCUCUUUUUAAAUUAUAAAAAUAUUAUUAGUCAAAAGUUUCAAUUAUAAACUAAAUUCAACCUAACAAAAAUGUAUUUGGGUGUUGUUGUUUCUUUGCCAAACGCUCUAACUCUCUUUAAAGAACCAGUUGUUGAUGAUUUUUCUAUCAAAUUAAAGCUCCUCAAAAUAUUCAAAUUUUAUCUUAGUUAAUAUAACUAAUAAAUAAAAUCUCAAAAUUUACAUAAAAAGUUUAUGAAAAUGUUGAUAAUUGUUACUACAUGUUUUUUUUAAGUUGUUUAAUACUAGUGACAAUUUUAUAUUAGAUUGACAUACUUUUUUUCAAUUAGAAUUUUUUUAAAAUAAAUUAAAGUAAUAACAUUUUACCCCCUAAUGUUUUUUAUCUACAUUGUAAAUAUAUAAUUUACUCAUUUUAUAAAAUAAGUCACUAAUUUCAAUUGGAAAAAAAUAUAAUUGAAUUAAGGACAUAUUUAAAAAUAAAAUAAAAACUCUAUUAUAGUAUAAAAUUAAUGAAAAUAUAAGGAUAAUUAUAUUAGGGACAUGCAUGAAAACAAAAUAAAAUCUCUAUUAUUGUCUAUAAUUGAUAGUAAAAUAAGGGGUAUGAAUGAUUGUUUCCUAAGUUUGACCAGGCUACAGCCCGGUCUAGCCUUGCUGCAGGUCCGCCACUGUAUCUGAAUACAAUUCUUUCAAAAUACGGAUGAAAUAGCACAUGAAAUCGGAAAUAUUUUAUUGCGAUGAGAAUUCGUAUAUUCAUUGUAGUAGACUAUAAAUUUAUUAUUCUUUGAAACAAAUCUGAUUAUAAUUCCUUCAAAAUUAAGUUUGUCAUUAAAUGAUUUCUCAGGAGCCCUACCAAAAGAAAUCGGGAACUUGACCAAACUCAAGAAAUUAUCUCUUGGCGGUAACAGACUCCAAGGUGCGCAUGAUCACGAAGUUUAAUUAUGAAAAUUGUUGCAUAAGUUGCAGUUUGAAUAAUGUUCCAUAAUACACUUUACACACGUUGAUUAAUUUGCAGGCGAAAUUCCUCGAGAGUUUGGCAAUCUUGCCAAAUUGGAGGUGAUGUUGUUAUGGGAAAACAAUCUCCGAGGUAUGAUUAUAAACUUUUUGCGUUUUUUAUUAGAAAUUAAUUUGUGUUAAUUCAAAAUUCUGUAGCAUCUAAAAAAAUUAAAAACACAUGGAAUAAAUCGUCAAUCUUCUAAUUUGGAUUUCUCAAAAAUUAUAUUGACAAGUAUGCUUCACUAAUGAUAUACAUGUGUGACAACUUCAUAAAAUAUUUUACAUGGAAUCACCAAUUACCUUUAAAUAAUUGGAGAUGCCAUCAGUGAUACAUAAUUUCUUAAUAAGCAUCUUAUCAAAAGAAAUCAACAAUUUUAUUAAUCUUAAAAAGUUACAUCUUUACUGUAAUUAUGAAAUAAAUUUUUAGUCAUCAAUCACAUAAUAUUUUAUCUUAACGGAUGAUGUUCAGUCUAAGAAUUUAUAAUACCUUGAAGGUUAGUAGCUUUGAAAAUAAGAAAUUGUUCAUUUGCUAAAAAGUUAACUUAGUAUUUAAGUUUUUCAAUUGAAAAUUUUGAAAAAAGUCUUGAGAACUAGCCCUCCUUAGUAUUUCAGCGGAUAAAUAUGAAAAAUAGGCUUGAAGAAAUUAUUGUUGUGUGUGCUUAUUCUACUUGGGCUUUGGGCUUGAUUACACGGUCGAGCACUUACACCUGUCAUAAUAAUAGGCUUUUACUUUCACCACACGUUUGAUAAUUUCUUAACCUUCCGAAUUAAAUCUGAUUAUAAUUCUUUUAAAAUACAAAUUAAAUAGCACGUGAAAUCGGAAAAUAUUUUACAGCGAUAAGAAUUCAUAUAUUCAUUGUACCAGCACAUAUAAAAUAGACUAUAAAUUUAGUUCCAAAAUACAUUCUUAUCUUCAUAUAAAUUUUACAUUAUUAAUUUAAAUUAAUAUUAAAAUAUGUUGUUUCUUUCACUAUGUUAUUUUAUUUACACAGUUUACACACGUUGAUUAAUUUGCAGGAGAAAUUCCUCUAGAGUUUGGCAAUCUUGCCGACUUGGAGUGGAUGUCGUUGGCAGGCAACAAUCUCCAAGGCAUGAUUUUAAACUUUUUGCAAUUUUAUUUUAGCUAUGCUUGCUUCUGUAUUAAUUCGUUUGUUUAUUAAUUAUGCAAUGAUUUAUUGCUUUUCUUUCAGAUAGAGACAAAGCUCCAUGUCUCCCCUCACUCAUUUCAUUCUUUAAUUUAUGCAGAUAAAAAUAAAAAUAAAAUCUUUUGUAAUUUUCUUUUGUCAUAUUGCCACAUCCGUUUUGAAGCUCCCAAUUAAGUCGAUGAAUUAGAAUGAUGCUUCACUCUUAUUCUUGUCAGCCCAAUUCUUAUAUAAUUGAAGAGUAAAUUGUUAUUAUGAUAUUUGUCAGCCAAUAAAUUCUUUUUUUCCCCCCAAAUAUGAGUGAUCAAAUUGUUUGCGCAUAUAUAAAUGUACUUAAUUUGCAGGACGUAUUCCACGGGAAUUGGGGAAUCUUACAAAAUUGGAGAUAUUACAGCUGUUCACGAAUAACUUAUCCGGUAACUUUCUUUAUGAUAUAUAUAUAUAUGAGACAUCUUCCGCUUCUUAAUUAAUAGAUUUCAAGUCUCUCAUUAUAAAUUCUCAUAUGAGGAUGUGUCGUUACCUCUAUCUAACAUUAUUCUGUUUUUUAUUAGAAAUUAGUUUGUGUUAAUUCAAAAUUCUGUAGCAUUUAAAAAAAAUUAAAAACACGUGGAAUAAAUUGUUAAUCUUUCUUCUUUACUGAAUUUGGAUUUCUCAAAAAUAAUCUUGACAAGUAUGCUUCACUAAUGAUAUGCAUGUGUGACAACUUCGUAAAAUAUUUUACAUGGAAUCACUAAUUAUCUCUAAAGAUGCCAUCAGUGAUAAUAUUUUAUCUUAACCGACGAUGAUGUUCAGUCUUGGAAUUUAUAAUAUCUUGAAGGUUAGUAGCUUAGAAAAUAAGAAAUUGUUCAUUUGCUAAAAAGUUAACUUAGUAUUUAAGUUUUCCAAUUGAAAAUUUUGAAAAAAGCGUUGAGAACUGGCGCUCCAUAGUAUUUCAGCGGAUAAAUAUGAAAAUUUAUCCAAUUGUUCAUUUGCUAUAAAUUCAUUAUUCUUUGAAGCAAAUCUGAUUAUAAUUCCUUCAAAAUUAAGUUUGUCAUUAAAUGAUUUCUCAGGAGCCAUACCAAAAGAAAUCGGGAAUUUGACCAAACUCAAGGAAUUAUCUCUUGACCUUAACAGACUCCAAGGUGCGCAUGAUCACAGAGUUUAAUUAUGAAAAUUGUUGCAUAAGUUAUAUGGAUAUCCUUGAUAACCGCAGCAAGCAAACAAAAUCAAAUAAAAGCUAACUGAGACUCGAAUAUCCUAAACCCUGAAAAGGAAUGGUAAUGGUAUAAUAUGGAUUCUGUAGGCAUAUUUCACUGGACUCAACAUUUAUGGUUAAUUUACAACUCUUUGUUGUAGAGUCUGAGAAAUUGCUUUAUAUUAGGGGUGGGGAAAAUAAUGCUGGGCCACGAAUUUCAGGCAGAAUCCAGAUUGGGCCCAAUUAGACUUAUAGCUCAGCUCUGUGUCGAUAUCUGGGCCUUUACAAAUAACUAAUGGGCCAAUUAAUAAUAAUAAAUAAAUUACACACGGUCGAACACUUACACAGUUCCCUAGACACAUGCUUUCACUUUCACCACACAUUUGAUAAUUUCUUAGCCUUCCCAAUUAGUUUAUAGCAAUUUAUAUAUAAAUAACUAAAGCAUACUAAAGCUACCAUUGACGUACGGAUGAGUGGUGUCAAAAGUGUAUCUUGUUUUAUUUAUUAUUGUCCUAUGAUACAAAUCUGAAUAAUGGAAUAUAAUGCUUUGAAAAUACCGAUGAAAUAGCACAUGAAAUCGGAAAAUAUUUUACUGCAAUAAGAAUUCAUAUAUUCAUUGUAGUAGCACAUAUAAAAUAGACUAUAAAUUUAAUUUUAAAAUACAUUCUUAUCUUCAUAUAAAUUUUACAUUACUGAUUUAAAUUAACAUUAAAAUAUGUUGUUUCUUUCACUAUGUUAUUUUAUUUACACAAUGAUGUGACUAUUGGAAUUAAUAAUACUUAUAAUUAUUUUGUAAAAUUUAAUACUUUGUUAACAUUUUAUCUACAUAUAAUAAUUAAACUGAAACUUGUAUUUAAAAAAUUCUAGUUACGCAUAUUCAUUUCAUGACAUAAAAGUGUAUAUUUAUGCUAAUUUACCAGUAUCAACAAAAUUCUUUUGAGACAAAUAAUCUAAUUUAUAUUUGUAUAUUUAAAAUACUUGCAUUUAUUAUAUUUUGAAAAAAACUUUAUUUGCAAUUAUUUUAAACUGUUGGAUUCAAAUUUUCGUAGUUAUUAAAGUCAAAUGGUACAAAUGUAGAAUAGUCAAAAACAGAUUUGUAUAAUCAUUUUUCGAUGUAUAAAUUUCUUAGUUAGUAGGAAAAUUAGAAAUAGUUGAUUUACUCAUAAAUAAAUUUAAUGUCAAUUUUGGAAAACUUGAACUAAAUGUUGAUAACUUCGAAUCGGUCGAGCUGAGUUUCUCUUCCUUGACCCACGGACCCAUUGAAAGUUCUAUUCGAAUUGAGUUUCCCGGUGCUUAUAAAAAGCAUUUCUUUUCCUUGUUGCAGUAAUUUAUUCACAAAUGAGUUUAUUAGCAUCGAAGUUACCGGAGAGUCUGAGACCAUGCUAGUAGGAGAAAUUUGAAAAGAAAUUAUUUUACUGAAUUAAUUUAUUUUAUCUUCUUGUAACUGAAAUACUACUUUUUUUUUUUGGGCUAUCACUGGGGCUUGAUUUACUUUAAUAGUAGCAGCCACCGACUUAGGCAUUUUUUACUUCUCACCACACAAUUUGAUCUUUUAAUUCGUUUUAACCACAUAAUCUAUCUAUCUCUCACCUAUUGCUUACUUAAAUCUCAUGCAUAUUUUACCUACUAAUUUUUAUAAAUAUUAGUCAAAUAUAUUUUAUUACGUUUCUCUUGUAACUGCUCCAAAUGUGUACUAUUAACACUUAACCCUCCCUUUUAAUUUACCGUGCAAUCUAUCUAUCACUUAAGUCAGAUAUAUAUUUUACCUAUAUUUUACCCCAAAAAAUAUAAAAAUAAAAGAAAAAUAAUAUGUGUACCAAUUUGCAUAUAACUAACAAAGCAUUGACGGCGUGUAGCCUUUCAAUACUUCACGAGUGGCUUUUCUUGUGUGUUAGUACUUGUAAUAAUUGUGUAGCGUAUAAAUGACAUUUUAUUAUUAAAGUGCGUCCAUUUUUAUAUAUUACUUAUUAUUUGAAAAAUAAUCUGAAUAUAAUUCUUUUAAAAUAUAGGGGAGAUACCACUUGAAAUUGGUAAUCUCCAAAAUCUGGAGGAGUUGGACCUUCGUCAAAACAAAUUAAUUGGUACUGUCCCAGUUGCAAUCUUUAAUGUGUCAACACUCAAAUUACUUGGGCUUCAAGAUAAUUCUCUCUCUGGAAGUCUUUCGUCCAUCACAGACGUCCGACUACCAAAUCUUGAAGAGCUUGUUUUGUGGGGUAAUAAUUUCAGUGGUAGAAUUCCUCGUUUCAUCUUUAAUGCUUCUAAGCUCUCUAUACUAGAAUUGGAAGAGAACUCAUUCUCCGGUUUUAUUACCAACACAUUUGGCAACUUAAGAAACCUUGAGCGGCUUAAUUUACAAGAUAAUUAUUUGACAUCUUCAACUCCAGAAUUGAACUUUCUAUCCUCGUUGUCAAAUUGCAAGUCUUUAACAGUUAUUGGCUUAUCAAAUAAUCCACUAGAUGGCAUUCUUCCCAAGACGUCUAUCGGAAAUCUUUCUCAUUCUUUGGAAGAUUUUCAAAUGCACAAUUGUAACGUUACUGGUGACAUCCCUGAAGAGAUCGGCAACUUGACCAACUUGAUAACCAUUGAUUUAGGAGGCAAUAAAUUGAAUGGAUCGAUUCUGAUUACUCUUAGCAAAUUACAAAAGCUUCAAGGUUUGGUUCUUGAUGAUAACAAAUUAGAAGGAUCAAUCCCAGAUGAUAUUUGUCGUUUGGCUGAGCUGUAUAAAUUGGAGUUGGGUGGCAAUAAGCUUUCAGGAUCAAUCCCUGCAUGCUUCAAUAAUUUGAUUGCUCUGAGGAUACUGUCGUUGGGUUCCAAUGAGUUAACUUCUAUUCCCUUAACUUUUUGGAACCUUAAGGAUAUCUUGUACCUCAACUUUUCUUCAGCCCACUCCCAUUAGAGAUUGGAAAUUUGAAGGUUUUGGUUGGAAUUGAUUUUUCGAUGAAUAAUUUUUCAGGCAUUAUCCCAAAAGAAAUUGGAGGCCUAAAAAAUCUAGAAUAUCUCUUCUUAGGAUAUAAUAGAUUGCAAGGAUUGAUUCCUGAUUCAUUUGGUAAUUUGAUAAGUUUGAAAUUCUUGAAUUUGUCCAAUAAUAAUCUCUCUGGGGCAAUUCCUGCAUCUUUAGAGAAACUCUCAUAUCUUGAAGAUCUAAAUCUUUCUUUCAACAAGCUAGAAGGAGAAAUUCCUAGGGGAGGAUCUUUUGGAAACUUCUCAGCUGAAUCAUUUGAAGGAAAUGAAUUAUUAUGUGGUUCACCUAAUUUACAAGUCCCGCCAUGCAAAACUAGCAUCCACCACCCAUCAUGGAAUAUUUCUCUUCUCCUGGGGAUUGUCUUGCCAUUGAGUACUACAUUAAUGAUAGUAGUCAUUUGGUUGAUCCUAAGAUAUCGACAGAGAGGAAAACAACCAUCGAAUGAUGCUAAUAUGCCACUCGUAGCAAUGUGGAGAACGUUUUCAUACCUAGAACUUUGUCGAGCAACAGACGGAUUUAGUGAAAACAAUCUAAUCGGCAGAGGAGGGUUUGGCUCUGUUUAUAAGGCAAGACUUGGGGACGGGAUGGAGGUUGCAGUGAAGGUCUUCAAUUUGCAAUGUAGAAGAGCAUUUAAGAGUUUCGAUGUUGAAUGUGAAAUAAUGAAAAGUAUUCGCCAUCGAAACCUUAUCAAAGUUAUUAGCAGUUGUUCAAAUGAAGAGUUUAAAGGGUUGGUAUUAGAAUACAUGCCUCAGGGAAGUUUGGAGAAGCAUUUGUAUUCGACUAACUGCAUUUUGGAUAUUUUUCAAAGAUUGAACAUAAUGAUAGAUGUUGCAUCAGCUUUGGAAUAUCUGCACUUUGGUUGUUCAACUCCAGUAAUUCAUUGUGACUUAAAGCCCAGCAAUGUAUUGUUAGAUGAUAAUAUGAUUGCUUAUUUGAGUGAUUUUGGCAUCGCGAAGCUCUUAAUUGGAGAAGAUCAGUCUAUGACUCAGACGCAAACACUUGCCACAAUAGGUUAUAUGGCACCAGGUUUGUUCAAUAUAAAUAUUUUCUAUUUCUUGUAAACUUCCUAAUAAGUUAUUUAUGUUUCAUAAUCUUCAUUAGAUGAGGAAAUUAUUAUUAAUGAUAUAUCUUACUAUAUAAAUGUUGCAAUUCAUAGAGUAUGGAAGAGAAGGACGAGUAUCCACAAAUGGAGAUGUUUAUAGCUUUGGAAUUAUGUUAAUGGAAACUUUUACCGGGAAGAAACCCACAGAUGAAAUUUUUAAUGGAGAAAUGACAUUAAAGCAUUGGGUUAAUGAUUGGCUACCCAUUUCCACUAUGGAAGUUGUUGAUGCUAAUUUGCUAAGCCAGGAGGACGUACAUUUUGUUGCAAAGGAGCAAUGUGUGUCAUUUGUCUUCAAUUUGGCUAUGGCGUGCACUGUGGAAUCUCAUGAGCAGAGAAUCAAUGCAAAAGAAAUUGUAACAAAGCUCUUAAAAAUUAGAGACUCAUUACUUAGAAAUGUUGGAGGCAGACGUAUAAGACAACCAAAUUUAAAUUGAUUCUACCCCUCCAUUGCUUGCUAUCCUUUUCAGAGACUUGAACGGUUAUCCUUCAUACCAGUUUUGUUGAUAUGUUUUGUUAUUGCUCUUGCUUAUGUUUGUUUCUCUAUUUCUUUAAUUUGCAUGCAUGUAUUUUUCGUUCUCUUUUAUGUAUUUGUUGGUUUGUAUGUAGUUUGUUUUUAGGGGUAAGGUUGAUUAUGUCCUCCCCUAAUUAGACGUAUCCUUUUUAUGUUUAUUCAAUAAAGCUUCUCUAAUACUAUCGAGGUUCAUCAAAAGAAAAUUUUUAAUUAAUUUUCUUUUCUUUGACAGGUAAUGAAAUUCUAAUCUUCAUAGUGAAUAACUUCAAUAAUAGAGUGUAAGAGUAUUAGUAGUUAUGGUUGUUUUUUGAACCUGGAGUCAAGAGCAAUUUAACAGCAACAAACAAGUCUCUUGUAUUAUAGGCAAAAUUCUUUUCAUUAAUCUUAUUUGUCUACAUGUUCUCCUAUUUUCUCCAUUAAUCUUCGCUCAAGGUUUCAUGCUUCCUCUUUGAUAAAGGAAAAUAUUACUCGUGAAUAUUUCAAAUUUUCAAUUUGACAUGAGCGACUAUUUGCCAGCCAUUUGAUAAAAUGGAUAUGAGUGGAGUUUUCAAUCAUUACCUCCACCAAAAUCCUUACAACGCCACUUUUUAAUUUUAUUUUUUAAAAUACAUUCAGUUUAAUUUUAAAAAAUAAAUCCAUUUGUAAAAUUUAAUCUUUUUCUCAUAAAUUUCAACCUAAAAAAUAUAUUUCUUUUAAAUUUUUAUUAUAAAAUACUUACAAGUUCUAAACUAUUAAAUUAUUUUCUUCUUAUUAUAUAGUUUAUAUCUCCAUAACUCUAAACUCCUAUAAUUUCUUAAAAAAAAAAUUUUAAUUUAAAAUAUAAAUAUAAAAUAUAGAAUGGAGUGAGUAUAAAAAAACUUGUUAAAAUAAUAAUUCUUUUAAGUAUUUAACUGAAUUUUAAAUUAAAAUAAGAAAUAAAUUAUUUUUUUGGGAAAUAUUUAACCUACCCCCAAAUAAAUUGACAUUUUGCACCGCGUCCCCAAAAAAUUUGAUUUGUUGCACCGCGCCUCCAAUUCCGUUAUUUUCUCAGUUAAGUUUAACGGUGAGGGGGUAAAAUUGGAAGUUUAUUCCUCAAAUUACUUUUAAUAGGAAUUCUCUUUAUUGCAAUUGAAAUAAAAAUCUUUAAAAAUUAAAGGAAAAAUAAUAGUGGUGACAAUGUACAUGUAACAAGAAAUUUUUUUUAUUGCAAUUGAAAUAAAAAUCUUAAAAAAAUUAAAGGAAAAAUAAUAGUGGUGACAAAUGUACAUGUAACAAGAAAUUUUUUUUAUUGCAAUUGAAAAUUAAAGGAAAAAUAAUAGUGGUGACAAUGUACAUGUAACAUCAAUAAAUUUUUAUUACAUCUAUAAUAAGACAACUAUAGUGAGAUUACUCUUAUUUAGUUGAAUUGUAUGUAAUAAAAUUAGUUUAAAAAAAUCUAACCCGUCAGUAUUCCAUAUCACAUGAUUAACGUAUUUAAAAAAUCUUAGCUGUUCCGUCGCUUGUUUUAAACACUGCAGCAACAACCGGUAUAAAAUAGACUGAACUCAUUUAAUGGGAAUUUUUCUCAUUGGUCUAUUUCUCUUCGCACCUUAGGUUCCUCUAACAAACUUAAAAGAUGUUCCCCAUCCCACGUGUCUCCAAAUCUUCGUAUUUCCAAACAAACCCCUGCCAAAUAGAGAAGAGGAUGGCUUUUAUUGCAAACUGUAUGAACGUUAUGGCCAUGGGACAUUGGAUCAAAAUCAAACCAAUGGAUUGUAAAGCAAACUUACCGAUUAAAAAUUCAACCAAUUGAAUCGGUUUGGUGUCACUUAAAAAAUAAAUAAUAUAUAAAACAACACAAUUAUCAUAUUAAUGAGCCACUGUUAUAUUCAUUCAGUCAGUAUUUUUCUUUUCCCAUUUUCAAUGAAUGCUUAAUUUUCCAUAUGGAAAACAAUUUGUCCCAUUGAGCACUGUUUAAAUCAUUCCCUAGUUUGUUUAACACGCAAAGAAUAUUCUUAUUUGUAAAAAUUCAUUUAAGUGAUGACUGUGAUAUGACUUGACCAAUCGUUUAAUUUGUAUAAUUUAUAAAAAUUUGAGCUUCAAGUAAUGUAGAUAGAAUGGUUAAUUAUUUUAAUAUUCAGAUAAAUUGAUAUAUGUCAUUAUAUUAUGAGUGGAUGAAAUAUCCAAUAGAAAAAAAAAUAUUUGUAUUCGUCAUUUUUAGUGGGAAUCGAUUUAGUGUAACUUAUCCAUAAAAAUGGUUGCCGACUUAUCUUGUUUCUCAUUUUGUUUAAUUUUCAUAAAUUUGACUCAUGAUUAAUUGUGAGUGAAGAAUUUUUUGGAAAAAAUCUGGUCUUCCAUUUAUUUUGUAGGAUUUAAAAGAUUAAAAAACUUUAAUACAUAUAAUUUUAUGUUCGAAACUAAAUACUCGUAGUAUUGCUGCUUCUAUAAAUAACUCAUUUGAGCUUCCAGCCUGUUAUUUGUAUUUUACGUUUCUGUUUCUCUUCCUCUUCAUAAAGAUUUUUUUUUUUCCAUUCUCUUUUUCUUCCACUUUCCCGACUCCCAAACACCACCAGUCUUUGAUUUUCCUAGAGUAUUAACUAUCUGUUUACACGAACAUAGACCGACAGUUUGCCUAAUUACUAUCAAGAAACAACAUACUCUGUCUCGGGGUCUCUUCGUUUAUUGACUUGUCACUUGUGAACGGGCUAAUUAAAGGGCGUUCCUUCCUUCAAGAAAGGAUAACGUUACCCCGUUAUUCGGUAAUGACUGUCCGAUUGUCUUCGCUUUCAUUGACUUCGCAACUGUGAAUUCUAAGCCGGGUUAAGGAUUGACAAAAUGUUAUAACCCAUAAAGCACGGAUAAUUAAUUAAUGGGCCACUGAUUUCUUCUUUAAAGGCUAAUUCUUGGUAAAGAUCAGAAAGUUCUCAAAUAAAAAUUCGGCUUUGUGGAAAUUAAAUUAAAAGCAAUUAAGCAUUAUAAAUUACUUAACAGCUUAAUCGAGUUUGGUUUUGAAAAAUAUAUCUUUAAAUCUCUUGUAAUUAAAGAUAAUUAUCAUAUUACUGUCUCAAAUGGACCGAUUUCAAUCAAAUGAAAUCUAGAAAAUUGAGCAGCUCAUUGAUGUAUUUGGUCGAAUUGUGACUUGUGUCAGAGUCUUCGUUUUAGAAGAGUGCACAGCAGCUGCCAGGUCCACUUGGCAGUUGGCACGCCAAAAUUUUUCUGUUGACCAAUAAUUUUGAAAGGGAUAUUAUUAAUUUAAUAUCAAAUAUUUUCUAACACAUCACUUUACUAUCAAAAUUUUUUGACAAUAAUUUUUUAUCACUUAAUAUUUCAGUUUUUAUCAUUUUAUCAUCAAAAAAUAGUAAAAGCAUACUUAGUGUAAGUUGUUCAUAAAAAUGGUUGUUGAAUUGUCUUGUUUCUCAUUUGGUUUAAUUUUCAUAAAUUCGACUCACACAAUUCAAUUAUGAGUGAAGAGUUUUUUUGGGAAAAAUCUGGUCUUCCAUUUACUAGAAUCAGGUCUGAAUGAUUUUAUUAUUUUUCUUUUGUUUGAAAUAUACGUGGAAAAUGUUGAACACUUUGUAGGAUUUAGAAGAAUUUGAAAGUUUGAAUGCAUAUAGUUUACUAUCCAUCAGCUAGUGCAUAUUCUGUAUUUUAUGAAAUCAAAGCUGGUUGAUUGAGAAAUGGACCUUAUUACAUGUCAUAAGAUUUUACAGUGCUUUCUAAUGGAGCAAAAUAAAAUGAUUCUUACCUGCACAGAAAAUUAGAAACGAAAAGGAGGGUUACUGAUCCACAGAGUUGUUAUUUACGAGAAGCACAUAGAUAUUACACUUAAUUUAUUAUCCAUCUGUAUUGUUUAGAUGACACUGAAGUAUUACCUAAAUUAGGCUUUCAAAACUUCUUUUUCAAAAAUCUAUGGUUGUGAUGCAUCUCUAUAAACUCACUCGUACAAAUUCUAUCUAAUGCCAAUCAUUUUAACUCUGUUCUGAACAAAGCAUGAAAGGAUAUGUUCACUUAUCUAGUUAUGUUUUCUAUGCUUUCACUUCACUUGAUUCACCUUGUCCCUCGUUUUAGAAGAGUGCAGAGCAGCUGCCUUGUCCAUUAGGCACAGUUUCUUUUCUGGAAUUAGAAAAGAAAAGGAGGAUUACUGAUCCACAGAGGUGUCAUUUACUAGAAGCACAUAAAUCUUACACUUAAUUCAUUAACCAUAUGUAUGUUCUAAUGAUACUUAAGUAUUACCUAAAUUUGCCUUUCAAAACUUCACUUCGAAAAAGUCCAAGGUUGUGAUGUGUCUGUAUAAAUUCGCUAAUACAAGUUCUCUCUAUUCCCAAUUGUUUUAAACUCUGUUCUGAACAGAGCAUGAAAGGAUAUAUUCGUUUAUCUAGUUAUAUUUUUUAUGCUCUCACUUCACUUGAUUCACCUUCUCCAUCUUUUAAAACAGUUGUAUAUGUCGGAGUAUCAAGUUCAUCACAAGGAUCAUAUUAUGGCCCAAGGAAGGAGCACAGUUCAUUGUCUGCACUCAAGCUUAGCAGAGUAUUUUGGGAUUCAAGAGUGUUAGUAGGCCGUUACAGAUGCCAUGCUGGCAAGCGUGCUAUGACUGACUGCUAUUUGCACGUAAAAUUUGCCCAAAACAAAUAGAAUGAGAAUACUUGUACAAAAGGACAAGAUUAAUAAAGUGAAUAAAUUUUAUCUUUUAGUGAAUGCUUCUUGUCUUUUAGAGUUUUAGUGCAUUUUCGUGUGUAAUUUUAUGUGCAAAUAGCAUUACGCAUUAGUAAUUAGUCUAGAGUGUUCUAAUUUCUUCUAAUAAGUAGCUGAUUUGAGCUUAAGACUUGUAUUUUAUGAUUUUGUUACUUUCUAAUAAAGAUUUUCUCUGUUCUUUUUUUACUUUCACUUUCUCUUCCAUUUUCCCGACUCCCAAACACCACCAAUCCUUGGUUUUCUAGAGUAUAGCUAUGUAGUUCUGCAAACACGAAACUGCUGUUUGUCCAAUUACUUUCAAGAAACAACGUACUCUGUGGUUUAUUGACUUGUGACUUGUGGACGGGGCAAAUUAGUCACGGUCCGAUUGUCUCCUCUUCCACUGACUCUGUCAAUUCAUGACUUUGGCACACAGUAGACGCCAGCUGGCUUCUCCACUUGACGUGCAAAAAACUUUCUUGAGUCGGGUUAAAAUCGAUUGAUUAUUUUGUUUGGUGAUGAUGAGUUAUUUGUCAAUUCAUGAGUUUGAUACAGUGAAACGCUUAACGCUCUCUUGUGAUGCGCGGGAGAAAAGCCACCAGCGAUGAUGAAGAGGACGAAAAACAUUAUUUUGUUAUUUAAAAUAAGACUAUCAAUUAUAGGGUAAUGCUAAGUUACAUGCAUGUACCUUACAUCCCUCUCACAUGAAUAGUGUAUGGAUACUAUUCAUGUGAGAGGGUUGUAAGGUACAUGCAUGUAACUUAGAGGGAUCCUCAAUUAUAUAUUCCAAAAUAAUUGAGUUUGGUUAACCAAAGUUGGUUGAUGUGAGUGGUUCGGCACUCUCACUCCUUAAGAGAGAUCAGGGGUUCAAACCCCACUCUCGUAUGGAGUCACCACUUUGGCCAGCACUUUACCCCUUACGGGCCGACUCGGUGCAAGCGGGGAUUAGUCUGGGUUGUGGUACGAGCUUAAAGAUGCCUCCCAUAGUUAGGGUCCACUCAGGACUACCUCGUGGUUCAGACAAAAAAAAAUAAUAAUAAUUGGGUUUGGAUGGCCAUUUGGUUUUUUAAAAUAGCCAAAUGGAAUCUUACCGAAUUAGAGUGCUCGACUUCUUUAUACAGAAUUUUGAAAGUGUGAAAAUCAAGAAAUUAAAUACUCUUCAUAUGGUGGGAGGAGGUUUGGUUGCCGUUAUGCUAAAUAAAAGAAAAAUAAAGUAAAAGUACAAUACUUCAAUAAUCUCAUUCCCAAUCAUACCCGAAAUAAAAUUUUCUGUAUAUUUUUAUGAAAUAAUUAUUUAUUUUACUUUGGUAAUUUUUUUUAUUUAAAGUAAGGUAAACAUCCUUUGCUUUGGCCUUUACUCUUGACUCUAUUUCAUGGUCAUAUUCAAUCUCAUUCUUCUGUAGGUUUGUGGCUGCUUUAUGAGUUACGAUUUUUUAUAGGAUUGCAUGUAGAUGAUACAUUUAUAUACAUUUUUUCUUUUUUCUUUUCUUCUUCGGUGAGCAUAUAAAAAAUUUAGUUUUUGUUACUAUGUGAAAUGAAAAUAGUCCUCAUUUCAAGGAUUAAUGGGCCACUAAUUUCGUCUUCUUAAAAGAAAAUUAAUUAUUUUCAGCGAGGUAAUUGGAAGCUUGAGCAUUUCUAUAUUAUACAGCCAAACAAACCUAAUGGUGCGUUUACUUGCCGGAUUGGGGAAUCGGAAUCAGGAAUCGGAAUGACUGAUGGUGUUUACUUCAUAAAUAUGGAACAUGAAUCGGAAUCGGAAUAGUGGGGCCCACCACUAUUUGGGAAUGGAGAAUGAGAGAUUGAUUCCCAUGGGGGAGGUGGGAAUGUGUCUCCUAUUCCCGGGAUUGACCAUUUUGCCCUUCCCCAAAAUGGAAAAUGCCCACUUUGUCCUCUUUUAUAAUUAAUUAAUAUAAUAUUAUAAUCAAUUAAUUAAUAUAUUAUGAUAAAUAAAUAAAUAAAUAUAUUAUUAACUAUAAUUAUUAAAAAUUAUAGUUCUUGAAUAAAUAAUCACAAUAAUUAAUAUAUUAUUAUUAUAGUUAAUUAAUUAAUUAUUACUAUUAAUUAAUUAAUUAUUACUAUUAAUUAAUAUAUUAACAUAUUAUUAAUAAUAAUUUAUUAUUAUUAUUUUUGAAUAAAUAAUCACAAUAAUUAAUUUAUUAUUAUUAUAAUUAUAAUUAAUUAAUUAAUGUACUAUUACAAUAAUUAUUAAUAUAAUUAAUUUAUAUAUUAUUAUUAAUGAAUCAAUAUAAUUAUUACUAUUAAUUAAUAUAUUAAUAUAUUAUUAACAAUAAUAUAUUAAUAAUUAUUGUUCCUGAAUAAAUAAUCACAAUAAUAUAUUAAUAAUUAUUGUUCCUGAAUAAAUAAUCACAAUAAUUAUUAUUAAUAUUUUUAAUUAAUUAAUAUACUAUUAUAAUUAUUAUUAUAAUUAAUUCAUAUAUUAUUAUUAAUUAAAUAAUAUAUUUAUUACUAAUAAUUAAUAUAUUAUUAACAAUAAUUAUUAUAAUUAAUUCAUGUAUUAUUAUUAAUUAAUUAAUUAAAUUAAUAUUAUUAAAUAAAUAAAUAAUUUAAUUAUUACUACUAAUUAAUAUAUUAAUAUAUUAUUAACAAUAAAUAUUAAUAAUUAUAUUUUUUGAAUAAAUAAUCACAAUAAUUAAUAUAUUUUUAUAAUAAUUUUUAUUACAGUUAUUAUGAUUAAUUAAAAAAUUUUACAAGUAGUUAAUAUAUUAGUUAAUAAUAAUUAUGAAAAUAAUCCAUUAAGUACUUUUUAGUAAUUUGUUACAAUUUAAUUCAUUCCGAUUCUGAUUCCAAGACAAAGUAAACACAUUAAUGACAAUUCAACUCAUUCCGAUUUCGAUUCCUACAGUUCAAGUAAACAAUUUAUUUUGAUUCCCAUUCCAGCUCAUUCUCAUUCUUGUCCAUUUCGAUGCCAGCUCAUUCCAAUUCCAAUUUAGUAAACACAGCAUAAGUGAUAAGAAUUUCCAUAUGAGAUAUAAUUUGGAGGGAAAAAAAAUACUAAUUCAAGUUAAUAGAAAGAUUACAGCAAUAUAAUUUCAAUUUAUCCAAAAAUUUGAGUUUCAAGGAAUAUAGCAUUUAUUAUAUGUAUAGAGAAGCAAUUUUUAAAUAUUUCUUUUUUGAAUGAAUAAAAGUUUUUUUGAUAAAAAUUUCACAAUCAUAUUUAAAAAAAAGUUUAUUUUUUUUUAAAAAAAGUCACUCCUCUUCCUACAUAAUUUAGGAAUUUAACAUUACUUUCUUAGAAAUUUUGGUUUCACUAUAAAUACUCGGUAUACAGCAAACUUAUGAGUGUUCUUGCAUUACCAAUCCAAUUAAGCACACGCUUAAAAUCUAAAAUAAUCUCAUCUCAUGGAAAGUGUUCAUUCUCUCAAUAUUAUGAGCAGAUUUCUCUUACUCCAUUGAUUGAUUCUUAUUUCCUUAUUUAUCACAGCCAGUGGCGGACCUACACGUGGGCUACAGCCCGGUCUAGUCCAGAAAAAAUCGUUUAUACCCCUUAAUGUUUCAUUAAUUUAGUAAAAUUAUAGAGUUUUAAUUUUAUUUUCAUAUAUGUCCCUAACUCAAUUACCCUUAUAUUUUCAUCAAUUUAGUAUAACAAUAGAGUUUUUAUUUUAUAUUCAAAUAUGUCCCUAACCCAAUUACCCUUGUGUUUUCAUCAAUUUUAUAUAACAAUAGAGUUUUUAUUUUAUUUACAAAUAUAUCCCUUAUUCAAUUAUAUUAUUUUCAAUUGAAAUUAGUGACUUAUUUUAUAAAAUGAUUAAAUCAUAUAUUUAUUGAAUAGAUUGAAAACAUUAGGGAGCUAAAAUUUUAUUACUACUUUAAUUUAUUUUAAAAAACUUCUAAUUGAAAAAAAAAAUAUGUCAAUGUAAUAUAACAUUGUCACUAGUAUUAAAAGUACUUACAGAAACAACAUGCAGUAACAAUUAUCAAUAUUUUAUAAAAUUUUUAUGUGAAUUUUCAGAUUUUAUUUAUUAGUUAUAUUAACUAAGAGGGCAAGUUAGAAAAUAAAAUUUGAGUAUUUUAAGGAGCUUUUGAUAGAAGAAUUAUCAACAUCUAGUUUUUUAAAGAGAGCUAGAGCGCCUGACAAAGAAACAACUGCACCCAAAUACAUUUUUGCUGAAUUGAGUUUAGUUUAUUAUUGAAACUUUUGACUAAUAAUACCUUUACAAUUUGAAAGGAUGAAUAAAUUUUAAUUGUUUAAUUUAUUAAGUUUAGUAAUUAAGUACUUCACCUCAAACAUAAAAGUGUUACUUGUAAUUUUUAAUUGAUUGUAAUUACAUGUAUUGAUCUAUUUUAAUUUGAAAUUCUUAAUUGAUUUUUUAAUCCUUAUAUAAUUAUAUAUUAUUAUAGGCUGCAAUGUCAGAUUCUAUAAUUGAAGAAUAGUGUUUUCAUAUUCGAGUUACCUUUUGUUUUUUACUCUUUUUCUAUAAUUAUUUUUGUUUAUAGUUCAUAUUUAGAGAGAGAAAAUUUUUGGUAUUCCUCCUUAUUUAAUAUACUUAUUUUUAUAUAUAAAUUUUUAUGUUCGCUUCAAAAUAUAAAUUUUAAAAUUUAGCCCGGGGUAAUAUUAAGUCCUGGAUCCGCCCCUGAUCGCAGCUGCAACAGCCAACACAAGUACUAUUACCACAGACCGAGAUGCUCUGCUUGCCCUGAAAGCUCACAUAACUCAUGAUCCAACCAAUUUCUUCGCCAAAAAUUGGAACACGAAUAUCUCUUUCUGUAAUUGGACAGGCGUCGCUUGCGAUGUCCAUAGACAUAGAGUCACAGUCUUGAAUAUUUCUGGCUUAAAUCUCACGGGCACCAUCCCCUCUCAACUUGGGAAUCUUUCUUCUCUGCAAUCACUCAAUCUAAGUUUUAACCGACUUUCUGGUUCCAUUCCCUCCGCCAUUUUCACCACGUACACACUAAAAUAUGUUAAUCUCCGUCAAAACCAGCUCUCCGGCGCUUUACCUUCUUUCAUCUUCAACAAGUCUUCUUUACAACAUCUUGAUUUCACUUUCAAUACAUUGUCUGGUGAAAUUCCUGCAAAUAUUUGUAGUAAUCUUCCUUUCCUUGAAAUUCUUUCUUUACAAGAAAACAUGUUCCAUGGAGCAAUACCGUCCAAUCUAUCAAAUUGCACAUAUUUAAGAAUCUUAAGUUUGGCAUACAAUGAUUUCUCGGGAGCCAUACCUAGAGAAAUCGGCAAUUUGACCAAACUUAAGGGAUUAUAUCUUGGCGCUAACAGGCUCCAAGGUGCGUAUGAUGAUGGAGUUUAUGAAAAUUGUUGCAUAAGUUGUAAUAUGAAUAAUGUUCCAUAAUACAGUUUACACCCGUUGAUUAAUUUGCAGGAGAAAUUCCUCGAGAGUUUGGCAAUCUUGCCGUAUUGGAGCUGAUGUCGUUAGCAGGAAACAAUCUCCAAGGUAUGAUUUUAAACUUUUUGCAAUUUUAUUCUAGCCUCUGCUUGCUUCCGUAUUCAUUAGCUUGUUCUUUAAUUAUGCUAUGAUUUAUUGUUUUUCUUUCAGAUAGAGACAAAGCUCCACGUCUCCCCUCACUCAUUUCAUUCUUUAAUUUAUGCAGAUAAAAAAAAAAAAUGCUCUGUAAUUUUCUUUUGUCAUAUUGCCAUUUCCAUUUUGAAGCUUCCAAUUAAGUCGAUGAAAAUGAAUGAUGUUUCAUUCUUAUUCUUGUCAGCCUAAUUCUUAUAUAAUUGAAGAGUAAAUCGUCAUUAUGAUAUUCGUCAGCCAAUAAAUUCUUUUUUUCUUUUCCCAAAUAUGAGUGAUCAAAUUGUUUGCACAUACAUAUAUGUACUUAAUAUGCAGGAGGUAUUCCACAGGAAUUGGGGAAUCUUACAAAAUUGGAGGGGUUAGAGCUGGUCCAGAAUAACUUGACCGGUAACUUUCUUUACGAGAUAUAUAUAUAUAUAUAUAUAUGAGACAUCUUCCGCUUCUUAAUUAAUAGAUUUCAAGUCUCUCAUUAUAGAUUCUCACAUGAGGGUGUGUCGUUACCUCUAUCUAACAUUAUUCCGUUUUUUAUUAGAAAUUAGUUUGUAUUAAUUCAAAAUUCUGUAGCAUUUAAAAAAAAUUAAAACACGUGGAAUAAAUCGUCAAUCUUUCUUCUUUACUGAAUUUGGAUUUCUCAAAAAUUAUCAUGACAAGUAUUCUUCACUAAUGAUAUGGAUGUGUGACAACUUCAUAAAAUAUUUCACUAAUUAUCUUUAAAUAAUUGGAGAUGCCAUCAGUGAUACAUAAUUUCUUUGCAAUCACCAUACCAAAAGAAAUCAACAAUUUUAUUAAUCUUAAAGAGUUAUACCUUCACUGCAAUUAUGGCAUAAUUUUUUAUCUAAAGAAAUUUUAGCCAUCAAUCGCAUAAUAUUUUAUCUUAAUGGGUGAUGAUCAAUCUUGGAAUUUAUAAUAUCUUGAAGGUUAGUAGCUAUUAAAAUUAGAAAUUGUUUAUUUGCUAAAAAGUUAACUCAGUGUUUAAGCAUUUCAAUUGAAAAUUUUGAAACAAACGUUGAGAACUGGUCCUCCUUAGAAUUUCAGCGGAUAAAUAUGAAAAAUAGACUUGAAAACAAAAUAUUUUACUGAGAUAAUAAUUAAAAAGAGAGGAGAAGUACAAUACUCAUGACUUAGGGUUGCUGUGUACUUAUUUUACUUGGGCUUCGGGCUUGAUUACACGCGGUCGAACACUUACUUUUGGGGAUGAGUGGUGUCAAAUGUGUAUAUGCUUUUAUGUAUUAUUUAUUAUUCUUUGAAACAAAUCUAAUUAUAAUUCUUUCAAAAUACAGAUGAAAUAACAAGUGAAAUCGGAAAAUAUUUUUCUGCGAUAAGAAUUCAUAUAUUCAUUGUAGUAGCACAUAUCAAAUAGACUAUAAAUUUAGUUCAAAAUACAUUCUUAUCUUCAUAUAAAUUUUACAUUACUAAUUUAAAUUAAUAUUAAAAUAUGUUGUUUCUUUCACUAUGUUAUUUUAUUUACACAAUGAUGUGACUAUUGGAAUUAAUAAUACUCGUAAUUACUUAGCAAGAAUAUAAAUUUAAUACUUUGUUAACAUUUUAUCUACAUAUAAUAAUUAAACUGAAACUUGUAUUUAAAAAAUUUUAGUUACGCAUAUUCAUUUCAUGAUAUAAAAGUGUAUAUUUAUACUAAUUUACCAUUAUCAAUAAAAUGCUUUGAGACAAAUAAUCUAAUUUAUAUUAGUAUAUUUAAAAUACUUGCUUUUAUUAUAUUUUGAAAAAACUUUAUUUGCAAUUAUUUUAAACCUUUGGAUUCAAAUUUUCUUAGUUAUGUAUAAAUGUAUAAUAGUCAAAAACAUAUUUGUAUGAUCAUUUUUCAAUGUAUAAAGUUUCUUAAUUAGUAGGAAAAUUAGAAAUUGUUGAUUUACUCAUAAAUAAAUUUAGUGUUUAGCAUUUCAAUUUUGGAAAACUUGAACUAACUGUUGAUAACUUCGAAUCGGUCUAGCCGAGUUUCACUUCCUUGUCCCAUGGACCCAUUGAAAGUUCUAUUCGAAUUGAGUUAGUACUUGUAAUAAUUGUAUAGUGUAUAAAUGACCUUUUAUUAUUACAGUGCAUCCGUUUUUAGAUAUUAUUUAUUAUUUGAAAAAUAAUCUGAAUGUAAUUCUUUCAAAAUACAGAGAAGAUACCACCUGAAAUCGGUAAUCUCCGAAAUCUGGAGGAGUUGAACCUUGGUGAUAACAAAUUAGUAGGUACUAUCCCAACUGCAAUCUUCAAUGUGUCAAAACUCAAAGCACUUAAGCUUUAUAGUAAUUCUCUCUUGGGAAGUCUUUCGUCCAUCCCAGACUUCCGACUUCCAAAUCUUGAAGUGCUUCUUUUGUGGGGUAAUAAUGUUAGUGGCACAAUUCCUUGUUUCAUUUUUAAUGCUUCUAAGCUCUCUAAACUAGAUCUGGAAAACAACUCAUUCUCAGGUUUUAUUCCCAACACAUUAGGCAACUUAAGAAACCUUGAGCGGCUUAAUUUAGGUGAUAAUUAUUUGACAUCUUCAACUCCAGAAUUGAGCUUUCUAUCCUCGUUGUCAAAUUUCAAGUCUUUAACACAUAUUGUGUUAUCAAAUAAUCCACUAGAUGGCAUUCUUCCAAAGACGUUUUUCAGUAAUCUUUCUUAUUCUUUGGAAGAAAUUCAAAUGCACAAUUGUAACAUUAGUGGCGGCGUUCCUAAAGAGAUCGGCAACUUGACCAAUUUGACAACCAUUAUUUUAGGAGGCAAUAAAUUGAAUGGAUCGAUUCCGAUUACUCUCGAAAAAUUACAAAACCUUCAAUAUUUGGGUCUUAAAGAUAACAAAUUACAAGGAUCAAUCCCAGACAGUAUUUAUCGUUUGACUGAACUGUAUGAGUUGGAGUUUGGCGGCAAUAAGCUUUCUGGAUCAAUCCCUGCAUGCUUCAGUAAUCUGGCUUCUCUGAGGAUACUUUCGUUGGAUUCCAAUGAGUUAACUUCUAUUCCCUUAACUUUUUGGAACCUUAAGGAUAUCUUGCAACUCAACCUUUCAUCAAAUUUUUUUACUGGCCCACUCCCAUUAGAGAUUGGAAAUUUGAAGGUUUUGGUUGGAAUUGAUUUUUCGAUGAAUGAUUUUUCAGGCGUUAUCCCAACAGAAAUUGGAGGCCUAAAAAAUCUAGAAUAUCUCUUCUUAGGAUAUAAUAGAUUGCAAGGAUCGAUUCCUGAUUCAUUUGGUGAUUUGAUAAGUUUGAAAUUCUUGAAUUUGUCCAAUAAUAAUCUCUCUGGGCCAAUUCCUGCAUCUUUAGAGAAACUCUCAUAUCUUGAAAAUCUAAAUCUUUCUUUCAACAAGCUGGAAGGGGAAAUUCCUAGGGGAGGAUCUUUUAGAAAAUUCUCAGCUGAAUCAUUUGAGGGAAAUGAAUUAUUAUGUGGUUCACCCAAUUUACAAGUCCCGCCAUGCAAAACUAGCAUCCACCGCACAUCAAGGAAAAAUGCUCUUAUCCUAGGGAUUGUCUUGCCAUUGAGUACUAUAUUUAUGACAGCAAUCAUUUUGUUGAUCAUAAAAUAUCGAAAAAGAGAAAAAAGGCCACCAAAUUAUCCUAAUAUGCCACCAAUAGCAACGUGGAGAAGGUUUUCAUACCUAGAACUCUGUCAAGCAACAGACAAAUUCAGUGAAAACAAUCUAAUCGGUAGAGGAGGUUUUGGCUCUGUCUACAAAGCAAGAAUUAGGGAUGGGAUGGAGGUUGCAGUGAAGGUUUUCAACCUGCAAUGUGGAAGAGCAUUUAAGAGUUUCGAUGUUGAAUGUGAAAUGAUGAGAAGUAUCCGCCAUUGAAACCUUGUCAAAGUUAUUAGCAGUUGUUCAAAUGAAGAGUUUAAAGCAUUGGUAUUAGAAUACAUGCCUCAUGGAAGUUUGGAGAAGUAUCUGUAUUCAAGUAACUACAGUUUGGAUAUUUUUCAAAGAUUGAACAUAAUGAUAGAUGUUGCAUCAGCUUUGGAAUAUCUGCACUUUGGUUAUUCAGCUCCAGUAAUUCAUUGUGACUUAAAGCCCAGCAAUGUAUUGUUAGACGAUAAUAUGGUUGCUCACUUGAGUGAUUUUGGCAUUGCAAAGCUCUUAACUGGAGAAGAUCAAUCUAUGACUCAAACACAAACACUUGCCACAAUAGGCUAUAUGGCACCAGGUUUGUUCAAUAUAAACAUUUUCUCUUUCUUGUAAACUUCCUAAUAAGUUACUUAUGUUUCAUGAUCUUCAUUAGAUGAGGAAAUUAUUAUUAAUAAUAUAUCUUAUGAUGUAACUGUUGCAAUUCAUAGAGUAUGGAAGAGAAGGACGAGUAUCCACCAAUGGAGAUGUUUAUAGCUUUGGGAUUAUGUUAAUGGAAACUUUUACUGGGAAGAAACUCACAGAUGAAAUUUUUAAUGGAGAAAUGACAUUAAAGGAUUGGGUUAAUGAUUGCCUACCCAUUUCCACUAUGGAAGUUGUUGAUGCUAAUUUGCUAAGUCAGGAGGACAUACAUUUUGUUGCAAAAGAGCAAUGUGUGUCAUUUGUCUUCAAUUUGGCUUUGGAGUGCACUAUGGAAUCUCCUGAGCAGAGAAUCAAUGCAAAAGAAAUUGUAGCAAAACUCUUAAAAAUUAGAGACUCAUUACUUAGAAAUGUUGGAGGCAUAUGUAUAAGACAAUCAAAUUUAAAUUGAUUUUGCCCCUCUUUCAUUGCUUGCUAUCUUUUUCAGAGAUUUGAACGAUUAUCCUUCAUACAAGUUUUGUUGAUAUGUUUUGUUAUUGCUCUUGCUCAUGUUUAUUUCUCUCUUACUUUAAUUUGCAUGCAUGCAUUUUCGUUCUCUUUCAUGUUUGCGUUGGUUUGUAUGUAGUUUGUUUUUUGGGGUAAGGUUCAUUAUGUCCUCACCCUAAUUACAUGUAUCCUUUUUAUUUUUAUUCAAUAAAGCUUCGUUAUUACUAUCGAAGUUUAUUGAAAGGAAAUUUUCAGUUGAUUUUCUUUUCUUUGACUAGUAAUGGAAAUUCUAAUCUUUAUAGUGAAUAACUUCAAUGAUAGAAUGUGUGAACAUAUUUAGUAUGUUGAAAAUGAUCAUUAGAGAAAACAACAAGUAUCAAGGAAUAAGAUGUAAUUAAAUUGAUUGGACAGUUAAGAUAUCGAUUUAAUUAAUGAUGUGGUACAAAAGAUUGAGCGGUAAAGAAAUCAAUGUGGCUUGGGACGAAUGAUUAUUCGAACAUACAAUUAUGGAGGUCAACUCCAAUCUUAUAGUGGAGUAUAGUUGGAAUUAAAUGAUUAGGCUUAUUUAAUUACAGGCUUAAUUGUUGUAGCCAAUAGUGUAUGUUCCCAAAUGAUCCCCGAGUUAGCUCAUUUAAUUGACUGCACCACUAUUGGAUUAAUAAGCAAGAUAACUAACUAUUUGGGUCAAAAGCCUAAAUAUAUCAUUUAGUGGGAGGCUCCAUUUAAUAUGCUUGUGUGUAAGGGGCCUUAUGUUAUUUUACAAGGUGGGCCCCCUAUAGAAAAAGCAAGUAACUUGAUUUUUUAUUUUUAUUAUUUAGAGCCUAGGGUUUUCACUAAAGGGAGAUAUAAAAAGACUUAUUUUCUCAAAAGAAAAAAGUGAGCCGCAAUACAUAGAUUAGAGAAAAAGAAUUUUUCUCUCUCUAAUUGAGAGGAAAAUUUUCUGUUGCUAGUUGCUUUUAGUAGUGAUAAAGGCGUCCACAAAUCAAGUGCAGAUCAAAUCUAAGUCAUAACCUGGAAGAUCAUUGGUGACAGAUCGUGAUCUAACAAGCGUGCUGGUGACGGAUCGUGAUCUAAUAGGUGUGGUGGUGACGGAUCGUGAUUAGGGAGCCUAGAUUAACUCAGCGAAAAAGCCAAAUCAAAUUGUCAAGGUAUGAUUUUCUAGAUUACGAAUUCCUAUAUAUUAUAUGAGAUCAAUCCUAAAAGCUUUUUUUUUAAAACUGAUUUUUCCCUGACAAGAAAUUCACGGAUCAAUGGCUUCUUAUUGUUUCUUUUAGAUGACAGCUUGCAAUCUCUGGGUGUGCAUUCAUAAUGCCUUACAUGAAUACAAGAAUGAAGGUUGCCCCCCCCCCCCCCCCCCCCCCCCCCCCUCUCUCUGGGCCAAUUGCAGUUUUGAUAACAACUCAAAUCGGUGUGGUAGAAAGCCUUGCCCCAGACCUCCGCCAUUUUCUCUUCCACCACAAUUUGGGGAACCUAAACUACUUACUUUUUGCCAGUUUUUCUUGAAAUAUUUUUGAGAAGAAAACCAACAAUACAUUUUAUGAUUUGGGCUGUUUUAAAGAUCUUUGCUUGAUACCUCUGCUACUGGUUUUCAGCAGAGUGCCCAAAAAUAAUCAGUGCACGCACUAUAGGCUCUAUUAUUAUCAGUAAAAAGUAUUAAUGAUAUAUAUUGGGAUCGACUUUUUUAUUUGGGAGUGGAAGCAUGCUUGAAAGAGUAGAGUGGUGCAUCUUGUUCAAACAUGCCAAUUCCAUCUUAUGAAAUAGGAGUUAGACUGAACAAUGUUAUGUCUUCAUUAUCAUUUCAGAAGGAAACAAAUCAAAUGCAGCAAUUGAUGUACGAGUUGCUGUUGGCGCUGCUAUAUUUUUUACAGACUCUCAUACCAUGGAAAAACUCAGCUUUAAAGAAUGGUAUGAUGCUUUGAUUUAUGAAGUAAUUGGUAUAUAUUUUGUACCUUCCAUACAUUUUGCUCUGUUAAUGUUAUUAUUUGAUAACAUGUUUGUCGAGUUGCACAGUGUCUAGAAUUUUGAGAUUAAGAAGAGUCUAAAUGCUAUACAAAUACACUCCUUUCAUUUUAUACAACUUUGAUUGAUCAUUGUUUUAAAUUUACCUCAGGCAUCAAUGGAGUCUAUCCGAGUCUCCUUUGCUGGGGAAUCAGUCAAAUAACAGCACAGGUGCAUAUGUUCUAUCUCUUUUCAUUUAAAACUUCAAUUGAGUUGCUAUCUAUUUAACUUUGGCAAGUGAGAGAGAGGGAUGGGACCGUCCAAUUAAAUUUAAGUUUCAAGUGGCAAUCCCACCACUGUCGUCUCAUGUUUGCCAAAUUCAAAUUUGAAAAUCUCACCAAGUCAGUAUGGUGAUGUUGUGGGAUUGUCUCGCCUAGGUUUUUAGCCUCAUGACCUCCUUUAUUAGAAAAAGUCUUAAGUGUUCUUACUCAAUGGUAGAAUCAUGAUUUUACUUCAAUGGAAGCCAUACUGAUUAAAAUAUACUCUUUUGAUCAACUACUUAUUUGAUGUUGCUCUCUCAACCUUAAUCUCCUUCUUUAUGAAAAAUUUAUUGUAAUACAUGGAAGUAUAUAUUGCACUGAGUAAAAUGAAAUUGUUCAAAAAUUAACAAAUUCAGCUUUAUUAUAAUCUAAAACAAAGUAAAUAGAAUAAUACCCAUCAUGUAAAAAUAAAAAAUAAAAUUUUUAUACCACUUGGAAUUUAUUUUAAAUGUUUUGGUCAAAUCUAAGAAGCACAAACUUUGAACAAUGAUAAUAGGUAAAAACUAAUAAUCUUAUAAUAAAAAGUAAGAAAAAAAAUAAAGUUGAUUUAGCAGCUAAGAAUAAAAAAAGAAAAAUAGAAAGAGAGAGAAAUUAGUUUAGGCUUUAACCAUUGUUAUAGUAGAGAAAAAAAUUAAUUAAGAGUAAUUAGUUUAGACACUAUAAUGUAUUAUGUAUACGAAGGCUACAUUUAAAUGUGAAAUAAAAAUGAGUGCUUAUAUUAAAAAACAAUCAGUCUCAUUGCGUCCUCUUUCAUCGACAUAGGCAAAUUUGCGGUCAACUCGUGGCACCCUUAUUGACACGCAAAGAACUUACAUCGAGGAGUUGUUUGAUUUUAUGUUUCAAACUAAGUACCAUAGCAUUACUACUUCUAUAAAUAACUCAUUUGAGCUUCGAGCCUGUUAUUUGUAUUUUACGUUUCUGUUUCUCUUCAUAAAGAUUUUUUUUUCCAUUCUCUUUUUCUUCCACUUUCCCGACUCCCAAACACCACCAGUCUUUGAUUUUCCUAGAGUAUUAACUGUCUGUUUACACGAACAUAGACCGACUGUUUGUCUAAUUACUGUCAAGAAACAGCAUACUCUGUCUCGGAGUCUCAUCGUUUAUUGACUUGUCACUUGUGAACGGGCUAAUUAAAGGGCGUUCCUUUCUUCAAGAAAGAAUGCCAAGAAAGUACCAUCCAUUAGACACGUUAAGAAUUAUAAUUUUACAUUAAAAAUGGUAAUAAUCAUAAUAAUCGGUUUAGUGUUACCCCGUUAUUAGGUAAUGGCUGUCCGAUUGUCUUCGCUUUCAUUGACUUCGCAACUGUGACUUCUAAGCCGGGUUAAGGAUUGACAAAAUGUUAUAACCCAUAAAGCACGGAUAAUUAAUUAAUGGGCCACUGAUUUCUUCUUUCAUAAAAGAGAACUUUUCCAGGGAGAUUGGAAAAAAAGGCUAAUUCUGGGUAAAGAUCAGAAACUUCUCAAAUAAAAAUUUGGCUCUGUGGAAAUUAAAUUAAAAGCAAUUAAGCAUUAUAAAUUACUUAACAGCUUAAUUCUGAGCUAAUCGAGUUUGGUUUUGAAAAAUAUACCUUUAAAUCUCUUGUAAUUAAAGAUAAUUAUCAUAUUACCGUCUCAAAUGGACCGAUUUCAAUUAAAUGAAAUCUAGAAAAUUGAGCAGCUCAUUGAUGUAUUUGGUCGAAUUGUGACUUGUGUCAGAGUCUUCGGUUUAGAAGAGUGCACAGCAGCUGCCAGGUCCACUUGGCAGUUGGCACGCCAAAAAUUUUCUGUUGACAAUAAUUUUAUUAAUUUACUAUCAAAUAUUUUCUAUCACAUCAUUUUACUAUCAAAAUUUUUUGACAAUAAUUUUUUGUCACUUAAUAUUUCAGUUUUUAUCAUUUUAUCAUCAAAAAAUAGUAAAUGCAUACUUAGUGUAAGUUAUCCAUAAAAAUGGUUGUUGAAUUGUCUUGUUUCUCAUUUGGUUUAAUUUUCAUAAAUUCGACUCACGCAAUUCAAUUAUGAGUGAAGAGUUUUUUUGGGAAAAAUCUGGUCUUCCAUUUACUAGAAUCAGGUCUGAAUGAUUUUAUUAUUUUUCUUUUGUUUGAAAUAUACGUGGAAAAUGUUGAACACUUUGUAGGAUUUAGAAGAAUUUGAAAGUUUGAAUGCAUAUAGUUUACUAUCCAUCAGCUAGUGCAUAUUCUGUAUUUUAUGAAAUCAAAGCUGGUUGAUUGAGAAAUGGACCUUAUUACAUGUCAUAAGAUUUUACAGUGCUUUCUAAUGGAGCAAAAUAAAAUGAUUCUUACCUGCACAGAAAAUUAGAAACGAAAAGGAGGGUUACUGAUCCACAGAGUUGUUAUUUACGAGAAGCACAUAGAUAUUACACUUAAUUAGCCUUUCAAAACUUCAUUUUCAAAAAUCUAUGGUUGUGAUGCGUCUCUAUAAACUCAUUUUAAACUCUGUUCUGAACAGAGCAUGAAAGGAUAUGUUCACUUUUCUAGUUAUGUUUUUUAUGCUUUCACUUCACUUGAUUCACCUUGUCCCUCUUUUAAAACAGCUGUAUAUGUUGGAGUGCCAAAUCCAUCACAAGGAUCAUAUUAUAUCCUACGGAAGGAGCACAGUUCAUUGGCUGCACUCAGUUUACAGAGUAUUUCGGGAUUCAAGACUGUAGGUUGUUGCGGAUGCAACUUGCAAGGCUGUUGCUUUGUGACUGUAUGCGACGCUGGCAAGUGUGCUCUGACAGAUUGUGGAGAUGGCACCAAAGAUUGUAAACUAACUAGUACUGAAAAAUCCUAUUUGCACAUAAAAUUGCAUAAAAUAAAUAGAUUGAGAAAAGUUGUAUAAAGAAAUAAGAUUAAUAAAGUAAAUAAAUUUAUCUUUUAGUGUUUUUGUGUAUUUUUAGGUACGUACAAGAAGCAUUACUCAUUAGAGUGCAAUUUAUGCACUAGUUUUGCAUUAUUUACUUCCCUUAAUAUCGAUGUUUUGCAUUUAAUAAUAGUGAUUUACUUGUAUUUUACUUUUGUAGGUGCAAUUCUAUUGAUUGGUGAUAAAAUUGAGCUACAAGAUUAUGUCUAAGGAUGAUUGUUCUCUUGGAGAAAUUAUGAGCGUCAGAAGAACUUUGUUGAUAAGGCGUGGGCGCGUGCUGUCAACUACGGACCUGUAGUUUUUAGUUUAACGUGUUUUGUAUUUUUGGUUAUUUUUGUAAUUACGAAUUUAAUAUUUCAGAUAUUAGUAUUUUAUUUUAAAUAGAACUAUAGAGGAGAAGAGAGAGAGAGUAUUUAAGGGAAGAAUCUAUUGUGAAAAAGGGGACUUUCGGGGGAUUUUGAAAAAAAAGAAAGAAACUCUGGAUCUAAAUUUUUCUCUUCUCUCUAUGAAGAACUAAACCUAUUAUUCUGGUUUAAGGUUAAUGAAGCUUUGAUUCAUCACUACUGUGAGAUCUUUCUUAUUAUCAUGAUUAUGUUUGUUAAUUAGAUAAUUGACCACUAUUUAAUUAACAAACAUAAUCAUGAUAAUAAUUAAGAGAAUAAACAAAUACCCAAAAAGUAAUAAAACAAUUAAAGCAUAAGAAAGAUCUCACAGUAGUGAUAAUUAUAUUUUUUUUAAAAUAUAAAUAAAAUGAAUUUAUUUAAUGGAAAUUUAAAAAAGAGACACUUAUCUAUGCAAGCAAAGUUGCAUUCUGUCUGUGGGGACCUUAAAAAAAAAAGCAUAAUGAUAAACUGAUGACGACAAUCCUUAAGUAUUUGUUUUCUUUAGUUACAGUUAGGUUUGAAUGGUUAAGUUCAAGUUCGAAUUUUCUUUUUGUAAUUUAAAUUAAAAUUGAUAGAACAAAUGGGCUAAUCAGUAUGAUGAAGAAGAAGAAGAACUUUUGGUCCAUUCAAUGGACCGAAUUCAAUCAAAUGAAAUCUAGAAAAUAGAGCAGCUCAUAGAUGUACGUCGCUAAGUGGAUGUUCAUUUGGAAGUACUUUUGGUCGAAUUGCGACUUGCGCCGGAGGCUUCGUUUUAGAAGAGUGCAGAGCAGCUGCCUUGUCCAUUAGGCACGCCAACGACUUUCUAUUGACCAAUAAUUUUGAAAGCGAUAUUAUUAAUUUACCAUCUAAUUUUUUUAUAUUAUCAUUUCACCAUCAAAAUUUUUUGAUAAUUAUUUUUUUCACUUUGUGUUUUAGUUUUUAUUAUUUUACUACCAAAAAAUAGUAAACACACCCCUAAGAUAGGUUAUCCACAAAAAUAGUUACCGAAUUGUCUUGUUUCUCAUUUUGUUUAAUUUUCAUAAAUUCGACUCAUGAUUCAAACGUGAGUGAAGAGUUUUUUUUUGGGAAAAAAAUCUGGUCUUCCAUUUACUAGAAUUAGGUAUGUGUGAUUUUAUUAUUUUUCUUUUGCUUGAUAUAUAUCUGGAAAAUUAUGAAUACUUUGCAGGAUUUAGAAGGAUUUGAAUAUUUGAAAGCAUAUGGCUUUCUGUCCAUCAGCUAAUGCAUAUUCUGCAUUUUAUGAAUAUCAGAGCUGGUAGAUUGAAAAAUGGACCUUAUUACAUGUCAUAAGAUACUUUGCUCAAAGCUGCAAUUGGGCAACGCCGUGCUGUUCUUAUCGGCCAAGGCAAGCCAUUUACUAUUCUUUCUAAUGGAGCAAAAUAAGAUGAUUCUUACCUGCAUAGAGAAUUAGAAAAGAAAAGGAGGAUUACUGAUCCACAGAGCUGUCAUUUACUAGAAGCACAUAAAUCUUACACUUAAUUCAUUACCCAUCUGUAAUGUUCUAAUGAUACUUAAGUAUUACCUAAAUUAGCCUUUCAAAAUUUCACUUCGAAAAAAUCCAAGGUUGUGAUGUGUCUGUAUAAAUUCGCUAACACAAGUUCUCUCUAUUCCCAAUUGUUUUAAACUCUGUUCUGAACAGAGCAUGAAAGGAUAUAUUCGUUUAUCUAGUUAUGUUUUUUAUGCUCUCACUUCACUUGAUUCACCUUCUCCAUCUUUUAAAACAGUUGUAUAUGUCGGAGUAUCAAGUUCAUCACAAGGAUCAUAUUAUGGCCUAAGGAAGGAGCACAGUUUAUUGUCUGCACUCAAGCUUAGCAGAAUAUUUUGGGAUUCAAGAGUGUUAGUAGGCCGUUACAGAUGCCAUGCUGGCAAGCGUGCUAUGACUGAUUGCUAUUUGCACGUAAAAUUGCCCAAAACAAAUAGAAUGAGAAUACUUGUACAAAAGGACAAGAUUAAUAAAGUGAAUAAAUUUUAUCUUUUAGUGAAUGCUUCUUGUCUUUUAGAGUUUUAGUGCAUUUUCGUGUGUAAUUUUAUGUGCAAAUAGCAUUACUCAUUAGUAAUUAGUCUAGAGUGUUCUAAUUUCUUCUAAUAAGUAGCUGAUUUGAGCUUAAGACUUGUAUUUUAAGUUUUUAUUACUUUCUAAUAAAGAUUUUCUCUGUUCUUUUUUACUUUCACUUUCUCUUCCAUUUUCCCGACUCCCAAACACCACCAAUCCUUGAUUUUCUAGAGUAUAGCUAUGCAGUUCUACAAACACGCAACUGCUGUUUGUCCAUUUACUUUCAAGAAACAACGUACUCUGUGGUUUAUUGACUUGUGACUUGUGACUUGUGACUGGGGCAAAUUAGUCACGGUCCGAUUGUCUCCUCUUCCACUGACUCUGUCAAUUCAUGACUUUGGCACACAGUAGACGCCGGCUGCCUGCUUCAUUUGACGUGCAAAAAACUUUCUUUGGUUUUUUUGUUUGGUAAAUUAAACUCAACCUAUGGGUUAUUUUGUUUGGUGAUGAUGAGUUAUUUGUCAAUUCAUGAGUUUGAUGCAGUGAAACGCUUAACGCUCUCUUGUGAUGCGCAGGAGAAAAGCCAGCGAUGAUGAAGAGGACGAAAAACAUUAUUUUGUUAUUUACAAUAAGACUAUCCAAAUGGAAUCUUGUUUUCUAAAAUAAUUGGGUUUCGAUGGUCAUUUUGUUUUCUAAAAUAUCCAAAUGGAAUCUUACAGAAUUAGAGUGCUCGACUUCUUUAUACAGAAUUUAUAAAGGGGAAAAAUCAAGAAAUUAAAUACUCUUCAUAUAGUGAGAGGAGAUUUGGUUGCCAUAAUGAGAAAUAAAAGAAAAAUAAAUUAAAAGUACAAUACUUCAAUAAUCUCAUUCCCAAACAUACCAGAAAUAAAAUUUUCUGUACAUUUAUGAAAUAACUAUUGAUUUUACUUUGGUAAUUUUUUUUUUUUUAAAGUAAGGUAAACAUCUUUAUUUUCUUUGCAUACGAGCCUUCUUUCUUUUGCUUUGGCCUUUGCUCUUGACUAUAUUUCAUGGUCAUAUUCAAUCAAAAUCUUCUGUAGAUUUGUGGCUGUUUUAAGAGUUACAAUAAAUAUGUUAUCUCAAUUUAAAAAAAAAUGCAAUCGCAAUUAUCAAACACGACUAAUCCUAACAAUUUAUUCAAAAAUUUGAGUGUCAAGAAAUGUAGUAUUUAUGAUAGCAUGGCUAGUUUCAGAUAAAUGAUAAAUCAAUAUAUGACAUGUUACUAACUUACUUUAGGAAGAAAAUUAUAGAAUAAGUUUUUGAAUUAAUAGAAUUAUUUUACGACAAAACUAUCACAAUCUAAUUUAAAAAUAAAGUUAUUCUUUAAAUUUCUCAUUACUAUUCCUACCUGUCUUGUUAUACUACUUAAUGGCACUGCUGAAGCCUUGAACUAUCAAACAAAAAGCAAAAACACAUCAACAUCUGUUGUCCCAGUGAGCACUGUUAAAUUCAUACGAUAAAAGGAGUCUUUAAUUGACAUAGGCAAUGUGCGGUCAACUUGUGGCACCCUUACUGACACGUAAAGAACUUUCUUACACCACAGCCAAUACUUUUAUGAAUUUUUAGGACAGGUAAAAUUUUCAAAUUUAAAAGAAAAAAAUACAGAAAAGUAAUUUCAAUUUAUCCAAAAAUUUGAGUUUCAAGGAAUGUAGCAUUUAUUAUAUGUCAUGUUAACAUAAAGAAGAUUUAAAAAUUUCUUUUUUGAAUGAAUAAAAGUAUUUUUUGAUAAAAAUUUGACAAUCAUAUUUACAAAAAAAAAUAAAAAAAAAUCGCUCCUCUUCCUACAUAAUUUAAGAAUUUAACAUUUUAAAUUAAUCUUUUUAAUCAAAGUAAUAAUCUCUCCUUCCGUCUGUAAAUGCUAAAAUUUAAUAUUAUAUCCGUUGACGAUAUUUGCUCCAAAUUCACGAGAAUAAAAUUUCUAAUAGAAUUGUGAAAUUCGUUACUCGAAAUUUGUAUAAAAUUCGUGAGAAUAGAAGGUUUGAUCAUAGGAAAUUAAAAUAUCACUAUCCAAUGCAAAAAUGGUUAUAAAGAAAAACAAAAGUCACGGGCUUAUUAUAGAAAAAAAAAUUACUUUCCAUUUUCCAAUAAUUAAAUUAAUUCUAAAAUCAUAGACUUUUGGAAAGUAUCACAAAGGAUAGACUUUUGGUGACCGAGGUCAAGCCUAACGCAUGCCGGUCUUUUUCUCCUCUACUUUCUUAGAAAUUUUGGUUUCACUAUAAAUACUCGGCAUUACCAAUCCAAUUAAGCACAGACUUACAAUCUAAAAUACUCUCAUCUCAUGGAAAGAGUUCAUUCUCUCAGUAUGAUGAGCAGAUUUCUCUUACUCCAUUGUUUGAUUCUUAUUUUCUUAUUUAUCACAACUGCAACAGCCAACACAAGUACUAUUACCACAGACCGAGAUGCUCUGCUUGCCCUGAAAGCUCACAUAACUCAUGAUCCAACCAAUUUCUUCGCCAAAAAUUGGAACACGAGUAUCUGUUUCUGUAAUUGGACAGGCGUCACUUGUGAUCUCCAUAGCCAUAGAGUCACAGUCUUGAAUAUUUCAAGCUUAAAUCUCACAGGCCCCAUCCCUGCUCAACUUGGGAAUCUUUCUUCUCUGCAAUCACUCAAUCUCAGUUGUAACCGACUUUCUGGUUCCAUUCCCUCCGCCAUCUUCACCAUAUACACACUGAAAAAUGUUAGUCUCCAUAAAAAUCAGCUCUCUGGGCAAAUUCCUGCAAAUAUUUGUAGUUAUCUUCCUUUUCUUGAAGUUCUUUCUUUGUCCCAAAACAUGCUUCAUGGCGGAAUACCGUCCACUCUAUCAAAUUGCACAUAUUUAAGAAUCUUAAGUCUGCCAUACAAUAAUUUCUUGGGAGCCAUACCAAAAGAAAUUGGGAACUUGACCAAACUUAAGCUAUUAUAUAUUGGCGUUAAUAGACUCCAAGGUGCGUAUGAUCAUGGAGUUUAAUUAUAAAAAUUGUUCCGCAAGUUGUAAUAUGUAUAAUGUUCCAUAAUGCAAUUUACACACGUUGAUUAAUUUGCAGGGGAAAUUCCUCGAGAGUUUGGCAAUCUUGCCGAAUUGGAGCGGAUGUCGUUAGCAACUAACAAACUCCAAGGUAUGAUUAUAAACUUUUUGCAAUUUGAUUCUAGCCUCUGCUUGCUUCUGUAUUCAUUCGUUUGUUCAUUAAUUGUUUUUCUUUCAGAUGGAGAUAAAGCUCCAUGUCUCUCCUCACUAAUUUCAUGCUUUAAUUUAUGCAGAUAAAAAUAAAAAAAAAUUUAAUUUUCUUUAUUCAUAUUGCCACUUCCGUUUUGAAGCUCCCAAUCAAGUCGAUGAAAAUGAAUGAUGUUUCAUUCUGAUUCUUGUCAGCCUAAUCUAUAUAUAUAUAUAAAGCUGAGACUUGAGGAGGUGAUAUGGUAUCACUAUUUCUCAUCUUUGUAUAUUCUCUAUUUUCUAAUAAAUAGAGAAAUUUUCUUUUAAAUUUAGUUUUUCAUCUUCUCACAAUUAAUUUAAUUGUUAUUACACAAUAACAAUUAUGUAAAGGUUUUAAUGAGGCAUAUUCUUUGUAAUGAACAUCCAAGGGGGAGUGUUAUGAAUUUAUUAAAAUAAAUGUAGAUGUUCAUAACAUAUAUCUCUUAGUCUCCCUACUAUCUCCCAUUAGCAACCUUUAACUUCCCUAUAACUCCCACUAUCUCACAAGAAAUUAUGAUCCAUAAUUUUUCCUUAAUUUCAUGGAGUGAUUAUGUAACUAUAAAAGGAGAGCUCAUCUUUUUGUUUUGUACACACAAUUGAAAUGAAUAAAAUCACUGUAUAAUAUAUUCUCUCAUUUUAUUCUUUAUCUUGCAUUACUUCUUUAUUUGUAUUGCUGGCUAAUAGCUUUUUUUAUUUUUUAUAAGGCUGCCUCAUCUUAAAAAAAAAAUCAAUUCAUAUUUUUUAUCAGUUUCAUCAAGUGUAAAGUAAAAAAAAAAGGAUAAUACUAAAUUCUUUUUUCAAAGCCGCGUGAAACGCGGUUAUAUUUUCUAGUUCUUAUAUAAUUGAAGAGUAAAUUGUCAUUAUGAUAUUCGUCAGCAAAUAAAUUCUUUUUUUCUUUUUUCCCCCCAAAUAUGAGUGAUCAAAUUGUUUGCGCAUAUAUAUAUAUAUAUAUAUAUAUAUAUAUAUAUAUAUAUAUAUAUGUAUGUAUGGAGAAAUGUUCCAGUCAGGGAUUUUAAAGUACGGGAAAGUACGGGAAACCUUUAAAACCGCAUGGUUUUAAAGGCUUAAAACUGUAAGCCUUUAAAGCUGUGUGGUUUUAAAGGUUUCCCAUACUUUCCCGCACCUUAAAAUCCCUGAUCAGAAAACUACUAUGUAUGUAUGUAUAUAUAUGUACUUAAUUCGCAGGAGGUAUUCCACAGGAAUUGGGGAAUCUUGCAAAAUUGGAGGGGUUACAGCUGUUCGGGAAUAACUUGACUGGUAACUUUCUUUACGAUAUAUAUAUAUGAGACAUCUUCCACUUCUUAAUUAAAAGAUUUCAAGUCUCUCAUUAUAAAUUCUCAUAUGAGGAUGUGUCGUUACCACUAUCUAACAUAUAUAUUUUUUAUUCAAAAUUAGUUUGUGUUAAUUCAAAAUUCUAUAGCAUUUAAAAAAUAUUAAAAACACGUGGAAUAAAUCGUCGAUCUUUCUUCUUUACUGAAUUUGGAUUUCUCAAAAAUUAUCUCAACAAGUAUGCUUCACUAAUGAUAUGCAUGUGAGACAACUUCAUAAAAUAUUUUACAUGGAAUCAAUAAUUAUCUUUAAAUAAUUGGAGAUGCCAUCAGUGAUACAUAAUUUCUUAAUAAGCACCAUACCAAAAGAAAUCAACAAUUUUAUUAAUCUUAAAGAGUUACAUCUUCACUGCAAUUAUGACAUAAAUUUUUAGUCACCAAUCACAUAAUAUUUUAUCUUAACGGAUGAUGUUCAAUCUUGGAAUUUAUAAUACCUUGAAGGUUAGCAGCUUUGAAAAUAAGAAAUUGUUCAUUUGCUAAAAAGUUAACUUAGUAUUUAAGUUUUUCAAUUGAAAAUUUUGAAAAAAGUAUUGAGAACUGGCCCUCCCUAGUAUUUCAGUGGAUGAAUAUGAAAAAUAGGCUUGAAGAAAUUAUUGUUGUGUGUGCUUAUUCUACUUGGGCUUUGGGCUUGAUUACAUGGUCGAGCACUUACACCUGUUAUAAUAAUAGGCUUUUACUUUCACCACACGUUUGAUAAUUUCUUAACCUUCCCAAUUAGGUUAUAGCAAUUUAUAUAUAAAUAACACUUACACCUGUUAUAAUAAUAAUAGCAUCCGCCGAUCGACUACGAGUGAUCAAAUUGUUUGCACAUAUGUAAUUUGCAGGAGCAAUUCCGCGGGAGUUGGGAAAUCUUACAGGAUUGGGGACCUUAGAGCUGUCUGAAAAUUUUUUGACCGGUAUCAUUCCUUCAUCUAUCUACAAAUUGCUUUUCUCUAUUAAAUUUGAAAUUGUCAUUUAAUAACUUAACAAGUAACUUCCCUUACAACAUCUAUCUACAAAUUACUAAUUUAAAUUAAUAUUAAAAUAUGUUGUUUCUUUCACUAUGUUAUUUUAUUUACACAAUGAUGUGACUAUUGGAAUUAAUAAUACUUAUAAUUAUUUUGUAAAAAUAUAAAUUUAAUACUUUGUUAACAUUUUAUCUACAUAUAAUAAUUAAACUGAAACUUCUAUUUAAAAAAUUCUAGUUACGCAAAUUCAUUUCAUGACAUAAAAGUGUAUAUUUAUGCUAAUUUACCAUUAUCAACAAAAUGCUUUGAGACAAAUAAUCUAAUUUAUAUUUGUAUAUUUAAAAUACUUGCAUUUAUUAUAUUUUGAAAAAAAAUUAUUUUACUGAAAUAAUAGGCUUUUACUUUCACCACACGUUUGAUAAUUUCUUAACCUUCCGAAUUAGGUUAUUGCAAUUUAUAUAUAAAUAACUAAAGCAUACUAAAGCUAGCAUACAGUACUCAUGACUUAGGCUUGCUGCAAUAUCCAUUAAACACGGUCGAACACUUACACAUGUUAUAAUAAUAUUAGCAUCCGCCGAUCGACUAUGAGUGAUCAAAUUGUUUGCACAUGUGUAAUUUGCAGGAGCAAUUCCACUGGAGUUGGCAAAUCUUACAGGAUUGGAGAUCUUAGGCCUGUCUGAGAAUUUUUUAACCGGUAUCAUUCCUUCAUCUAUCCACAAAUUGCUUUUCUCUAUUAAAUUUGGAACUGUCAUUUAAUAACGUAACAGUUAACUUCCCUUACAACAUGUCUGUGUGACAUGUUUUGCUUCUUAAUUAAAAUAUUUCACUUCUCUCAUUAUAAAUUCUCAUAGGAGGAUGUGUUGUUAUUACUAUUUAACAUUAUCUCGUUUUUUAUUAGAAAUUAAUCUGUGUUUAUGCAAAAAAAUUUAGCAUCUAAAAAAAGUAUAAAAACACGUGGAAUAAAUCGAAAAUCUUUCUUCGUUACUGAAUUUCAAUUUCUCAAAAAUUAUCAUGACAGCUAUGUUAGUGUCUUACUAAUGAUAUGCAUGUGUGACAGCUCCAUAAAAUAUUUUACAUGGAAAAUAUGAAAAAUAGACUUAAAAAAAAAAAUUAUUUUACUGAAAUAAUAGUUAAAAAGAGAGGAGAAGUACAGUACUCAUGACUUAGGCUUGCUGUGUACUUAUUUUACUUGGGCUUCGGGCUUGAUUACACACGGUUGAACACUUACAUCCCCCGACAUAGGCUUUGAGGGAUGAGUGGCGUCAAAUGUGUAUCUGCUUUUAUGUAUUAUUAUUCUUUGAAACAAAUCUGAUUAUAAUUCUUUUAAAAUACAGAUGAAAUAGCAUGUGAAAUCGAAAAAUAUUUUACUGCGAUAAGAAUUCAUAUAUUCAUUGUACUAGCACAUAUAAAAUAGACUAUAAAUUUAGUUCCAAAAUACAUUCUUAUCUUCAUAUAAAUUUUACAUUAUUAAUUUAAAUUAAUAUUAAAAUAUGUUGUUUCUUUCACUAUGUUAUUUUAUCUACACAAUGAUGUGACUAUUGGAAUUAAUAAUACUUAUAAUUAUUUUGUAAAAAUAUAAAUUUAAUACUUUGUUAACAUUUUAUCUACAUAUAAUAAUUAAACUGAAACUUGUAUUUAAAAAAAUUCUAGUUACGCAUAUUCAUUUCAUGACAUAAAAGUGUAUAUUUAUGCUAAUUUACCAUUAUCAACAAAAUGCUUUGAGACAAAUAAUCUAAUUUAUAUUUUUAUAUUUAAAAUACUUGUAUUUAUUAUAUUUUGAAAAAAAUUUAUUUGCAAUUAUUUUAAACCGUUGGAUUCAAAUUUUCGUAGUUAUUAAAGUCAAAGGGUAUAAAUGUAUAAUAGUCAAAAAUAGAUUUCUGUGAUCAUUUUUCAAUGUAUAAAUUUUCUUAGUUAGUAGAAAAAUUAGAAAUUGUUGAUUUACUCAUAAAUAAAUUUAAUGUUUAGCAUUUCAAUUUUGGAAACUUUGAAUCGGUCGAGCCGAAUUUCGCUUCCUUGACCCACAGACCCAAUGAAAGUUCUAUUCGAAUUGAGUUUCCCAGUGCUUACAAAAAGCAUUUCUUUUCCUUGUCGCAGUAAUUUAUUCACAAAUGAGUUGAUUAGCAUCGAAGUUACCUGAGAGUCUGAGACCAUGCUAGUAGGAGAAAUUUGAAAAGAAAUUAUUUUACUGAAUUAAUUUAUUUUAUCUUGUUGUAACUGAAAUACUACUUUUUUUUUUGGGCUGUCACUUGGGCUUGAUUUACCUUAAUAGUAGCAGCCACCGACUUAGGCGUUUUUUACUUCUCACCACACAAUUUGAUCUUUUAAUUUGUUUUAACCACAUAAUCUAUCUAUUUUUCACCUAUUGCUUACUUAAAUCGCAUACAUAUUUUACCUACUAAUUUUUAUAAAUAUUAGUCAAAUAUAUUUUAUUACGUUUCUCUCGUAACUGCUCCAAAUGUGUACUAUUAAUACUUAACCCUCCCUUUUAAUUCACCAUGCAAUCUAUCUAUCACUUAAGUCACAUAUAUAUUUUACCCCAAAAAAUAUAAAAAUAAAAGAAAAAGAAUAUGUGUAGCAAUUUGCAUAUAACUAACAAAGCAUUGACGGUGUGUAGCCUUUCAAUACUUCACGAGUGGCUUUUCUUGUGUGUUAGUACUUGUAAUAAUUGUGUAGUGUAUAAAUGACAUUUUAUUAUUAAAGUGUGUCCAUUUUUAGAUAUUACUUAUUAUUUGAAAAAUAAUCUGAAUAUAAUUCUUUUAAAAUACAGGGGAGAUACCACUUGAAAUUGGUAAACUCCAAAUUCUGGAGGACUUGCACCUUGGUCAAAACAAAUUAAUUGGUACUGUCCCAGUUGCAAUCUUUAAUGUGUCAACACUCAAAUUACUUCAGCUUCAAAAUAAUUCUCUCUCGGGAUGUCUUUCGUCCAUCGCAAACAUCCGACUACCAAAUCUUGAAAAGCUUCAUUUGUGGGGUAAUAAUUUUAGUGGCAUAAUUCCUCGUUUCAUCUUUAAUGCUUCUAAGCUCUCUACACUAGAGUUGGAAGAGAACUCAUUCUCCGGUUUUAUUCCCAACACAUUUGGCAACUUAAGAAACCUUGAGCGGCUUAAUUUAGGUGAUAAUUAUUUGACAUCUUCAACUCCAGAAUUGAGCUUUCUAUCCUCGUUGUCAAAUUGCAAGUCUUUAACACUUAUUAUCUUAUCAAAUAAUCAACUAGAUGGCAUUCUUCCUAAGACGUCUAUCGGUAAUCUUUCUCGUUCUUUGGAAGAAUUUUACAUGCACAAUUGUAACAUUAGUGGCGGCAUCCCUGAAGAGAUCAGCAACUUGACCAACUUGACAACCAUUAUUUUAGGAGGCAAUAAAUUGAAUGGAUCAAUUCCGAUUACUCUCGGCAAAUUACGAAAGCUUCAACGGUUGAAUCUUGAAGAUAACAAAUUAGAAGGAUCAAUCCCAAACGACAUUUGUCAUUUGGCUGAACUGUAUAGAUUGGAGCUGGGCGGCAAUAAGCUUUAUGGAUCAAUCCCUGCAUGCUUCGGUAAUCUGGCUUCUCUGAGGAUACUGUCGUUGGGUUCCAAUAAGUUAACUUCUAUUCCUUUAACUUUUUGGAACCUUAAGGAUAUCUUGCAACUCAACUUUUCAUCAAAUUUUUUGACUGGCCCACUCCCAUUAGAGAUUGGAAAUUUGAAGGUUUUGAUUGGAAUUGAUUUUUCGAUGAAUAAUUUUUCAGGCGUUAUCCCAACAGAAAUUGGAGGCCUGAAAAAUCUAGAAUAUCUCUUCUUAGGAUAUAAUAGAUUGCGAGGAUCGAUUCCUGAUUCAUUUGGUGAUUUGAUAAGUUUGAAAUUCUUGAAUUUGUCCAAUAAUAAUCUCUCUGGGGCUAUUCCUACAUCUUUAGAGAAACUCUCAUAUCUUGAAGAUCUAAAUCUUUCUUUCAACAAGCUAGAAGGAGAAAUUCCUAGGGGAGGAUCUUUUGGAAACUUCUCAGCUGAAUCAUUUGAGGGAAAUGAAUUAUUAUGUGGUUCACCCAAUUUACAAGUCCCGCCAUGCAAAACUAGCAUCCACCAUACAUCAUGGAAAAAUUCUCUUCUCCUAGGGAUUGUCUUGCCAUUGAGUACUACAUUAUUGAUAGUAGUCAUUUGGUUGAUCCUAAGAUAUCGACAGAGAGGAAAACAACCAUCGAAUUAUGCUAAUAUGCCACUAGUAGCAACGUGGAGAACAUUUUCAUACCUAGAACUUUGUCGAGCAACAGACGGAUUCAGUGAAAACAAUCUAAUUGGCAGAGGAGGUUUUGGCUCUGUUUAUAAGGCAAGACUUGGGGACGGGAUGGAGGUUGCAGUGAAAGUUUUCAAUUUGCAAUGUGGAAGAGCGUUCAAGAGUUUCGAUGUUGAAUGUGAAAUGAUGAAAAGUAUUCGCCAUCGAAACCUUAUCAAAGUUAUUAGUAGUUGUUCAAAUGAAGAGUUUAAAGCGUUGGUAUUAGAAUACAUGCCUCAUGGAAGUUUGGAUAAGUAUCUGUAUUCAAGUAAUUGCAUUUUGGAUAUUUUUCAAAGAUUGAACAUAAUGAUAGAUGUUGCAUCAGCUUUGGAAUAUCUGCACUUUGGUUAUUCAGCUCUAGUAAUUCAUUGUGACUUAAAGCCCAGCAAUGUAUUGUUAGACGAUAAUAUGGUUGCUCAUUUGAGUGAUUUUAGCAUCGCAAAAUUGCUAACUGGAGAAGAUCAAUCUAUGACUCAAACACAAACACUUGGCACAAUCGGCUAUAUGGCACCAGGUUUGUUCAAUAUAAAAUUUUUCUAUUUCUUGUAAACUUCCUAAUAAGUUAUUUAUGUUUCAUGAUCUUCAUUAGAUAAGGAAAUUAUUAUUAAUGAUAUAUCUUACUAAGUAACUGUUACAAUUCAUAGAGUAUGGAAGAGAAGGACGAGUAUCCACAAAUGGAGAUGUUUAUAGCUUUGGGAUUAUGUUAAUGGAAACUUUUACCGGGAAGAAACCCACAGAUGAAAUUUUUAACGAAGAAAUGACAUUAAAGCAAUGGGUUAAUGAUUGGCUACCCAUUUCCACUAUGGAAGUUGUUGAUGCUAAUUUGCUUAGUCAGGAGGACGUACAUUUUGUUGCAAAGGAGCAAUGUGUGUCAUUUGUCUUCAAUUUGGCUAUGGCGUGCACUGUGGAAUCUCCUGAGCAGAGAAUCAAUGCAAAAGAAAUUGUAAAAAAGCUCUUAAAAAUUAGAGACUCAUUACUUAGAAAUGUUGGAGGCAGAUGUAUAAGACAAUCAAAUUUAAAUUGAUUCUACCCUUCCUUCAUUGCUCGUUAUCCUUUUUAGAGAAUUGAACAGUUAUCCUUCAUAUAAGUUUUGUUGAUAUGUUUUGUUAUUGCUCUUGCUCAUGUUUAUUUCUCUGUUUCUUUAAUUUGCAUGCAUGUAUUUUUCAUUAUCUUUUAUGUUUUUGUUGGUUUGUAUGUAGUUUGUUUUUAGGGGUAAGUUGAUCAUGUCCUCCCCUAAUUAGACGUAUCCUUUUUAUGUUUAUUCAAUAAAGCUUCUCUAAUAUUAUGGAGGUUCAUCAAAAGAAAAUUUUUAAUUAAUUUUCUUUUCUUUGAUAGGUAAUGAAAUUUUAAUCUUCAUCGUGAAUAACUUCAAUAACAGAGUGUAAGAGUAUUAGUAGUUAUGGUUAUUUUUUGAACCUGGAGUCAAGAGCAAUUUAACAGCAACAAACAAGUCUCUUGUAUUAUAGGCAAAAUUCUUUUCAUUAAUCUUAUUUGUCUACAUGUUCUCUUAUUUUCUCCAUUAAUCUUCGCUCAAGGUUUCAUGCUUCCUCUUUGAUAAAGGAAAAUAUUACUUGAGAAUAUUUCAAUUUGACAUAAGAGACUGUUUUGCCAACCAUUUGAUAAAAUGGAUAUGAGUGGAGCUUUCAAUCAUUACCUCCACCAAAAUCGUUACAACGCCACUUUUAAAUUUUAUUUUUUAAAAUGCAUUCAGUUUAAUUUAUAAAAAAUAAAUCCAUUUGUUAAAAUUAAUCUUUUUCUCAUAAAUUUCAACCUAAGAAAUAUAUUUCUUUUAAAUUUUUAAUUAUAAAAUACAUACAAGUUCUAAACUGUUAUAUUAUUUUCUUCUUAUUAUAUAGAUUAUAUCUCCAUAUCUCCAUAACUCUAAACUCCUAUAAUUUUUUAAAAAUAUUUUUAAUUUAAGAUAGGAAAAUUAUCAUUUGUAUACCCUAUAUUUGCUCUGUUAUCAAAAAUACUACAACACUUUGAGGGUGUAUCAAUCGUCCACCCUUAGUUGACAAAAUGUAUCAGCUGACCACCAAACCGUUAGUUGCCGUUUGAAAGUUAACGGAAUUACAGUGAAUUGACGAUUUUACCCUUGAAAAUUAUCACUUGUAUACCCUUAAUUUCUCUUUUUAUCACUUGUAUACCCUUAAAUUAUCACUUGUAUCUUAUGAAAAGACCAAAUUACCCUUCUAACGUCAUCAUAUUUAAACGGCAACUAACGGUUUGGUGGUCAGUUGAUACAUUUUGUCAACUUUGGGUGGAUGAUUGAUACACCCUCAAAGUGUUGUAGUAUUUUUGAUAAUGGAGUAAACUAAGGGUAUACAAAUGAUAAUUUCCCUUUAAAAUAUAAAUAUAAAAUAUAAAAUGGAGUGGGUAUAAAAAAACUUGUUAAAAGAAUAAUUCAUUUAAGUAUUUAACUGAAUUUAAAUUAAAAUAAGAAAUAAAUAAAUUUAUUUUUUAUUAGUUAAGUAAUUUUCAAUUGAAAAAGAGCUGUAUGAGUAAUAUUAUUGAAAUAUGAUUAAAAUUCUUAUGAAUUAAACAUUUUCGUAUAAAUACUAGUGAUAAUUAUAGAGAAAGUAUGAUGAACCAAAGAAAACUUGAAUAUAAAUACUCCAAUGUAAUUUUACACAUGCAAAUUAUGAACCAAUGAUCUUUAGAGCAUUAUAAAAUUAUUUUGACAUAAUUAUUUAUUUUGAAAAAUUGCCAACAAUGUUUUAUUAAAGUGGGAUUGAAAAGAUUAUGCUACUUAUAUAAGACAUGAUAUCAUUUAACAUGGCUUGCAGAUUAUGAGAAAUAUAUUGAUCUUACAAAUAUUUAAUAUGUUAAUUAGACAGGUCCAGCUGCCUUCCACCCGCUGGAAGGUACAACUUAUUUUGUCCUCUAGUGUUGUGGCCAUUGGAUAUUUGAGAAAUUGAUCUAUCGGUUCUUGUUCAGCAGCGUGAAAUUGAAUUUCAAUCGGCAAACGUUUCAUGAACUUUGCAAGGGACAAUUAUCUACAAAAAUAUUUUUUAAAAAAAUAAUUUUUCCCUUUCAUCAGCCGCCGCUGCCACCCACAACUCCUUAAUAUCAUCAUCACCAUCCCAAUCCUUAGCCGCCAUCCACAAGCUCUAACAACCACCAUGACCGCCAUCACAACCACCACUCCUCAUAACCCCUAGCCACCACUACAAACAUUCACAAACCCUACCAAUCAUCCACAACACCUAACCGCCGUCACCAACAAACUUUCGCCGCCGCUUCCUACAAGCAAGCCUCACCACCCACCACCGCACACACACAAAGCCACACCAACCGCCAUACUAUUGUGACAGAGCCCACAAUGUAGACAAGAUCCAGCAGAGGGGGGAUGUUUUCCUUCUUCGGCUGACUAUUCUUUUUUUUUUAUUUUUUAAUUAUUAUAUUACUUUUAGUUAUUUUUAGUUAUUCUUUUAUUUUGUCUAUAUUUUGGUUGUUAGAUUGUUUUUGUUGUUGUUAUUGGCGGCAGUGGAGUUGCAGCUCGUGAUGAUGAUGGUGAUGUUGGUGUCAUUUUAAUCGAGAUUUUGUCUUUUUUUUACCGGCUACGCCAGUCAUCUUCAUUCAUUACGUGUCCAUUUCUAACAUGUUAGAUUUUACUACUUUUUAAUCCAAGGAUUAGACCACAACGAGACAAAAGAUGGGGUACCUUCCAAUGGGUGGAAGGUAGUUUCGGCCCAAUUAGACUGAGUCUAUGCAAUAAAAAUUUCAAAUUAAAAAAUAAGCCCUUUAUUUUCUUUUAAUCAUAAGUGUGAUCUUAAUUAUUAAAGUCAUUUAAUGUCCAUUACUUAUUCAUUUUUUUUAAUUACCUAAAUGACAUUGAAAGCUCUACUCAAUAAUAAUUCAUUCAAAUGUUUUAUUUUAAAGUAAUCGGAAACUGCAAAUGAAGCAAAUGCUUGAAAUCACAAACAACCUAAAAUUAGAUUUUCAUUUUUCAAUGUUGCAAUGACUUUGAUCUUGAUAUUGAAAAUUUAUUUGUAACUUAUAUAUAGGCCUCGAUUUUAUCAUAAUUGGUUAGUAAGGCUACGUAGGGAGCAUGGAUAAAUUUUGGGAUUGGAUUAUAUUUUUGGAACUAAAAAAUUAAUUUCAUCCAAUGUUAGUUUGGCUGUUAGGACUAGCAACUUAGUCUAAAAUUAUUGAAAUUAUUGAUGUUUUAUAUUAUAAUAUUUUCAUUACCACUUUAAACAUUAUUGGUAACUUAAAUCAUUUUUUAAAUUAAAUAUAAAUUUAAUUAAUUAUAAAAAUUAAUUUAAUUAAAUAUAAAAAUCAUUUAAAUUAAAUAUUAACAUUAAUUUCAUAAUUUUUUACCUAGAAUUUUAUAUUAUAUUAAAUACUAAAAUUCUAUUCGAUAAUUUAUUAUCAUUUAUUUAAUAAAUGUUUAGUAUGUUAUAUUAUUAUUUAAAUUAAUUUUUUAUUUACAUAUAAACAUAAAUUAAUAUUUACUAAUUUCAAAUUUUUUUAGUUUGUUUAAUAAUAAAAGCUAAAUUACUAUAUUGAAAAUAUAAAUAGUAUUCUAAUGUAUUAUAGUCUAAAUCUCACCCCAAUGAGUUUAUUUUAUACACCUUUUAUUAUAUUAACCACAUUUAUAAUGCAGUGCAAUGCAACAAAAUUUUUUUAACAAAUAUGAGUUAGCAUGAAAAUAAUAUUUUAGUACAAUGUAAUACAAUGUAAUGUAAGCUGACAAAUGGAUAUUUAAUGGAAGCAAAAAUUGCAGAUGGUUUGGUUUGUGGGUCUCUCAAAAGACAACAAAGAAACCAAUAUGAUAAACUAAUUCUAUCCUCUUUAAUGGUGUCUUUACUAAAUGGAAAUCAGAAGAGUUAGAAUUGAAAUAGGCUUGAAUCGAAAUAAGGAAUUAAAAUCAGAAUAAGUUGUUUAUUUAAGUUGUAUGAAUCAGAAUCGAAAUAAUUUUUAUUCAAAUUGAUGUGUUUAUUUUCUCUUGAAAUUAGAAUGGACUAUUACAAGUUACUAAAAAAUCAUUUGGUAAUUGUUGUCUCUAGUAUUAUUUGUAUCUGUUAUAAUGUUAAAAAUAAUACUAAAAAUGAAAAUAAUAAUAAUAAUAAUAAUAAUAAUAAUAAUAAAGACAAUUAUAAUAAAAUUAAUAAAUUAUUAUUAUUAUUAUUACUACUACUACUACUAGUACUGAAGACCGCCUAGUGAAGAUUGGAUAGUGAAGAUGAAGACAACGAUCCUGGCAACCAACUGUUGCUUCAAAGAUGAUGUGCCCAAAUGGAGACAACCAGCGAUGACCAGCCAACUAGAUCCCAAUCUCGAUGUUGUGAUCUCACAUGAUCACUGAUAAAGCGAUGUGCGAUGCCAGUGUUGUGAUUUCUUUUUAUUUAUAUUUUUUAAUUUAUUGGGGGUAUUUUCAAAAUUUAGUAAUUUUAAUAUGGGCAAAUUGGAUAGUUGAGGGAACAAGAGACUGAUUUCCAACCAUCCUAAGAAUUAGUCUCUCAUUCUCUAUUUCUAAUUUGAUGUGGGUCCUAUUAUUUCGAUUUCAAUUUUUACAUUUAUUUGUAAAGUAAAUGACGUUAAUGAUUUCAAUUUCUAAUUGGAGAAGAAAACACAUCAUAAUAAUUUUUUAGAUGCUUCCAUGGCAUAAUCUCAUUGGUCCGUUUUUCUUCACGCCUUAGAUUCAACUUCAAGAUUUAAGAUCCAAUUUGAAGCAAACACAACUACAAAACAAAUAUAAUAAGCGUUACUAAGCCUGCGGCUGACUGGCUGUGGCCAAGCAAAUGGAACUCAUAGUGACCGAACCAUAUCUUAUUAUCUUACGCCAGAAGUUAAACAAUGUUCCCAUUCCACGUGUCACUCUCUGACCAACCCCCAAACUUUCUACAUAUUUCCAAAGAAACCCUUACCAAGUCAAGAUAAUUACCUUCACUCUACUUAUAUAAAUACUGUCCUCGAUUCAACUGAUGACGACAUAUCCUUACAGUCUUUAUUUAAAAGGAAAAAUUAUAAAAAAUUAUCCUCGUUCCCUAAAACUCUAGGGUUUGUCAAGAAUCGCUAAACAUAUAUCCCAAUCAUUCAAAAUCUCAAUUUAACCUCUCUAGGGUUUUGAUUGUCGAGGAUUCGCUUGAAAAUUUAGUAUUUUUUAGUGGAUUUUGCUUGUCUCGUAUGCUUCAAUUGUUGUUCGGUUCUGAAAAUAAUUUGGAAUUUUAGGGAUUUUCAAUUGUUGUUCGGUUCUGAAAAUAAUUUGGAACCAAAAAUUCCCAACAAUUGUCAGUUGUUUUAAACUCUAUUCCGAACAGAGCAUGAAGGGAUUCACUUAUCUAAUUAUGUCAUUUAUGCUUUAACUUCACUUCAUUUCAUCUUGUCCGUCACCUUGACUAAAGUUGUGUAUGUUGGAGUAUUAGGUUCAUCACAAGGAUCAUAUUAUGGCUAAGGAAGUAGCACAGUUUAUUAGCUACACUCAAGUGUAGCAGAGUAUUUGGAUUCAAGACUGUUAUAAGGUUGUUACAGAUGCAAUGCUGUUGCUGUGUAACUGUAUGCCAUGCUCGCAAGUGCGCUGUAACAGAUUGCUCAUCAGGCACCGGAUAUUUUAAGCUAAUUUUGGUAAUUAGUCUAGAGUGUUCUGAUUUAUUCUAUAAAUAGCUCAUUUGAGCGUAGAACCUUUAAGGUGUAUCGUACAUUUCUGUUACUUCUAAUAAAGAAUUUCUUUAUUCCUUUUUCUUUCACUUUCUCUUUCAUUUUCAUGAUCCCCAAACACCAUCAAACAUAGAAUUGCUGUUUUAGGCCAAUGGACAUAACGUGACAAGUUUUUGAAGUGAAUGACUCCUCUUUUCUCCAUAAAUCUUUGCUUAAUUUUUUUGUUCCCUCAACCUUUUUUGGCCUUUUCUGCUAAAAUUCAUUUUUUUGAUACAUUAUGCAAAAAUUGAUGAAAAUGAGUUACUCUAGAACAUCAAUAAAUUUUUAUUACAUGAUAAGACAAUUAUACUUAGAUUACUCUUAUUUGGUUGAAUUAUAUGUAAUAAAAUUAGUUUAACAGAAUCUAACCCGUAAAUAUUCCUUAUCACAUGAUUAACGUACUUAAAAAAUAUAACUGGUCGGCCGCUUGUUUUACAAUUCUUUUAUAUAUCUUUGAAACUUUCAGCUUCCUAACACAUCAUAUUGUUCUCAAUUCGUCUAAAUUAUUUUUUUUGGUCAAACACUAUAGCAACAACCAGUAUAAAAUAGAAUGAACUCAUUUAAUAAAAAUUUUUCUAGAUGCUUUCAUGACAGAAUCUCAUUGGUCUAUUUCUCUUCAUGGCAAAAUUUUUCUGAAAUACACUUAGUUUUUUAAAAAAGAGCUUUAUGAGAAAUUUUCAGUGUGUCAAAAGGCCUACUUAAUGGACUGGAUCCCGACUCAUUAAUUUUAUAACCCGACUUACAAUCCGAAUCAUUAUUCACAGAGAUUAAUUUGCUAUUGCUUAAGGCACAAUAUUUACUAAGCAAUUUAUCAGCAAUAAAACAUGUAUAUUAUAGUGGUUUGUAAUAAAAUUGGAAGAAGACAUCACGUACGAAUUGGAUUUAUCUGAUGAAAUUUGAUUAACGAAAGUGUAUGAAAAUAUAUAAAGAAAAUAGUAAAAAAAAUUGUUGUGUAAAUGUUGUAUAGGUGAUAUAUUACUUUUAUAAUCCAUCAAGGUACAUUUGAUUUUAAUGAUGAAACAAAUACAAAUAAAUCCAUGUAUGUCAAUGCUAGAUGGUUCCAUAUUAAACUUGUGAAGUAUAGAAAAUAAGCGAGAUUCGUAAAAAAUAUUUUAGAUAAUACCACUGAAAAGUUAUAAAAAAUAUUUUUAAAAAAAAAAAGAAAUACAUACUCGAGACACCAAGACCGAUACGCACAAACUCACACAUUUACAUAUUAAUUGAGGGAAAAAAUGAUAUUCUGAGUAAUAUUGUUGACAUAUGAUUAAAAUAAAAUUCUAUUUAAUGAAACAUUUUCGUAUAAAUACUAGUGAUAUUUGUAGAGAAAGUAGAAUGAAGUAAAAAAAAAAAAACUUGAAUAUAAAUGCUCCAAUAUAAUUUUUCCCAUGCAAAUUAUGAACUAGUGAACUUUAAAGCAUCAUAAAAUUGUUUCAACAUAAGUAAUUAGUUUGAAAAAUUGCCAAUAAUGUUUAAAGUGGGGACGAAAAGAUUAUACUAUAUGAGACAUGAUAUUAUUUAAGAUAGCUUACAAAUUAUGGGAAAUGUAUUGAUCUUACAAAUAAUAUUUAAUAAGUACAAAUUUCAAAUUAAAUAAUAAACUCUUAAUUUCCUUUUAAUCAUAAUUAUGAUCUUAAUAAUUAAAGUCAUUCAAUCUUAAUCACUUUUUCAUUUUUUUAAACUACCUAAAUGACAUUGAAAACUCUACUCAAUAUUAAUUUAUUCGAAUGUUCUGUUUCAAAAUAAUUGAAAACUGUAAAUGAAACAAAUGCUUGCAAUCACAAAUGGCAUAAAAUGGGAUUUUUAUUUUUUAAUAUUGCAAUGACUUUGAUCUUGAUAUUGGAAAUUUAUUUGUAACUUAUACUAAGUCUUCAAUUUUAUCAAAAUUAGUUUCUAAAGAUGCAUUUGCCAUACUGUGUAGUUUUAUUGUAUGAUGAUAUAUUACAUUAGGGUGCAUUGUAUUGAGCUGUAAUGCAAUACUAUUUUAUAUUAAUGUUAAAACUAAAUCAACCUUAUUUAAAUUUAUUAAUAUUUUAGGGUUUUAUUAGUAAUAUCUGAAAUUAAGUAUUAAAUAAUUAUUUUUAUAAUAUACAAAUUAUUUAAUAAUAUUCUACUAUUAAAUAAUAAAAUAUUAUAAUAUUAUGUUAUAUUAUUAACAAUUAUUCUGUUAUAAUAUAAUUUAUUUUUAUAUAUUAGUUAUUAUAAUUUAUUAUAAUCAUAUUAUAAUAAUAUUAUGUUGUAAAAAUAUAAUACUAUAUAAUUGUAUGAUAUAAUAUGAAUUAAUUUAUAAUUUAACAUUAAAUUAUAAAUUUAUUUUAUUUAUUAAUGUCAAAUAUAAUUGUCUAAUUUAAAUUUAGUAUUUUUUUAAAAAUAAACUACUAAAUAAUUAAAAUAAUUUUAUAUAAUAAAGUAAAAUAAUGUAUUAUUAUUUAUUAAUUAAAUAUUUAGGUUUAUUAAUAUACUAUAUUAUUAAUUAAAUUUAAUGAAUAUUAAUUAAUAAUUUAAAUUUAUUAAAUAAUAAAAGUUAAAUGAUUAUAUUUAAAAUAUAAAUAAUAUUUUAAUGCAAUAAAACCUAAAUCCCACAUGUAUACCACAUUUGUUAUACAGUGUAAUGCAACAUUUGUUAAGUGUGAAGGAUUAAUUGCAAUUUCGAAUUUUUGAUAAAAUUUAAAUUAAAAUUGGGCGGUUAUUAAUUAAUUGAUGGCUAGUGAUACUACAACGGCGGCCGAAGCUCCGGAAGAAGCGGAGGCGGUGGAGGGUUAUGAUAGCGAUCCAGAUGAAGUGAAACACUAUCUCGUGAUGCGCAGAAUGGAAGCAAGCGAUGAUGAGGAGGAGGUGGAGAAAGAAUUUGAGCGUCGAAUAGGAUCUACAUUUACUCUUAAGAUGAAUCUGAUGAUGAAUUAGAACAUGACAUAUAAUUAGAAGAAGAAGAUGAGGACUAUAAUAGAAAUAUUUAUGGGACCCAUUUUCGCAUCCAAUUGAAGGUUAAGACAAGACAUCUAAUAAGGGCUGCUCUCCAAAUUAUGUUACCACACCUACGGUCAAAGCUCGCUAGCACUUUUAUAACGGGAUGGCAAUGAGGCGGCUUCGGGGCAGGAUGACGAUCCUCACCCCCAUCCCGAAUUAGAAGCAGUCUCCAAACCUGCCUUCCAUAUCCCUGAUAAUUCUCAAAAUGAGACAAGGAUUAAAACAGAGGCUCAAUUCUCAAUUAUUUAGUUUUUAAGUAAAAAAAGAGCUCUCAAUCUGGAUCUGAAUAAUUGUUUAUUAAGGACUAAUUUUGAAGCUAGAACAUUUAACAAUUCAAAUGAGGUUCCUUUUGUUUCAUCUGAUAUUUUCAAAAGUUUGAAAGCUACUUGGAAGAUAUCAUCAAUCUCAGUCUAUAAAAAUCCAAAUGUUAUUUGUGCGGAAAAUACAAGAUAAUUAACAAUCUACAUGCUCUCUCUUCCACUGGAAAAAUAUAUAUAGUCCAAUAUAUAUUAAAUAUUUCUAUUAUAUGAAGAGGAAGAAGAAGUUUAUGAACAAGAGGAGAGAAGGUUGUUACAGAUGUAAGGCUGUUACUGUGUAACAGUAUGCCAUGCUGGCAAGUUUGCUAUAACAGAUUGCCAAGCUGGCACUAAUUAUUUUAAACUAAUAUUAGUAAUUAGUCUAGAGUGCUCUAAUUUAUUUUAUUCUAUAAAUAGCUCAUUUGAGCUUUGAACCUGUAACGUGUACUGUACUUUUCUAUUACUUCUAAUAAAGUUUUUCUCUGUUCUUUUUUCUUUCACUUUCUCUUCCAUUUUCCCGACCCUCAAACAGCGUCAAUCCUUGAUUUUCUACAGUAUUAGCUGUUUGGUUCUACAAACAUAGAACUGGUCGUUUAUUGACUUGUUACUUGUGAACAGGGCCAAUAAAGGACAAAUAAGAUGUUGGGCCAAUGGGCCCAACGUCACAGAUCUUGAAUUGAUUGUCUCUUCUUUUCUCCACAAAUCUUUGCUUAAUUUUUAUGCUCCCUCAACUUUUUUCCCCUUUUUGUGCUAAAUUUAUUUUUUUGAUACUUUAUGCAAAAAUUAUGAUGAAAAUUAAUUACUUUAGAACAUCAAUAAAUUUUUGUUACAUUCAAGAUACGGACAAUUACACUUAGAUCACUCUUAUUUAGUUGAAUUAUAGGUAAUAAAAUUGGUUUUAACAAAAUACGAUUCUUAACCCUCGUAAUUAAAGGCUCGUGUUAUUUGGUUUAGUUAUAACACCAUGCAACAGGUCGUCUUGGUGGGUUCAAAUUAAUAUACGAUCAUUCUCAAUUUUUAAUAGUUCGUAAUUAAAAAGUCUUAUAUCACAAUUAGAAUUUGCAAACAUGCCAAAGUGAGUUAAAUCAAAACCUAUAAAUUUGAGGUGUACUACAAACUUCUGACAAAUUAAAAUUUAAAACGAUUAAUUAAAUGCUAGACAAAAUUUAGCUUAUUAAUGUUCCUGACCACAUGAUGAAUGUACUUAAAACAUCCUAACUGGUCGCUAAUUGAUUAGUUGUUAUUUUUUCAAUUUCUUUUUAUAUAUCUUUGAAACUUCUAGUUUCCUAACAUGUUAUUCGCAAUUCGUGUAAAUUAUUAUUUUUUAAAUAUUAGAGCAACAACCAGUAUAAAAAUGAAAUGCACUCAUUUAAUGGAAAUUUUUCUAGAUGCUUCAAUGGCAGAAUCUCGUUGGUCUAUAACUCUCACGCCUUUGAUUCAAGAUUCAAUUUCAAACCAACGCCGAACAAACAGUAUAAACCUUAAUAAGUCUGUGGCUGUAGCCCAACAAACCUACUUCCGGCUCACCGAAUAAUCAUCUCUUACGUCGGAAUUUAAACUUAAACAAAGCUACAUCCCACGUGUCCCCAACUUUCUUCAUAUUUCCAAAAAACCCCUACCAGAUCCAGAUAAUUACCUUCACUCUUCUCGUAUAAAUAGAGAAGACGACGGUUCCUGCAACGUGAGUCACGUGAACGUCAAUUUCAAACCAACGUGAGUCACGUGAACGUUACGGCCAUGGGACAUUGGAAUUGGAUCAAACCACCGGAAUGCACAGCAAAAUUAACCGAAUAAACUAAAUUAGAUCCAACCAAUUGAAUCGGUUUGGGGCCAAUUGCAGUUUUGAUAGCAACUAAAAUCUGUGUGGCCCAGUUACCACAGAGCCUUGCCCCAGAUCCCUGCCAUUUUCUCCUCCACCUCCAUUUGGGGAAAUUACUACUUACUUUUUGCAAGUUUUUCUUGAAAUAUUUAUUUUGAGAAGAAAACCAACAAUACAUUUUAUGAUUUGGGCUCUUUCAAAGAUCUUCGCUUGAUGUCUAUGCUACUGGUUUUCAGCAGAGUGCCCAAAAAUAAUCAGUGCACGCACUAUAGGCUCUAUUAUUAUCAGUAAAAAGCAUUAAUGAUAUAUUGGGAUCGACUUUUUUAUGGGAGUGGUAAAGUGGUGCAUCUUGUUCAUGCACCGUAGAGCCAAUUCCAUUUUGUGAAAUAGGAGUUGAAUAAAAUUUAUUGUAAUACAUGGAAGUAUUGUUAGAAACACGAACACAGUGAGUUGACAAUUUAAAUUGCAAUUAAUUGAAACAAAAUGUAAACCAGCAAUUGGAAACAGCAAAUUAAGAACAGAAGAGAAAUGAAACGGAAUAAGAAAUAUAAACCCGAGGCCUGCACAAGGCAGUUUCCUUAAAACAGAUUUACCACCUCUUUUCUUGUGCUUAAGGUCUGCUGGUAUCUAUUUCCCAGGAUACAACGAGUACGAAUUUCUAGUCAAGCACAGGCUGGAGAUUCCGGCGAACCACAACAGGUAACUCGAUUAGAGAAAGACGAAGAAGGAUGAAGGAAAAAACAAGUGUGUUUUGUGCUGGUUUUUAUGGUGUCCAAAAACAGAAGAAGAGAUGCCUUUUUAUAAUCAUGUGAGGAUGUAACAGCUAAUGUGUAUUGAAUUUCCGAAUUCAAAAUUGAAUUAAAAAAACGUGAACAACAGCUAAAAAUAAUUGUAAAAGCUGUUACACAUUCUUUGAAUUCAAAACAUCAAAUUGUUACAAUAAAAAAUUCAAAAGGAAAUUAAAAACGUGCCAAGCUUGCAUGGAUGAUUUUGGGCUUCUUUUUCCCAUGUGGGAUAAGCCUCAUUUCCUUUCAAUCUAACUUCAAGGGUGAACUUUGAGAGACAAUUUCUCAUUCACCCAAGCACCAUUUUGAGAAAAUAAGAUUAUACUAUUGAAGUAUCAAUGGAGUAGAAUUCGAACCUCACAAUAUUUUCCACUUUUGUUAAGUGGGACCCACUCAAAAUGUGCCCUCAAAAUAGCAUGUUAUGCUAUUUUUCCAACAAUCCCCCACAUGAAUGAAAAUUGGCAGUAAAAACAAGAAAACCGCUAAAUUUUGACAUCAAAACCAUUUUUGACUCUUAAUGAUCGAGUUUAUUGGAUUGAUACCUAGCACAUGAUAGGUAGGUGUUAUCCUUUGAACCUUUCCUUGUAAUAGUAUAAAUACUUUACUAGCUGAUCAGUAGACGCGAUGUCUUUGAACUGUUCUGCCAUUAGUGUAAAGGAUCAUAUACUACACAUAGGUAUUUCCCCUAACACUGUUGAGUUCUCAUGAUUAUGUUCGUUUUGGCCUUGAACAUCUGCCUGGUUCUGCAAGAGUUUCUAAGAGCUGAACCCUUUAUAGCUCCCUUUGAAGCGGCCCCACUUCUCUCUCACAUAGGUAAUAUUUUAAUUAAGAGUAACCCGCAUUACUCCGCUAGAAUUUUCGACGCAUAAGAAUCAUUAAGAGCCUAGCUCAACCUUAUUCCCCACGGGCAACACUGUUUCAUCAUAGGAAUGGUCAAUGAGGUAAUCCUCUCAAGAGAAUGACCCCCACAGUGAUCCAUCUUUAGUCUUUAACAAAUAGGUUGUCCAAUUGAACCUAGAUCUUAGGAUCUCCAGUCUACUAGGUUAGGUUUUCCUUCGUUAUUGACUAAUCAAUCUAUAGGUUUUAAUCACAUCCCCCUCGAUAAUUUUUCUACUAGCUCUCUAUUUAAUCCUUUGGUUAGCGGAUCCUCUAUGUUAUCCUUUGACCUUACAUAGUCAAUAGAAAUAACUCCAGUAGAAAUAAGUUGUCUAAUGGUAUUAUGUCUACUACGAUGUAUGUGUCUAGACUUACCAUUAUACAUAUUGCUUUGUGCCCUACCGAUAGCUGAUUGACUAACGCAAUGUAUACAAAUCGUAUACACAGGCUUUGGCUAUUUUGGAAUACCUUCUAAAAAAUUGCGUAGCCAUUCUGUUUCUUCACCACAUUUAUCUAAUGCAAUGAAUUCAGAUUCCAUUGUAGAUCUAGCAAUUACUGUCUGUUUAGAACAUCUCCAUGAUACAGCUGCACCUGCUAGUGUAAAUACAUAGCCGCUAGUAGAUUUUGAAUCUUUUACAUCUGAUAUCCAGUUAGCAUCACUAAAUUUUUCUAAUACUUCUGGAUACCUAGUAUAGUGCAGUCUAUAAUUACGAGUGUAUCGAAGAUACCUAAGUACUCUUACAAUAGCUUUCCAGUGAUCAGUUCCUGGAUUACUCGUAUAUCUACUAAGUUUGCUUACUGUAUAGGCUAGAUCUGGUCUGGUACAAUUUGUUAAGUACAUCAGACUACCUAUUAUUCUAGCAUAUUCAACUUGAGAAAUACUCUCUCCUCUGUUUUUCGAUAGAUGAAUACUAGUAUCUAAUGGAGUUUUAGACAUAGUAUUAUCCUCUUUAUUAAAUUUCCCAAGAAUUUUAUCUACAUAAUGAGUUUGACUUAAAAUAAGUCCAUUAGAAGUCCUUGAAAUUUUAAUUCCCAAAAUGACAUCUGCAAGACCCAUGUCUUUCAUGUCAAACUUAGACUUCAACAUAUUCUUGGUAGAUUUAAUCAUGUCAUCAUUACUCCCAACAAUAAGCAUGUCAUCAACAUAUAAACAUAAAAUGACAUAGCCAUUUUCUGUUUCUUUGACAUAAACACAUUUGUCACAUUCGUUGAUCUUAAAGCCACUAUUAUCAUCGUAUGAUCAAAUUUCUCAUGCCACUGUUUCGGUGCUUGUUUCAAGCCAUAUAAUGACUUAACCAAUUUACAAACUUUCUUUUCUUGUCUUGGAGCUAUAAAACCUUCAGGUUGCUCCAUGUAGAUUUCUUCAUCUAAAUCUUCAUUUAGAAAAGCCGUCUUUACAUCCAUUAGAUGUAUCUCGAGAUUGCGCAAAGCUGCAAUUGCUAUUAUCAUCCGUAUGGAAUUUAUUCUCGUAACAGGAGAAUAAGUAUCAAAAUAAUCAAGGCCUUCUCGUUGCCUAUAACAUUUAAUUACAAGCCUAGCCUUGUACUUAUCGAUUGAUCCAUCGGCUUUCAUUUUCCUUUUGAAAAUCCACUUAUACCCCAAAGGUUUAUAUCCUGGAGGAAGAUCUACUAGCUCCCAAGUAUGAUUUUGUAAAAUGGAUUCAACUUCACUGUUAAUGGCUUCUUUCCAUAAAGUGCCUUCAGCUGAAGUUACAGCCUCUUUGAAGCUUUGAGGUUCAUUUUCUAGCAAAUACGUCAGAAAGUUUGGACCAAAAGACUUUUUUAUUCUAGCUCUUUUGCUACGUCUAACCUCAAUUUCUUGUUCUUCUUCUUCUUCUGGUGCUUGAUCAUUUUCUUCAUUUUCAAGUGUUGUUUCAUGAAAUUGUUCCAAUUCUCUCGAUUCCACUCUAGAAUUGCAAGGAAACACAUGUUUGAAAAACGAUGCAUUUCUUGAUUCUAUUAUUGUAUUUUUGUGGACAUCUGGAAUUUUAGACUCAUGCACCAAAAAUUGAUAUGCACUACUAUUUUGUGCAUAACCAAUGAAAAUGCAGUCAACAGUUUUUGGUCCUAUUUUCACUCUUUUAUUUAAAGGAACUACUACUUUAGCAAGACACCCCCACACUCAUAAGAAUUUAUAUGAAGGUGAUCUACCUUUCCAUAGCUCAUACGGGAUUUUAUCUUCUUGCUUUCGGGGUAUCUUAUUUAAUAAAUAAUUAGCUGACAAAACAACUUCUCCCCACAUAUUCUGGGGUAACCCAGAACUUAUCAACAUUGCAUUCAUCAUUUCCUUUAAAGUUCGAUUCUUUCAUUCUGCAAUCCCAUUAGAUUGAGGUGAAUAUGGAGCUGUGACUUGAUGUAUGAUUCCACUUUGUUCACAUAGUGACAUAAACGGAACAACAUACUCACCACCACGGUCACUCUUUAAUUCUUUGAUUUUUCUAUUAAGUUGAUUCUCAACUUCAUUUUUGUAGAGAAUAAACUUUUCCAAAGCUUUAUCUUUACUUUUCAAUAAAUAUACAUAGCAAUAUUUUGUGCAAUCAUCUAUAAAGGUAAUAAAAUAUUUAUUACCACCUCUUGUUUGAAGGGAUUUAAAGUCACAAAUAUCACUAUGUAUUAAAUCAAGUGGUUCGGUGUUUCUUUUAAUUAUUUGAAAAGACGACUUAGUUAGUUUUGCCUCAACACAAGUUUCACACUUAUGUUUCAAAUCAAUUUGGAAAUUGGGAAUAUGCUUCAUGUUAAUUAAUUUACGCAAAGAAUUAAAAUUAACAUGUCCUAAUCUACCAUGCCAAAGAUUAGAAGACUCAACCAAAUAAGCAAAAGAUGUAGCUUUAUUAUUAAUUGUUGGUUUCAAAGUCAUUACAUUGAGCUUAAAUAGCCCAUCAUCAACAUAACCCUUUCCCACAUACAUCCUAUUUUUAGAUAAAACUACCAUAUUUGACUCAAACACCAUUCGAAAACCAUGUUUAUUCAGCAGCGAUCCAGACACCAAGUUCUUCCGAAUUUCUGGCACAUAUAGCACAUUGUUCAGAGUCAGUUCUUUCCCAGACGUCAUCUUCAAAACCACCUUCCCUUGACCCUCAAUCUCAGACGUAGCCGAAUUCCCCAUGAGUAGCUUCUCUCCAUUGCUAUCUGCUUCAAAUGAAGUGAACAACCCUUUUUCCGAGCAAACAUGUCUGGUUGCUCCUGUAUCUAUCCACCAUUCUCUUGGAUUAGAGCCAACCAGAUUCACUUCUGAAACCACUGCAGAGAGGUUUAUGUCUUAAACAUGUUGCGUGAUGUUUUACACCACAUUCGCCUCUCGCUUCUUUUUAGGCAACCUGCAAUCCGAAGCCUUGUGACCCAUCUUAUCACAAUUAUAACAUUUUCCUUGAAACUUUGUUUGUUUCUUGGAAAUUCCUCCUUUCGGGCCCAAUUUUUUAUUUUUUAUUUUUAGGUCCAUGUUCAACAAAAUUUGCAUUUGCCAUAGAAAUAGGCCCUCUUCUUUCUGCAUUUCUGUUGUCUUUCUCAAUUCUGAGCUUAACAACCAGCCCUUCAAUAUUCAUCUCCUUUCGUUUAUGCUUCAAAUAGCUCUUGAAAUCUUUCCAAGCAGGAGGCAAUUUUUCAAUAAUUGCAGCAACUUGAAAAGUUUCACUUAGAUGCAUCCCUUCCGCAAGGAUUUCAGAUAAUAUAAUUUGAAGUUCUUGUACUUGACUUAUUACAGUUUUAGAAUCCACCAUUUUAUAAUCUAGGAAGCGACCAACAACAAAUUUUUUGGUACCCGCGUCCUCGGUUUUAUAUUUUCGGUCUAAGGAUUCCCAUAGCUCCUUGGCUGUUUUCUUUCCUAUGUAUAUGUUAUACAAGGAGUCACUAAGACCAUUCAUUACAUAAUUUUUACACAAAAAAUCCGAAUGGUGCCAUGCAUCAAUUGCACUUGCAACUUGAAUAUCUGUUUCACCCUCUUUGGGUUUAGGAGCAUCCUCGGUCAAGAACCUCGCAAGGUUCAACGUGGUCAAGUAAAAGAACAUCUUUUGAACUUUUCAGGCCUUUCCGCAUGAUUGACAAGAAUCGCCACAGAGGCUGGUUCCUUCACAACAUUUGGUGCAGAAACCGGAACAUACGGAACAUCAUCACUGGUUUCAGUUGCCAUCUCAAUGAUAAUAAAUUCUGUUUUAAGAUUGUUAGAAAAACGAACACAGUGAGUUGACAAUUUAAAUUGUAAUUAAUUGAAACAAAAUGUAAACCAGCAAUCGGAAACAGCAAAUGAAGAACAGAAGAGAAAUGAAACGGAAUAAGAAAUAUAAACCCAAGGCCUACACAAGGCAGUUUCCUUAAAACAGAUUUACUACCUCUUCUCUUGUGCUUAAGGUCUGCUAGUAUCUGUUUCCCAGGAUACAACGGGUACGAAUUUCUAGUCAAGCACAGGCUGGAGAUUCCGGCGAACCACAACAGGUAACUCGAUUAGAGAAAGACGAAGAAGGAUGAAGGAAAAACAAGUGUGCUUUGUGCUGGUUUUUCUGGUGUCCAAAAACAGAAGAUGAGAUGCCUUUUUAUAAUCAUGUGAGGAUGUAACAGCUGAUGUGUAUUGAAUUUCCGAAUUCAAAAUUGAAUUAAAAAAACGUGAACAAUAGCUAAAAAUAAUUGUAAAAGCUGUUACACAUUCUUUGAAUUCAAAACAUCAAACUGUUACAAUAAAAAAUUCAAAAGGAAAUUAAAAACGUGCCAAGCUUGCAUGGAUGAUUUUGGGCUUCUUUUUCCCAUGUGGGAUAAGCCUCAUUUCCUUUCAAAUUUCUAACUUUAAGGGUGAACUUUGAGAGACAAUUUCUCAUUCAUUCAAGCACCAUUUUGAGAAAAUAAGAUUAUACUAUUGAAGUAUCAAUGGAGUAGAAUCCGAACCUCAUAAUAUUUUCCACUUUCGUUAAGUGGAACCCACUCAAAAUGUGCCCUCAAAAUAGCAUGUUAUGCUAUUUUUCCAACAAGUAUAUAUUGCAUUGAAUAAAAUGAAAUUGUUCAAAAAUUAACAAAUUCAGCUUUAUUAUAAUCUAAAACAAAGUAAAUAGAAUAAUACCCAUCAUGUAAAAAUAAAAAAUAAAAUUUUUUAUACCACUUGGAAUUUAUUUUAAAUGUUUUGGUCAAAUCUAAGAAGCACAAACUUUGAACAAUGAUAAUAGGUAAAAACUAAUAAUCUUAUAAUAAAAAGUAAGAAAAAAAAUAAAGUUGAUUUAGCAGCUAAGAAUAAAAAAAGAAAAAUAGAAAGAGAGAGAAAUUAGUUUAGGCUUUAACCAUUGUUAUAGUAGAGAAAAAAAAUUAAUUAAGAGUAAUUUUAUGACUUUUUAGAAAUGAGUGAAUUAAAAUAAUAAAUUAUAAUUUGAUAAUUAUCUUAAUUAAAAAAUGGCUGUUGAAAUAAAAUUAGUGAAUUUAAAUAGGCCGCCCAAAAUCCAAACUCGCAUACCAAUAAUUUUCUAAUUUACAUAAAGUUUUUCUAAAUGUUUGAUAAAAUUUGAUUCUCAAUUGGCCUAAUGGAGAAACAACCAGCAAAAUGCAAAAUUGCAUUCCGUUUGUGGGAUCCUGGAAAAAAUAAAAGAAAGAAAACAGAGUAAGACGCUGAUACCGGGGGCUUUAAUAUUUUUCUAGGUGCUUCCAUGGCAGAUUCUCGUUGGUUCAUUUUUCUUUACGCCUUAGAUUCUAUGAUUCAAUUUCAAUCAAAUACGACAAACAAAAGAAGCUUUUAAGCCUGCAGCUGAAAUAGAUGGUACUUUAAUUUCGGCUGAACAUACAUAUGGCAAGAUUAUUAUUCAAUAUCGAGAUCGGAUAAGGGUCCAUAUGAUCAUGGGCCAGGCCACUACUUGCUCAUGCUUUGAAUCAAAAUUAGUGACGUUGGAAGCUGAAAGGGGCAAAUGAUGAAAUGGGGUUCAUCAUAUACUAUGCCCGACGGGAUAAGAUCAUCAUUUAAUUGCCUCCUCUUGUCGAUAGAUAUUUGCCGAAUUUUUCUAUUUAAAAAAUAUUAUAUUGGUUAAUAUAAUUAGAAGUUUUACAAAAUAUAACUAUAAUUUUAAAAAAAAUUUAUACUUAUUAAUUUAAAUUUUUCAUUGAGUUCUGCUAUUUAUCCCGGGUUAAAUUUCGGGUCAAACCCUGAAUUAAACAAAACGACGUCGUUUUCGCUUCUUUUUUUGGUCAUUUUUGCUUCUAUGGAACGAAGUCGUUUCAGCCAAACAAAAGCGAAUGUCUUCGUUUUCUGCAACAAAACCUCACUCUUCUUGAUCCCAUAUCUCUCCUACUUUCUCAGAACUCCAAUUCUCAAAACCCACCAGUCACACUGAAACUCAUUACAGAGAAUUACUUCAUGGAGAGGGGACCCAGAUUCCAUGAAUACGCUGAACUGAGAGAAUCAAGACUGAGAAGGAAGGUUAUACGAGUAGAAGAUGAAACUGAUGAAGCGUAUGAGCCAAAGCGAUCGCCUUUAAAGAAACAAGUGAAGUUUCGGGGGAUUUUGACUGGUUCAAGAAAAGGGUCCUCUGUUUCCUCUGUUUUGGCUCAGUCAGUGCCUGACUUUUCAGCAACUUUGCGGAAAGAAAAUCGGAGGCCGGCGGGUAGGGCGCUUGAGUUGACUCCUCCGGCUAAGAAUUGGUCGAAAAUGAAUGGGAAUUUGUCGAAUUCCAGAGGAAGUAAGUCGGCAAAUGCGGGGUAGAAGAAGGGAAUGAUGGCAAGAAAGAGUUAUGCGAGUAUUGAAGAAUUGAAGGGCAUGUCAAUGGGAGUGGCAAAGGACAAAAGUGAAAGAAUUAUAAAUAAUAGAAAGCAAGUUAAUUAGAAGCACAAAAGCAGAUUUUGUGGACACCAAAAUAGUCCAGAAUCAGCAGCUUUAUUGCCUUCUAUAAGCAUGAGAAAAAUGACACACACACACACACACACACACAUCACUGCUGCUGUUCAAGCUUUUGUUCGGGUGAUGAAUCGAAGAGGAAGAAGAAGAGAAAGAAAAGCAGCUGCGUUUUUUUCUGUUUUCACUGAGUUGAAACGACUACGUUUCAUGGAAGCAAAGAGAAAAAAAAAAAAAAAAAGAAACUAAAACGGCAUCGUUUUGAUUUGAUUCGGGAUUUGACCUGGGAAAAGUAGCAUUUUCCUUUUUCAUUUGGUAGUUGUGUUUGAGAAAAAGUUGAUAGGCACUACUUAAAUAGUAUUAAUAUGGCAACAAAAAACAUGCGAGCAAAGUAGACUAUUGCUUUAUUCUAUAAAUAGCUCAUUUGAGCUUAGAACCUUUAAAGUGUGUCGUACGUUUCUGUUACUUCUAAUAAAGAUAUUCCCUAUUCCCUUUUCUUCCACUUUCUCUUCCAUUUUCACGAUCCCCAAACACCAUCAAUCCAAGAUUUUCUAGAGUAUUAGCUGUCUAUUUCUACAAACAUAGAAUUGCUGUUUUAAGAAACAAAAUAGUCUGUCCUGUCACCCAUGGUCUCCUCAUUUAUCGGUUUGUGAACAGGGCUAAAUAAAGGGCAAAUAAGAUAUUGGGGCAAUGGGCCUAAUGUGACAAGAUCUUGAAUUGAUUGCCUCUUUCUUUUCUCCACAAAUCUUUGGUUAAUUUUUAUGUUCCCUCAACCUUUUUGCCCUUUAGCACCAAAAUUCAUUUUUGAUACUUUAUGCAAAAAUUAUGAUGAAAAUGAGUCACUUUAGAACAUCAAUAAAUUUUUUUGACAUCCAAGAUAACGACAAUUACACUUAGAUCACUCUUAUUUAGUUGAAUUAUAUAUGUAAUAAUGUUGGCUUAACAAAAUAUGAUUCUUAAUCGUUGUAAUUACGGGCUGGUAUUCUUUGGUUUUAGUAGUAGGGCUUAUAACGCCGUGCAACAGUUCUUGGUGGGUUCGAAUUAUUAUACGAUCAUUCUCAAAUCUUUACGGUAUGUAAUUAAAAAUUCCUAUAUAGCAAUUAGAACUUACAAACAAGUUAAAGUGAGUUAAAUCAAAUGUAUAAAUUCGAGGUCUAUUACAAACUUCUAAAAAAGAUUUUCUGUUCUUUUUUCUUUCACUUUCUCUUCCAUUUUGCCAAUCCCCAAACACCGCCAAUCCUUGAUUUUUUUAGUAUUAGCUGUCAAUUUCUACAAACCUAGAACUGCUGUUUGUUUGUCUAAUUAUUUUCAAGAAACAAAACUCUUUGUCAUGUGGUCUCUUCGUUUAUUGGCUUGUGAGCAAAUAAGAUAUUGGGCCGAUGGGCUUAACGUGACAAGUUCUUGAAUUGAAUGGCUCCUCUUUUUUUCAUAAAUCUUUGCUUAAUUUUUUUUGUUCUCUCAACCUUUUUUGGCCUUUCGCGCUAAAAUUCUUUUUUUGAUACAUUAUGCAAAAAUUAUGAUGAAAAUGAGUUACUUUAGAACAUCAAUAAAGUUUUAUGACAUGUAUAAUAAGACAACUAUAGUGAGAUUAGUUGAAUUAUAUGUAAUAAAAUUAGUUUAACAAAAUCUAACCCGUCAGUAUUCCAUAGCACAUGAUUAACGUAUUUAAAAAAUCUUAGUUGUUCCGUCGCUUGUUUUACAAUUAUUUUAUAUAUUUUUGAAACUUUCUGCUUCCUGACACAUCAUAUUGUUCUCAAUUCGUCAAAAUUAUUUGUUUCUUCAAACACUGCAGCAACAACCGGUAUAAAAUAGACUGAACUCAUUUAAUGGGAAUUUUUCUCAUUGGUCAAUUUCUCUUCGCACCUUAGGUUCCUCUAACAAACUUAAAAGAUGUUCCCCAUCCCACGUGUCCCCAAAUCUUCGUAUUUCCAAACAAACCCCUGCCAAUUAUCAUAUUAAUGAGCCACUGUUAAAUUCAUUCAGUCAGUAUUUUUCUUUUCCCAUUUUCAAUGAAUGCUUAAUAUGGAAAACAAUCUGUCUCAUUGAGCACUGUUUAAAUCAUUCCCUAGUUUGUUUAACACGCAAAGAAUAUUCUUAUUCGGCUCGGCAGCCAAUCCGUUAAAAUUUGUUAAAAUUCAUUUAAGUGAUGACUGUGAUAUGACUCGAUCAAUAGUUUAAUUUGUAUAAUUUAUAAAAAUUUGGGCUUCAAGUAAUGUAGAUAGAAUGGUUAAUUAUUUUAAUAUUCAGAUAAAUUGAUAUAUGUCAUUAUAUUAUGAGUGGAUGAAAUAUCCAAUAGAAAAAAAAAAUGUUUGUAUUCAUCAUUUUUAGUGGGAAUCUAUUUAGUGUAACUUAUCCAUAAAAAUGGUUGCCGACUUAUCUUAUUUCUCAUUUUGUUUAAUUUCAUAAAUUUGACUCCCGAUUAAUUAUGAGUGAAGAAUUUGUUGGAAAAAAUCUGGUCUUCCAUUUAUUUUGUAGGAUUUAAAAGAUUAAAAAACUUUAAUACAUAUAAUUUUAUGUUCGAAACUAAGUACUCGUAGCAUUGCUGCUUCUAUAAAUAACUCAUUUGUGCUUCCAACUUGUUAUUUGUAUUUUACGUUUUUGUUUCUCUUCAUAAAGAUUUUCUUUUUUUUUCUUUUUUCCAUUCACUUUUUCUUCCAUUUUCCCGACUCCCAAACACCACUAAGCCUUGAUUUUCUAGAGUAUUAACUGUCCGUUUCUACGAACAUAGACCUACAGUUUGUCUAAAUACUAUCAAGAAACAACGUACUCUGUCGCGGGAUCUCUUCGUUUAUUGACUUUUGACUUGUGAACGGGGCUAAUUAAAGGGCGUUCCUUUCUUCAAGAAAGAAUGCAAAGAAAGUACUAUCCAUGAGACACGUUAAAAAUUAUUUUACAUAAAAAAUGAUAAUAAUCAUAAUAAUCGGUUAAGGAUCGACAAAAAUGUUAUAACCUAUAAAGCAUGGAUAAUUAAUUAAUGGGAAUGCACCUCUCAUCUUUACCAUUCUCUUUGUCAUUUUCAUAAUUCAGCUGUUUAUUAAUAAAGUGAAUAAAUUUAUCUUUUAAUAAUAUGUUUCUUGGCUGUUUUUUUGUGUAUUUUUGUGUACAAUUUUGUGUGCAAAUAGCAUUAUUCAUUAGUAAUUAGUUUGGAGUAGCUCAUUUUGAGCUUAGGACCUGUAACUAGUAUUUUAUGUUUCUGUUAAUCUUUAAUAAAGAUUUUCUCUAUUUUUUUUUCCCUUUCACUUUCUCUUCCAUUUUCCCCGACUCCCAAACACCACCAAUCCUUGAUUUUCCAGAGUAUUAGCUCUCUAUUUCGACAAACGCAUAACUGUUGUUUGUCUAACUACUUUCAAGAAAUAACGUAGUCUGUGGUUUAUUGACUUGCGAACGGGGCUAAUUAGUCACGGUCCGAUUGUCUGACUUCUCCAUUGACUCGGUCAAUUCACGACCUUGACCUGCACAGUUGAUACAAACGGACUUCUCCAUUUGAGGUGUACAAAACUUUCUUGAGUCAUUUUGUUUGGUGAUGAUGAAUUGGAUGUCAGUUCAUGAGUUUCAUGAUGAAGAGGACCAAAAACAUUAUUUUAUUAUUUAAAGAAGACUAACAAUUAUUUCGAUGGUCAUUUUAUUUUUUAUUUUUAAAUAUCCAAGGUGCUUGACUUCUUUACACAGAAUUACAAAGCAAAAUAAUUAAGAAACUAAAUACUCGUCAUCCAAGUGAGAAGAGAUUGGGUUGUUGAUACAUUAAAUAAAAGAAAAAUCAAUUAAAAGCACAACAAUUCAAUAAUUUCAUUCUCAAUCAUAUCAAAACUAAAACAAAUUAUUAGGGAUUUGCAGUUUUUUUUAGUGUAAUCCUCGUUAAUUACAGUUUGGUCUGAAGGGUUGAGCACAUGAGAAUAGAAGGUUUGAUCAUAGGAAAAUAAUAUAUCCCUAUCCGAUGCAAAAAUGAUUGUAAAGAAAAAAUUACAUUCCAUUUUCCAGUUAUUAAAGUAAUUCUAAAAUCACUAGGAUCACAAAGGAUAGGCUUUGGUUGACUGAGGUCAGCCUUAACGCAUGCCGGUCUUUUUCUCCUCUACAUUCUUAGAAAUUUUGGUUUCACUAUAAAUACUCGGUAUAUAGCAAACUUAUAAGUGUUCUUGCAUUACCAAUCCAACUAAGCACACGCUUACAAUAUAAAUACUCUCAUCUCAUGGAAAGAGUUCAUUCUUUCAGGAUGAUGAGCAGAUUUCUCUUACUCCAUUGUUUGAUUCUUAUUUCCUUAUUUAUCGCGGCAGCAACAGCCAACACAAGUUCUACUAUCACAGACCGAGAUGCUCUGUUGGCCCUGAAAGCUCACAUAACUCAUGAUCCGACUAAUUUCUUGGCUAAGAAUUGGAACACGAGUACUCCUGUCUGUAAUUGGACAGGUGUCGCUUGUGAUGUCCAUAGCCAUAGAGUCACAGUCUUGAAUAUUUCAAGCUUAAAUCUCACAGGCACCAUCCCUUCUCAACUUGGGAAUCUUUCUUCUCUGCAAUCACUCAAUCUCAGUUGUAACCGACUUUCUGGUUCCAUUCCCUCCGCCAUCUUCACCAUAUAUACACUGAAAUAUGUUAGUUUCCGUGAAAAUCAGCUCUCCGGCGCUUUCUCUUCUUUCAUCUUCAACAAGUCUUCUUUACAACAUCUUGAUUUUAGUCACAAUACACUGUCUGGUGAAAUUCCUGCAAAUAUUUGCAGUAGUCUUCCUUUUCUGGAUUUCCUUUCUUUGCAAGAAAACAUGUUCCAUGGCGGAAUACCGUCCACUCUAUCAAAUUGCACAUAUUUGCAAAAAUUAGGUUUGGUAUACAAUAAUUUCUCGGGGGCCAUACCUAAAGAAAUCGGCAAUUUGACCAAACUUAAGAUAUUAUAUCUUGGCGGUAACAGGCUCCAAGGUGCGCAUGAUCACAAAGUUUAAUUAUGAAAAUUGUUGCAUAAGUUGUAGUAUGAAUACUGUUCCAUAAUACAGUUUACACACGUUGAUUAAUUUUCAGGAGAAAUUCCUCGAGAGUUUGGCAAUCUCGCCGACUUGGAGCGGUUGUCGUUGGCAGGCAACAAUCUCCAAGGCAUGAUUUUAAACUUUUUGCAAUUUUAUUUUAGCCAUGCUUGCUUCUGUAUUCAUUCGCUUGUUCUUUAAUUAUGCGAUGAUUUAUUGUUUUUCUUUCAGAUAGAGAUAAAGCUCCAUGUCUCCCCUCACUCAUUUCAUUCUUUAAUUUAUGCAGAUAAAAAUAAAAUAAAAAUGUUUUGUAAUUUUCUUUUGUCAUAUUGCCACUUCCGUUUUGAAGCUCCCAAUUAAGUCUAUGAAAAUGAAUGAUGUUUCAUUCUUAUUCUUGUCAGCCUAAUUCUUAUAUAAUUGGAGAGUAAAUUGUUAUUAUGAUAAUCGUCAGCCAAUAAAUUCUUUUUUUUUUUACCCCAAAUAUGAGUGAUCAAAUUGUUUGCGCAUACAUAUAUGUACUUAAUUUGCAGGAGGUAUUCCACAGGAAUUGGGGAAUCUUGCAAAAUUGGAGAUGUUACAGCUGUUCCAGAAUAACUUGAUCGGUAACUUUCUUUACGAUUUAUAUCUGAGACAUCUUCCACUUCUUAAUUAAUAGAUGUCUUAAUUAAUAGAUUUCAAGUCUCUCAUUAUAAAUUCUCAUAUGAGGAUGUGUAGUUACCACUAUCUAACGUUAUUCCUUUUUUAUUAGAAAUUAGUUUGUGUUAAUUCAAAAUUCUGUAGCAUUUAAAAAAAUUAAAAACACGUGGAAUAAAUCAUCAAUCUUUCUUCUUUACUGAAUUUGGAUUUCUCAAAAAUAAUCUUGACAAGUAUGUUUCACUAAUGAUAUGCUUGUGUGACAACUUCAUAAAAUAUUUUACAUGGAAUCACUAAUUAUCUCUAAAGAUGCCAUCAGUGAUACAUAAUUUCUUAACAACACCAUACCAAAAGAAAUCAACAAUUUUAUUAAUCGUAAAGAGUUACAUCUUCAUUGUAAUUAUGACAUAAAUUUUUAGUCAUCAAUCGCAUAAUAUUUUAUCUUAACUGAUGAUGAUGUUCAGUCUUGGAAUUUAUAAUAUCUUGAAGGUUAGUAGCUUUAAAAAUAAGAAAUUGCUCAUUUGCUAAAAAGUUAACUUAGUAUUUAAGUUUUUCAAUUGAAAAUUUUGAAAAAAGCGUUGAGAACUGGCGCUCCAUGGUAUUUCAGCGGAUAAAUAUGAAAAAUAGGCUAGAAGAAAUUAUUUUACUGAAAUAAGAGUUAAAAAGAGAGGAGAAGUACAGUACUCACGACUUAGGCUUUCUGUGUGUGCUUAUUCUACUUAGGCUUUGGGCUUGAUUACGCCCGUUAUAAUAAUAGGCUUUUACUUUCAGCACACAUGAUGAUUUCUUAACCUUCUCAAUUAGGUUAUAGCAAUUUAUAUAUAAAUAACUAAAGCAUACUAAAGCUAGCAUUGAUGUACGGAUGAGUGGCGUCAAAAGUGUAUUUGUUUUUAUGUAUUAUUUAUUCUCUAAAACAUAUCUGAAUACAAUUCUUUCACAAUACCGAGGAAAUAGCACAUGAAAUCGGAAAUAUUUUAUUGCGAUGAGAAUUCGUAUAUUCAUUGUAGUAGAACAUAUAAAAUAGACUAUAAAUUCAUUAUUCUUUCAAGCAAACCUGAUUAUAAUUCCUUCAAAAUUAAGUUUGUCAUUAAAUGAUUUCUCAGGAGCCCUACAAAAAAAAAUCGGGAAUUUGACCAAACUCAAGUAUUUAUCUAUUGGCGGUAACAGGCUCCAAGUUGCGCAUGAUCACAGAGUUCAAUUAUGAAAAUUGUUGCAUAAGUUAUAUGGAUAUCCUUGAUAACCGCAGCAAGCAUACAAAAUCAAAUAAAAGCUAACUGAGACUCGAAUAUCCUAAACCCUGAAAAGGAAUGGUAAUGGUAUAAUAUGGAUUCUGUAGGCAUAUUUCACUGGACUCAACAUUUAUGGUUAAUUUACAACUCUUUGUUGUAAAGUCUGAGAAAUUGCUUUAUAUUAGGGGUGGGGAAAAUAAUUGUUGGGCCACAAAUUUCAAGCAGAAUCCAGAUUGGGCCCAAUUAGACUUAUAGCUCAGCUCUGUGUCGAUAUCUGGGUCUUUACAAAUAAUUAAUGGGCCAAUUAAUAAUAAUAAAUAAAUUGAGAAGGGUAUGAGUGAAAUUAGAUAUGAAUGAAUCUGCUAGUGUAUGUACACAUUUUUCUAAUUAAUGCGUUAUGAGCCUGCCGCUGCCAGCAUGGAAAUUACAGAAACUAAGGAGAGAAUUGACCCAUUAAUUAAAUUAAAAAGAAUACGGAAUAUAUAAGCAGUCAAAAUAUAGGUGAAGUAGGCAUGAAUUGUCACAUAACUAAAUUUGAGAGUAAAACCGUGACUUGGGUUUGAAUGUUUGAUUAAGUUACUUCUAUUUCAAGUUGCUUAUUUUGCGUGGGCUUCAGGCUUAAUUACACACAGUCGAACACUUAUACAGUUCCCCUGACAUAGGCUUUCACCUUCACCACACAUUUGAUAAUUUCUUAGCCUUCCCAAUUAGAUUAUAGCAAUUUAUAUAUAAAUAACUAAAGCAUAGAAAAGCCACCAUUGAUGUACGGAUGAAUGGUGUCAAAAGUGUAUCUUGUUUUAUUUAUUAUUGUUCUAUGAUACAAAUUUGAAUAAUGGAAUAUAAUGCUUUGAAAAUACCGAUGAAAUAGCACAUGAAAUCGGAAAAUAUUUUACUGCAAUAAGAAUUCAUAUAUUCAUUGUAGUAGCACAUAUAAAAUAGACUAUAAAUUUAAUUUUAAAAUACAUUCUUAUCUUCAUAUAAAUUUUACAUUACUAAUUUAAAUUAACAUUAAAAUAUGUUGUUUCUUUCACUAUGUUAUUUUAUUUACACAAUGAUGUGACUAUUGGAAUUAAUAAUAAUUAUAAUUAUUUUGUAAAAAUAUAAAUUUAAUACUUUGUUAACAUUUUAUCUACAUAUAAUAAUUAAACUGAAACUUGUAUUUAAAAAAUUCUAGUUACGCAUAUUCAUUUCACGACAUAAAAGUGUAUAUUUAUGCUAAUUUACCAUUGUCAACAAAAUGCUUUGAGACAAAUAAUCUAAUUUAUAUUUUUAUAUUUAAAAUACUUGCAUUUAUUAUAUUUUGAAAAAAAAAUUAUUUGCAAUUAUUUUAAACCGUUGGAUUCAAAUUUUUGUAGUUAUUAAAGUCAAAGGGUAUAAAUGUAUAAUAGUCAAAAAUAGAUUUGUAUGAUCAUUUUUUAAUGUAUAAAUUUUCUUAGUUAGUAGGAAAAUUAGAAAUUGUUGAUUUACUCAUAAAUAAAUUUAAUGUUUAGCAUUUCAAUUUUGGAAAACUUGAAGUAAAUGUUGAUAACUUUGAAUCGGUCGAGCCGAGUUUCUCUUCCUUGACCCACAGACCCAUUGAAAGUUCUAUUCGAAUUGAGUUUCCCGGUGCUUAUAAAAAGCUUUUCUUUUCCUUGUCGCAGUAAUUUAUUCACAAAUGAGUUGAUUAGCAUCGAAGUUACCUGAGAGUCUGAGACCAUGCUAGUAGGAGAAAUUUGAAAAGAAAUUAUUUUACUGAAUUAAUUUAUUUUAUCUUGUUGUAACUGAAAUACUACUUUUUUUUGGGCUAUCACUGGGGCUUGAUUUACUUUAAUAGUAGUAGCCACCGACUUAGGCUUUUUUUAAUUGUCACCACACAAUUUGAUCUUUUAAUUUGUUUUAACCACAUAAUCUGUCUAUCUAUCUCUCACCUAUUGCUUACUUAAAUCGCAUACAUAUUUUACCUACUAAUUUUAUAAAUAUUAGUCAAAUAUAUUUUAUUACGUUUCUCUCGUAACUGCUCCAAAUGUGUACUAUUAAUACUUAACCCUCGCUUUUAAUUUAACCCAAAAAUAUAAAAAUAAAAGAAAAAGAAUAUGUGUAGCAAUUUGCAUAUAACUAACAAAGCAUUGACGGUGUGUAGCCUUUCAAAACUUCACGGGUGGCUUUUCUUGUGUGUUAGUACUUGUAAUAAUUGUGUAGUGUAUAAAUGACAUUUUAUUAUUAAAGUGCGUCCAUUUUUAGAUAUUACUUAUUAUUUGAAAAAUAAUCUGAAUAUAAUUCUUUUAAAAUACAGGGGAGAUACCACUUGAAAUUGGUAAUCUCCAAAAUCUGGAGGAGUUGGAGCUUGCUCAAAACAAAUUAAUUGGUAUUGUCCCAGUUGCAAUCUUUAAUGUGUCAACACUCAAAAUACUUCAGCUUCAAAUUAAUUGUCUCUCGGGAAGUCUUUCAUCCAUCACAGACGUCCAACUACCAAAUCUUGAAAAGCUUGAUUUGUGGGGUAAUAAUUUCAGUGGCACAAUUCCUCGUUUCAUCUUUAAUGCUUCUAAGCUCUCUAUACUAAAUUUGGGAGGGAACUCAUUCUCCGGUUUUAUUCCCAACACAUUUGGCAACCUAAGAAACCUUAAAUACCUUUAUUUAGAAAACAAUUAUUUGACAUCUUCAACUCUAGAAUUGAGCUUUCUAUCCUCGUUGUCAAAUUGCAAGUCUUUAACACAUAUUGACUUAUCAAAUAAUCCACUAGAUGGCAUUCUUCCUAAGACGUCUGUCGGUAAUCUUUCUCAUUCUUUGGAAGAUUUUCACAUGUACAAUUGUAACAUUAGUGGCGGCAUCCCUGAAGAGAUCAGCAACUUGACCAACUUGAUAACCAUUGAUUUAGGAGGCAAUAAAUUGAAUGGAUCGAUUCUGAUUACUCUUAGCAAAUUACAAAAGCUUCAAGGUUUGGUUCUUGAUGAUAACAAAUUAGAAGGAUCAAUCCCAGAUGAUAUUUGUCGUUUGGUUGAGCUGUAUAAAUUGGAGUUGGGUGGCAAUAAGCUUUCAAGAUCAAUCCCUGCAUGCUUCAAUAAUCUGAUUGCUCUGAGGAUACUGUCGUUGGGUUCCAAUGAGUUAACUUCUAUUCCCUUAACUUUUUGGAACCUUAAGGAUAUCUUGUACCUCAACUUUUCAUCAAAUUUUUUGACUGGCCCACUCCCAUUAAAGAUUGGAAAUUUGAAGGUUUUGGUUGGAAUUGAUUUUUCGAUGAAUAAUUUUUCAGGCGUUAUCCCAACAGAAAUUGGAGGCCUAAAAGAUCUAGAAUAUCUCUUCUUAGGAUAUAAUAGAUUGCAAGGAUCGAUUCCUGAUUCAUUUGGUAAUUUGAUAAGUUUGAAAUUCUUGAAUUUGUCCAAUAAUAAUCUCUCUGGGGCAAUUCCUGCACCUUUAGAGAAACUCUCAUAUCUUGAAGAUCUAAAUCUUUCUUUCAACAAGUUAGAAGGAGAAAUUCCUAGGGGAGGAUCUUUUGGAAACUUCUCAGUUGAAUCAUUUAAAGGAAAUGAAUUAUUAUGUGGUUCACCUAAUUUACAAGUCCCGCCAUGCAAAACUAGCAUCCACCACACAUCAUGGAAAAUUUCUCUUCUCCUAGGGAUUCUCUUGCCAUUGAGUACUACAUUAAUGAUAGUAGUCAUUUGGUUGAUCCUAAGAUAUCGACAGAGAGGAAAACAACCAUCGAAUGAUGCUAAUAUGCCACUAGUAGCAAUGUGGAGAACAUUUUCAUACCUAGAACUUUGUCGAGCAACAGACGGAUUCAGUGAAAACAAUCUAAUCGGCAGAGGAGGGCUUGGCUCUGUUUAUAAGGCAAGACUUGGGGACGGGAUGGAAGUUGCAGUGAAGGUCUUCAAUUUGCAAUGUAGAAGAGCAUUUAAGAGUUUCGAUGUUGAAUGUGAAAUAAUGAAAAGUAUUCGCCAUCGAAACCUUAUCAAAGUUAUUAGCAGUUGUUCGAAUGAAGAGUUUAAAGGGUUGGUAUUAGAAUACAAGCCUCAGGGAAGUUUGGAGAAGCAUCUGUAUUCAAGUAAUUGCAUUUUGGAUAUUUUUCAAAGAUUGAACAUAAUGAUAGAUGUUGCAUCAGCUUUGGAAUAUCUGCACUUUGGUUGUUCAACUCCAGUAAUUCAUUGUGACUUAAAGCCCGACAAUGUAUUGUUAGAUGAUAAUCUGGUUGCUUAUUUGAGUGAUUUUGGCAUCGCGAAGCUCUUAAUUGGAGAAGAUCAGUAUAUGACUCAAACGCAAACACUUGCCACAAUAGGUUAUAUGGCACCAGGUUUGUUCAAUAUAAAUAUUUUCUAUUUCUUGUAAAUUUCCUAAUAAGUUAUUUAUGUUUCAUGAUCUUCAUUAGAUGAGGAAAUUAUUAUUAAUGAUAUAUCUUACUAUUUAACUGUUGCAAUUCAUAGAGUAUGGAAGAGAAGGACGAAUAUCCACAAAUGGAGAUGUUUAUAGCUUUGGAAUUAUGUUAAUGGAAACUUUUACCGGGAAGAAACCCACAGAUGAAAUUUUUAAUGGAGAAAUGACAUUAAAGCAUUGGGUUAAUGAUUGGCUACCCAUUUCCACUAUGGAAGUUGUUGAUGCUAAUUUGCUAAGUCAGGAGGACGUACAUUUUGUUGCAAAAGAGCAAUGUGUGUCAUUUGUCUUCAAUUUGGCUAUGGCGUGCACUGUGGAAUCUCCUGAGCAGAGAAUCAAUGCAAAAGAAAUUGUAACAAAGCUCUUAAAAAUUAGAGGCUCAUUACUUAGAAAUGUUGGAGGCAGAUGUAUAAGACAAUCAAAUUUAAAUUGAUUCUGCCACUCCAUUGCUUGCUAUCUUUUUCAGAGACUUGAACGGUUAUCCUUCAUACCAGUUUUGUUGAUAUGUUUUGUUAUUGCUCUUGCUCAUGUUUGUUUCUCUAUUUCUUUAAUUUGCAUGCAUGUAUUUUUCGUUCUCUUUUAUGUUUUUGUUGGUUUGUAUGUAGUUUGUUUUUAGGGGUAAGGUUGAUUAUGUCCUUCCCUAAUUACACGUAUCCUUUUUAUGUUUAUUCAAUAAAGCUUCUCUAAUACUAUCGAGGUUCAUCAAAAGAAAAUUUUUAAUUAAUUUUCUUUUCUUUGACAGGUAAUGAAAUUCUAAUCUUCAUAGUGAAUAACUUCAAUAAUAGAGUAUAAGAGUAUUAGUAGUUAUGGUUGUUUUUUGAACCUAAAGUCAAGAGCAAUUUAACAGCAACAAACAAGCCUCUUGUAUUAUAGGCAAAAUUCUUUUCAUUAAUCUUAUUUAUCUACAUGUUCUCCUUUUUUCUCCAUUAAUCUUCGCUCAAGCUUUCAUGCUUCCUCUUUGAUAAAGGAAAAUAUUACUUGCGAAUAUUUCAAUUUGACAUAAGAGACUGUUUUGCCAACCAUUUGAUAAAAUGGAUAUGAGUGGAGCUUUCAAUCAUUACCUCCACCAAAAUCCUUACAACGCCACUUUUAAAUUUUAUUUUUUAAAAUACAUUCAGUUUAAUUUAUAAAAAAUAAAUCCAUUUGUUAAAAUUAAUCUUUUUCUCAUAAAUUUCAACCUAAAAAAUAUAUUUCUUUUAAAUUUUUAAUUAUAAAAUACAUACAAGUUCUAAACUAUUAUUUUAUUUUCUUCUUAUUAUAUAGUUUAUAUCUCCAUAACUCUAAACUCCUAUAAUUUUUUUUAAAAUGUUUUUAAUUUAAAAUAUAAAUAUUAAGUAUAUAAUGGAGUGGGUAUAAAAAAAUUUGUUAAAAGAAUAAUUCAUUUAAGUAUUUAACUAAAUUUAAAUUAAAAUAAGAAAUAAGUUAAUUUAUUUUUUAUUAGUUAAGUAAUUUUCAAUUGAAAAAGAGCUGUAUGAGUAAUAUUAUUGAAAUAUGAUUAAAAUUCUUAUGAAUUAAAUAUUUUCGUAUAAAUACUAGUGAUAAUUACAGAGAAAGGACAAGGAACCAAAGAAAAUGUGAAUAUAAAUACUCCAAUGUAAUUUUACACAUGCAAAUUAUGAACCAGUGAUCUUUAGAGCAUCAUAAAAUUAUUUUGACAGAAUUACUUAUUUUGAAAAAUUGCCAACAAUGUUUAAAGUGGGAUUGAAAAGAUUAUACUACUUAUAUAAGACAUGAUAUCAUUUAAGAUGGCUUACGAAUUAUAAAAAAUAUAUUGAUCUUACAAAUAUUUAAUAUGUCAAUUAGACGGGCCCAGCUACCUUCCACCUGCUAGAAGGUACAUCUUAUUUUGUCCUCUAGUGUUGUGGGCGUUGGAUAUUUUAGAAGUUGAUCUAACGGUUCUUGUUCGACAGCGUGAAAUUGAAUUUCAAUUGGCAACCGUUUCAUGAACUUUGCAAGAGACAAUUAUCUACAAAAAUAUUAAAAAAAUAAAACCAAUUUUUCCCUUUCAUCAGCCGCCGCCGCCACCCACGAACCCUUAAUAUCAUCAUCACCAUCCCAAUCCUUAGUCGCCAUCCACAAGCUCUAACAACCACCAUGACCGCCAUCACAACCACCACUCCUCACAACCCCUAGCCACCACUACAAACAUUCACAAACUCCAACCAUAAUUGUCAGUUCACCAACAUUAUCCUCCAUUGACGCGGCCUACCAAUCAUCCACAACACCUAACCGUCGUCACCAACAAACUUUCGCCACCGCUUCCUACAAGGAAGCCUCACCACCCACCACCGCACACACACAAAGCCACACCAACCGCCAUACUAUUGCGACAGAGGCCACAAUGUAGACAAAUUCCCUAAGAGGAAGGAUGUUUUCCUUCUCCAGCUGACUAUUCUUUUUUAUCCUUUUUUUUGUUUUUUAAUUAUUAUAUUACUUUUAGUUAUUUUUAGUUUUUCUUUUAUUUUGUCUAUAUUUUGGUUGUUAGAAUGUUUUUGUUGUUGUUGUUGGCGGCAGUGCAGUUGUAGCUCAUGAUGAUGAUGGUGAUGUUGGUGUCAUUUUAAUCGAGAUUUUGUUUUUUUUUUACCGGCUACGCCAGUCAUCUUCAUUCAUUACAUGUCCAUUUCUAACAUGUUAGAUUUUACUACUUUUUAAUCCAAGGGUUAGACCACAACGAGACGAAAGAUGGGGUACCUUCCAAUGGGUGGAAGGUAGUUCGGCCCAAUUUAGACAGAGUCUAUGCAAUAAAAAUUUCAAAUUAAAAAAUAAACCUUUUAUUUUCUUUUAAUCAUAAGUGUGAUCUUAAUUAUUAACGUCUUUCAAUGUCCAUUACUUAUUUAUUUUUUUAAUUACCUAAAUGACAUUGAAAACUCUACUCAAUAAUAAUUCGUUCAAAUGUUUUAUUUUAAAGUAAUCGGAAACUGCAAAUGAAACAAAUGCUUGAAAUCACAAACGGCCUAAAAUUAGAUUUUCAUUUUUCAAUGUUGCAGUGACUUUGAUCUUGAUAUUGAAAAUUUAUUUGUAACUUAUAUAAAGGCCUCAAUUUUAUCAUAAUUGGUUAGUAAGGCUACGUAGGGAGCAUGGAUAAAUUUUGGGAUUGGAUUAUAUUUUCGAAGCUAAAAAAUUAAUUUCAUCUAAUGUUAUGUUUGGUUGUCAAGACUAGCAACUUAGUCUAAAAUUAUUGAAAUUACUAAUCUUUUAUAUUAUAAUCUUUUCGUUCCCACUUUAAACAUUAUUGGUAACUUAAAUCAUUUUUUAAAUUAAACAUAAAAAUCAUUUAAAUUAAAUAUUAACAUUAAUUUCAUAAGUUUUUUACCUAGAAUUUUAUAUUAUAUUAAAUACUACAAUUCUAUUCAAUAAUGUAUUAUCAUUUAUUUAAUAAAUGUUUAGGUUUUCAGUAUGUUAUAUUAUUAUUUAAAUUAAUUUUUUAUUUACAUAUAAACAUAAAUUUAUAUUUACUAAUUUAUAUUUAUUAUAAUUUAUUAAAUAAUAAAAUCUAAAUGAUUAUAUUUAAAAUAUAAUUUGUAUGUUAAUGUAUUAUAGCCUAAAUCUUACCCCUAUGAGUUUAUUUUUUCCACCUUUUAUUCUAUUAACCACAUUUAUAAGGCAGUGCGAUGCAACUAAAAAUUAUAACCAAAUAUAAGUUAGCAUGAAAAUAAUAUUUUAGUACAAUACAAUACAAUGUAAUAUAAGCUGACAAAUAGAUAUUUAAUGGAAGCAAAAAUUGCAUAUGGUUUGUCGGCCUCUCAAAAGACAGCAAAGAAACCAAUAUGAUACACUGAUUCUGUCCUCUUUAGCAGUGCCUUUACUAAAUAGGAAUAAAAAUGAAUUAGAAUCGGAAUAGAUUAUAAUCGAAAUGAGGAAUUAGAAAAAGAAUAAGUUAUUUAAUUAAGUUGUAUGAAUUAGAAUUGAAAUAAACUUCAUUCUAAUUGAUGUGUUUAUUUUCUCUUGAAAUUAGAAUGGACUAUUACAAGUUACUAAAAAAUCAUUUGGUAAUUGAUGUCUCUAGUAUUAUUUGUAUUUGUUAUAAUGUUAACAAUAAUAAGAAUAAAACUAAUACUAAAAAUGAAAAUAAUAAUAAUAAUAAUAGAGACAAUAAUAAUAAAAUUAAUAAAUUAUUAUUAUUAUUAUUAUUAUUAUUAUUAUUAUUAUUAUUAUUAUUAUUAUUAUUAUUAUUACUACUACUACUACUACUACUACUACUACUACUACUACUACUACUACUACUACUACUACUACUACCACCACCACCACUACUAUUAGUACUGAAGACCGCCCGGUAAAGAUUGGAUAGUGAAAAUGAAGACGACGAAGAUCCCGGCAACCACCUGCUACUCCAAAGAUGAUGUGCCCAAAUGGAGACAACCAGUGAUGACUAGCCAACUAGAUCCAAAUCUCGAUAUUGUGAUCUUGCAUGACCAUUGAUAAAGCGAUGUGUGAUGUCGGUGUUGUGAUUUCUUUUUUAUUUAUAUUUUUUAAUUAAUCAGGGGUAUUUUCAAAAUUUAGUAAUUUUAAUAUGGGCAAAUUGGAUAGUCUAGUGAACAGGAGACUAAUUCCCAAUCAUCCUAGAAAUUAGUCUCUCAUUCUUUAUUUUUAAUUUAAUGUGGGUUCCACUAUUUCGAUUCCAAUUCUUACAUUUAUUUAUAAAGUAAAUAAUGUUAAUGAUUUCAAUUUCCAAUUCGAAAAAUAAACACAUCAUAAUAUUUUUUUAGGUGCUUCCAUGACAUAAUCUCAUUGGUCCAUUUUUCUUCAUGCCUUAUAUUCAACUUCAAGAUUCAAGAUUCAAUUUGAAGCAAACACAACUACAAAACAAAUAUAAUAAGCGUUAAUAAGCCUGUGGCCAAGCAAAUGUAACUUGUAGUGACCAAUCAUAUCUUAUUAUCUUCCGCCAGAAGUUAAACAAUGUUCCCAUUCCACGUGUCACUCUCUGACCAAUCCCCGAACUUUCUUCAUAUUUCCAAAGAAACCCUCACCAAGUCAACAUAAUUACCUUCACUCUACUCAUAUAAAUACUGUCCUCGAUUCGACUGAUGUCUGAUGACGACAUAUCCUUGGUCUUUAAUUAAAGAAAAAAGGACACAGAGACUCCCAACGUUUGAAUAAGGGACAUAAAAUUUUUUAAUGUUUUAAAAAAGACACUCAGACCCCCAUUUGUUAAUAAUAAAUUAUAAUUUUACCAUUAUACCCUUAUAGCAUAUUAAAAAUUAAUUGUUCAUUAUCCAAUUUAUUUCCAUAUUAUUAAUAAAAAUUACGAAUAUAACUUCAUUACCCUAUUUUUCCAUUUAUUUUUUAUCAAAUUUUAUCUUCAAACUAAAUAAAUUUAAUCCAUUGCUCAAAAAUAAAAAUAAAUUAAAUUGAUUAUUAAUAUAAUACAAAUAACAAUUCUCCAUAUGUUAUUUCUUAUAAUUUCUUAUAUAUAAAUUAAAUUGAUAAUUUCUUAAAAAUAACAAUUCUCCAUAUAUAAAUUAAAUUUAUUUUAAUUUAAUAUAUGUUAUUUUUAUAUUAAAUAUAUGUUAUUUUUAUUAUAUUAGUAAUCAAUUUAUUUUUAUUCUUGAGCAAUGGAUUAAAUUUAUUUAGUUUGAAGAUAAGAUUUGACAAAAAUUAAAUGAAAAAAUUGAAUAAUGAAGUUAUAUUCGUAAUUUUAUUAAUAAUAUAGGAAUAAAUUAGAUAAUGAAUAAUUAUUUUUUAAUAUGUUAUAAGAGUAUAAUGAUAAAAUUAUAAUUUACUAUUAAUAAAUAGGGGUCUGAGUGUCUUUUUUAAAACAUUAAAAAAUUUUAUGUCCCUUAUUCAAACAUUAGGGACCUCUAUGUCAUUUUCCCUUAUUUAAAAGUGGAAAUUAUAAAAAAUUCUCCUCGUUCCCUAAAGAUCUAGGGUUUCUCGAGAAUCGCUAAACCUAGAUCCCAAUCCUUCAAAAUCUCAAUUUAACCUCUCUAGGGUUUCGAUUAUCGAGGAUUCGCUUCAAAAUUUAGUAUUUUUUAGGGGAUUUUGCUUGUCUCGUAUCCUUCAAUUGUUGUUCGGUUCUGAAAAUAAUUUGGAAUUUUAGGGAUUUUCAGAUUAUUUGGUUUUGCUUGAGUGCAAUUUCCUCUAGUUACGGUUUCAGUUUGAAGGGUUAAGUGCGAUUUCGAAUAUUUUUAUAAAAUUAAAAUUAAAAUUCAUAAAACGACUGGGCUUUUAAUAAUUAAUUGCUGGCUAGCGAUACUACAACGGCGGCCGCAGCUGCAGAAGAAGCAGAGGCGGUGGAGGAGUAUGAUAGCGAUCCAGAUGAAGUGAAACGCUCUCUUGCGAUGCGCAGAAGGGAAGCCAGCGAUGAGGAGGUUGAGGAGGAUAAAGAUUCAGAGCUUCCAAUAGUUCAAAGUGUCCACAUUCCUGCGGGAGAAGCGGAGGCUGUGGAUGAGUAUGAGAGCGAUCCAGAUGAAGUGAAACACUCUCUCAUUAUGCGCAGAAGGGAAACAAGCGAUGAUGAUGAGGAGGAGACAUAAUUUGAGCGUCGAAUGAAUUGAAGGGUCCAGAUUCACUCUUACAUUGAAUCUGAUGGCCAAGGUGGUGCUCCAGCUGAGUAUGAUGAUGAUGAUGAUGAAGAAGAGGAACAUGACAGAGAAUUAGAAGAAGAAGAUGAAGAAGGGGAUGUUUAUGAGGCUGUAGAGGAAGAAGAAGUUUAUGAAGAAGAGGGGAGGAAUGAUGGGGCGGUUAAAGUCAAAGGAAUAGAGGGUAAUGAUGCAUAAGGAGUACGGAGGGUGCAGUGGAAGUGAGUAAAGGGAAUAAUGAUAAUGGCAAUGGUGCUAAAAGAAUGAUGCAGCAGAGGAGAGAAUGGAGAAAGAGAAGAAGGAGAGUAAUGAGCCUUUUGUACAGCAACUGGGGCUUUUUGCACAGCAACUGGGGCUUCUUAUAUGGGACAAUGUUGCAGGUCGACACAGGUAUUAUUUGAUUUGAGUGACAAUUUAUAAAUAGCUAAUAGCUGUACUUUCAUUAGUGCUUGUCAAUUAAUCCAGUCUCGUUUUUUGGUGCUGUAUAAUGAUUGUUUGCUGGAAUCUGUGUAGAAGGCUUUUGGCCUAGUAGGUUGAAAGGAGAGAAAGUUCUCAAAUAAACAUCUGUGCUUUGUGGAAUAUAAUUAAUAGGUACAAAGCAUACUAAAUUACUUGACAGAGAGAUGCCGAGCUAAUCAUGAGCUAUGAUAGCAUCAUCCGUGCUUUGUGUAUUUUUAAUAGGGCUUGUCUAUUUCAAAGUGUGUAGUAAUUUUUGGGUUUAGUUUGAGUGAUGAAGUGUUAGAUGGGUUUCUGUUUGGCAUAGUUAAGUGGUUAAUACGAGCUAUUGAAGCAAAUAUGGAGUAGGAUAUCUAGUUUUGGGUUUGGUCUUAGUUUGAAGAUGGCUACUGAUUAUGCAGCUAGGUACUAAUUAGUGUUUGUGGAUUGCUAAAUGCUUUCUGUCAAAUGUGACUAGAUUAUUACUUGAAGUGCAUGGAUCUUACACUUAAUUAAUUAUAUAUCCAUUUGUAAUGUACAAAAUGAUCAUGUACUAUUGCUUAAAAUUAUGUUUUCAAGACAUCAUUUUGAAUCCAUGGUUGUAAUGUGUCUCUAAAUUCAGUAAGACAAGUUCUGUCAAUUGCUGUCGGAUGGCAGUGACUUGAAUAGUUUAAUGUUCAUUUGCAGAAAAAAAUUGAGAAAGAAAACUAAAAAUUUCUGUGCGUUCUGCUGGAAAUUUAAUUAGCUUCAUUUGAGCAUUAAUUGCUGGCAUUAUCUCUUAGAUUUCUCUUGCAUUGAAUGAAUGGAUGAGUGCUAAUCCAUGCAAAGACUUCCAUGCAUACACAAUGAAUGCUUCAUCAAAGGUAUGGUAAAAUGUCAACACGCUUGGCCCAAAUUAUCAAGCUGGUGUGGUGGCUGCUAGAUUUGUUCAUCCGGAUUUUGGACCAUUUUCAUUGACAAUGAGAAAAGCUGCAAGAUCUGUAAAUCGGAAACUCAUUGAAGUGCCAAAAGAGAGAUGGAAGUGAAUAACUAGGGAGUUAGUGAAAAGAGGGUGCAGUGAUUGUGUGGGAAGCUUUGGGUAUAUUUGGGGUUUGGAUGUAAGAUAAAAUAAUUUGAGAGAGAGGUUGUAACAAUUUUUCGGUAAUAGAGUUUUUCAGGUAACUCUUGUGUUGUGUGAUUGGAGUAUUCUCUAUUGUAUUUUUUUAUUUGUUAUUUAUUUGACAUAUUGCUAGCGGAGAUCUUGGGUGGGAGCCAAAAAUUCCCAACAAUUGUCAAUUGUUUUAAACUCUAUUUCGAACAGAGCAUGAAGGGAUUCACUUAUCUGAUUAUGUCUUUUAUGCUUUAACUUCACUUGAUUUCAUCUUGUCUGUCACCUUUAUUAAAGUUGUAUAUGUUGGAGUAUUAGGUUCAUCACAGGGAUCAUAUUAUGGCUAAGGAAGGGGCACAAGAGUAUUUGGAUUCAAGACUGUUAGAAGGUUGUUACAAUGCAAGGCUGUUGCUGUGUAACUGUAUGCCAUUCACGCAAGUGCACUCUUAACAGAUUGCUGAGCUGGCACCGGAUGUUUUUAGCUAAUAUUAGUUAUUGGUCUAGAGUGUUCUGAUUUAUUCUAUAAAUAGCUCAUUUGAGCUUAGAACCUUUAUAGUGUAUCAUACGUUUCCGUUACUUCUAAUAAUGAGUUUCUCUAUUCCUUUUUCUUUCACUUUCUCUUCCAUUUUCAUGAUCCCCAAACACCAUCAAUCCAUGAUUUUCUAGAGUAUUAGUUGUCUAUUUCUACAAGGGGAAAUAUCCACCGUCCACCUGAUUUUGUUUACUUUUUUAAAAAUAUACAAAUCCUAAAUUUUUUAGCUGCGCUCCACCUGAACUUAUAAUUUUUUUCACAUUUCCACCUCCGUCUGCAAACCGUCAAGGCGUUGCUGAUGUCAUAAGGCUAAAAUGAUAAUUUCACUUGGGCUUAAAAAACGACGUCGUUUAAGAUCUGUAAUAAGCAAAAAAAAAAGUUAUUUCAGUUUCAAGAAUCCAAACAAAAGCUUUGAUAAACUCGAAGCUCAAAGCUUAAUUAUUCUCUGGUCUCUACUCACCACAUUCGCAUUCAUGGCUGCACAAGACACACAAAUUGAGAGCGAAAAUAAAGACUCAAAAGAACCCAAAAACCUGUUCGCACACUUUAUAAACUUAUUAUUUUCUGCUCCAAUAUUUAAUAAUAAGCAAGAGAGAAAUAAAAGUGAAGGUGAAGAAAGAGAAGCUGCAGAGGCAAGCAAGAAACGAGAGGUGGUGAAAUUUUCGCUUUUAAAAAAAUAAAAAAAAGAAAGAAAAAGCAAAGGCAAAGCCAAAAUCUUCUACUCUGAAAGUCAUCGACCAUAGUCAUGGCGGAAAACACAGAAAUUGCUUCCAGUCCCAGAAAACAAGAAAACAAAAGCAUACUCUCGCGGUUGCCGAAAUUCCAACUCAAUCUCCAUUUCUUCUUUAAUCAACAACCUAAGAAAGUAGAAGAAACUGUUGUUUCUAAAGGGACUGCCAAAACGUCAACGGUUAGUGAAGCCGAUGACGGUAAUGCUAGUAGUGUGAAGCCGAGCUUGGCUAGGUUUCCAGACGCCACACGUCCGAUUCUUCCGCUGCCGAUUGAGCUCGAGGCCCAAGAGCCCGCCGGGCGGACUUCCAAUCCUGUCGUUCUCUGGCAGGUUCGCUUUCUUCCGUCUGUUCCUGUUUGGUUCCCGAGAAAAUGUGGGGUCCUUUUGUGUUGCGAGAUUGCGAGAUUUUAUAAUAUUUGUUUAAAAAAUAAAAUUUUUGAAAGGAUUUCAAGAUUUUCAGUCUUUAUCUAGGGCUACAAUACUCACAAAGUUAAUAUUUUGGCGUUUAUUGAGGGUAAAUAUAUAAUUUUUUAUUUUCGGGGUUAAAAAGUAAUUUGGACAAAAUUCCGUUAGUUUUAUUGACGGUUUACAGACGGAGGUGGAAAUGUGAAAAAAAUUAUAAGGUCAUGUGGAGCGCAGCUAAAAAAAUUAGAAUUUGUGUAUUUUAAAAAAAGUGGACAAAAUCAGGUGGACGGUGGAUAUUUUCCCUUUCUACAAACAUAAAAUUGUUGUUUUAAGAAACAAAGUACUCUGUCCUGUCACCCGCGGUCUCCUCGUUUAUCGACUUGUGAACAGGGCUAAAUAAACGGCAAAUAAGAUAUUAGGUCAAUGGGUCUAACGUGACAAGAUAUUGAAUUAUUGCCCUUUUCUUUUCUCCACAAAUCUUUGGUUAAUUUUUAGGUUCUCUCAACUUUUUUCCCCUUUAGCACUAAAAUUCAUUUUUGAUACUUUAUGCAAAAAUUAUGAUGAAAAUGAGUCACUUUAGAACAUUAAUAAAUUUUUAUUUUUACAUCCAAAAUAACGACAGUUACACUUAGAUCACUCUCAUUUAGUUGAACUAUAUAGGUAAUAAAGUUGGCUUAACAAAAUAUGAUUCUUAACUGUUGUAAUUAAGCACUAGUAUUCUUUGGUUUUAGUUGUAGGGCUUAUAAUGCCGUGGCUCAGUUCUUGGUGGGUUCAAAUUAUUAGACGAUCAUUCUCAAUCCUUUACGAUUCGUAAUUAAAAAUUCUUAUAUCACAAUUAGAACUUACAAACAAGUCAAAGUGGGUAAAAUCAUAUGUAUAAAUUCGAGGUUUAUUACAAACUUUUAAAAAAGAUUUUCUCUGUUUUUUUUUUCUUUCACAUUCUCUUCCAUUUUCUCAAUCCCCAAACACCACCAAUCCCUGAUUUUUUGAGUAUUAGCUGUCUGUUUCUACAAACAAGUUCUUGAAUUGAAUGGCUCCUCUUUUAUCCAUAGAUCUUUGCUUAAUAUUUUUGUUCCCUCAACCUUUUUCGGCCCUUUGCUCUAAAAUUCUUUUCUGAUACAUUAGCAUUACGCAAAAAUUAUGAUGAAAAUAAGUAUGCCAUGCCGGCAAGUGUAUUGUACAGAUUUCUAGAGUAUUACCUGUCUAUUUUUUUCACCGAUGACGAAGCUAAUUAUUAGUAAUCAAUCUAAAGUCUACCUAUAAAUACAAUAGGUUGCUUAGGUGGCACCAAUAUCCUAACUUUAUGCCAUGUUUCUGGUGUGUCUUCACAAAUUCACCGAUACAAAUUAAUUUCUACCAAUAUUACCAAAUGAUUGUAUUUUACGUUUCUAUUUACUUGUAAUAAAGAUCUUCAAUUUUAUUGGUUACAAAAUUCUCUAGGAUUGCAUGUACAUUAUACUUUUAUAUACAUAUUUUCUUCUUUCUCAUUCGUUUUCUGGGUGAACAUAUUAUUUUCGUCAUCAUCUCUAUAACAAUGAAGUGAAAAUAGUCCUCAUUUAAAGUAUUGACAGCAAUGUUAUACUCAAUAUAACGUAUAAAGCACGCAUAAUUUAAUUAAUGGGGCAGCUGCUAGUACCUUCUAUAGAAGAGAAUUAUUGCAGCAAGUUAAUUGGAAGCUCAAAGAGUUUCCGUAUUAGCCGAAUCUAAGCGAUAAGUGUUUCCAUGUGAGACAUAAUUUGGGAAAAAGACCAAUUCGAGUUAAAGAUCAGAAAACAAACACUGUCAACAAGCAUUAAUGUCAUUUGAUGCAUGAAAGACAAUUAGUCCCAUUUUUUUGUCCUGUUUACUUGACUUGGGCAAUUUGCCGUCAACUUUUCUCAUCCACGUCAGGUAAUGUGGCUUUUAUUUGGUAUGAAAAAGCCAAUGCUUUACGAUAAAACUAUCACACACAUAUUAUCCAUCUGUAAUGUUCAAAUGACACUCAAGUAUUACCUAAAUUAGCCUUUUAAAAAUUCAUUUUCAAAAACCCAUGGUUGUGAUGUGUCUCUAUAAAUUAAGAUCUAUCUGUUACCAACUGUUUUAACUCUGUUCUGAACAGAGCUUGAAAGGGUACAUUCACUUAUCUAGUUAUGUUUUUUAGGCUCUCACUUUAUUUGAUUCACCUUAUCCCUCUUUUGAAACAAUUGUUCACUGGCUGCACUCAGUUAACAGAAUAUUUUGGGAUUCAAAAUAACAUCUUAUUUUCUAAAAUAACUAAAUAGAAUCUUACAGAAUUAGAGUGCCUGACUUCUUCAUACAGUGCUUGACUUCUUUUUACAGAAUUAUAAAGUGAAAAAAUAAAUUAAGAAAUUAAAUACUUUUCAUGCGAGUGGAGAAGAUUGGGUGGCGAUUACAUUAAAUAAAAGAAAAAUAAUUUAAAAGUACAACCCUUUAAUAAUCUCAUUCCCAAUAAAUCGUUGAAACGUCUUGCUUCAUAUUGUUCUUUUUUUUUUUUUUGAUUAAUUGGCCUAAAUAUUGUAUUUUUGUCAGGAGUCUUGCAAUGCUGCGUAACACCGUAGUAAGAAGAAACGUGUCUAAGGUUGCCACGUGUUGUCUCAACAUCUGUGUGAAAACCGAAUUAACCAGUUUGCGUUCGACAACAAAGGAAAAUCUUUAUAACACCCUUUUUAAUUUUAUUUUCUGAAAUACACUCAGUUUUAUUUGUAGCAUAUAAAUCUAUUUAUUAAAAUUAAUCAUCUUUCCAGAAAAUAUCAAUCUAAAAAAUAUUUUUUUAAAUUUUUUUAUAAAAUACAGAUAAAUUCUAAUUAUAAAAUUUAUAUCUCUAUAACUCUAAACUCAUUUAAUUUUUUAAAAUUAUUUUUUAAAUUUAAAAUAUAAAUGUAAAAUAUAAAAUAAAUCCAUGUAUGUCAAUACUAGAUGGUUCCAUAUUAAACCUGUGAAGUGUAGAAAAUAAGCGGGAUUCGUAAAAAAUAUUUUAGAUAAUAACAUUGAAAAGUGAUAAAAAUAUUUUUUUUAAAAAAAAGAAAUACAUACUCGAGACACCAAGACCGGCACGCACAAACUCACACAUUUAUAUAUUAAUUGAGGGGGAAAAUGAUAUUCUAAGUAAUAUUGUUGACAUGUGAUAAAAAUUCUUUUUAGUGAAACAUUUUUGUAUAAAUACUAGUGAUAUUUGUAGAGAAAGUAGAAUGAAGUGAGAAAAACUUGAAUAUAAAUGCUCCAAUAUAAUUUCUCCCAUGCAAAUUAUGAACUAGUGAACUUUAAAGCAUCAUAAAAUUGUUUCAACAUAAGUAAUUAGUUUGAAAAAUUGCCAAUAAUGUUUAAAGUGGGAACGAAAAGAUUAUACUAUAUGAGACACGAUAUUAUUUAAGACAACUUACAAAUUACGGGAAAUGUAUUGAUCUUACAAAUAAUAUUUAAUAAGUACAAAUUUCAAAUUAAAUAAUAAACCCUUAAUUUCCUUUUAAUCAUAAUUAUGAUCUUAAUAAUUAAAGUCAUUCAAUCUUAAUCACUUUUUCAUUUUUUUAAACUAUCUAAAUGACAUUGAAAACUCUACUCAAUAUUAAUUUAUUCGAAUGUUCUGUUUCAAAAUAAUUGAAAACUGUAAAUGAAACAAAUGCUUGCAAUCACAAAUGGCCUAAAAUGGGAUUUUUAUUUUUUAAUAUUGCAAUGACUUUGAUCUUGAUAUUGGAAAUUUAUUUGUAACUUAUACUAAGUCUUCAAUUUUAUCAAAAUUAGUUUCUAGAGAUGCAUUUGCCAUACUGUGUAGUUGUAUUGUAUGAUGAUAUAUUACAUUAGAGUGCAUUGUAAUGAGAUGUAAUGCAAUACUAUUUUAUAUUAAUGUUAAAACUAAAUCAACCUUAUUUAAAUUUAUUAAUAUUUUAGGGUUUUAAUAGUAAUAUCUGAAAUUAAGUAUUAAAUAAUUAUUUUUAUAAUAUACAAAUUAUUUAAUAAUAUUCUACUAUUAAAUAAUAAAAUAUUACAAUAUUAUGUUAUAUUAUUAACAAUUAUUCUGUUAUAAUAUAAUUUAUUUUUAUAUAUUAGUUAUUAUAAUUUAUUAUAAUCAUAUUAUAAUAAUAUUAUAUUGUAAAAAUACAAUACUAUAUAAUUGUAUAAUAUAAUAUGAAUUAAUUUAUAACUUAACAUUAAAUUAUAAAUUUAUUUUAUUUAUUAAUGUCAAAUAUAUUUGUCUAAUUUAAAUUUGGUAUUUUUUUAAAAAUAAACUAUUAAAUAAUUAAAAUGAUUUUAUAGAAUAAAGUAAAAUAAUGUAUUAUUAUUUAUUAAUUAAAUAUUUAGGUUUAUUAAUAUACUAUAUUAUUAAUUAAAUUAAUGAAUAUUAAUUAAUAUAAAUAGUAUUAAAUAGUAUAUUAAUACUAUAUUAUUAAUAUACUAUAUUAUUAAUUAAAUUAAUGAAUAUUAAUUAAUAAUUUAAAUUUAUUAAAUAAUAAAUUUAAAUGAUUAUAUUUAAAAUAUAAAUAGUAUUUUAAUGUAAUAAAACCUAAAUCCCACAUGUAUACCACAUUUGUUAUACAGUGUAAUGCAACUAUAAAUUAUAAUUAUAUAAAAAUAAUAUUUUAAUACAAGUAUAAUGCCACUUGAGAAAUUGAUAUUUUAAUGGAACCAAAAUUUGCAUUUGGUUUGUGGGUCUCUCAAAAAAUAAUAAUAAAAACCAAUAUAAAACACUGAUUCUGUCCUCUUUAAUAUUUUUCUAAAUGCUUCCAUGGCAUAAUCUCAUUGGUCCAUUUUGUUUCACAGCUUAGAUUCAACUUCAAGAUUUUCAAUUUGAAGCAAGCUGUGGUCGACUGGCCGUGGCCAAACAAACGUGCCUCAUGGAGUCAUGGUGACUGAAUCAUCUCUUAUCUCAGAAUUUGAACUUAAACAAUUUGAACUUAGACUGUUUUUUUAUUGUCGAAGAUUCGCUUCAAAAAUUAGUAUUUUUUAGUGGAGUUUGCUUGUCUCGUAUCCUUCAAUUGUUGUUUGGUUCUGAAAAUAAUUUGUGAUUUAGGGAAUUUCGAUUAUCUGGUUUAGUUUGAGUGCAAUUUCCUCUAGUUACGGUUUCAGUGUGACGGAUUAAUUGCAAUUUCGAAUUUUUGAUAAAAUUUAAAUAUUUAUUUAUUUAUUUUGAGAAGGCUAGUGAUAAAAUUGGGCGGUUAUUAAUUAAUUGAUGGCUAGUGAUACUACAACGGCGGCCGAAGCUCCGGAAGAAGCGGAGGCGGUGGAGGAGUAUGAUAGCGAUCCAGAUGAAGUGAAACACUCUCUCGUGAUGCGCAGAAUGGAAGCAAGCGAUGAUGAGGAGGAGGUGGAGAAAGAAUUUGAGCGUCGAAUAGUUGGCGAUGAAUCUGAUGAAUCUGAUGCGCAGAAUGGAAGCAAACGAUAGGGCAGUUAAAGUCAUUGGCUGCACUCAAUUAUUAGAAGGUUGUUACAGAGGUAAGGCUGUUGCUGAGUAACAGUAUGCCAUGCUGGCAAGUUUGCUAUAGCAGAUUGCCAAGCUGGCACUAAUUAUUUUAAACUAAUAUUAGUAAUUAGUCUAGAGUGCUCUAAUUUAUUUUAUUCUAUAAAUAGCUCAUUUGAGCUUUGAACCUGUAACGUGUACUGUACUUUUCUAUUACCUCUAAUAAAGUUUUUCUCUGUUCUUUUUUCUUUCACUUUCUCUUCUAUUUUCCCGACCCUCAAACACCCUCAAUCGUUGAUUUUCUAGAGUAUUAGCUGUCUGGUUCUACAAACAUAGAACUGGUGUUUGUUUGUUUGUCUAAUUACCUUUAAGAAACAAUAUACUCCACCCUGCGGCCUCUUCGUUUAUUGACUUAUUACUUGUGAUCAAGGCUCAAUGAAGGGCAAAUAAGAUGUUGAGCCAAUCGGCCCAACAUCACAGAUCUUGAAUUGAUUGCCUCUUCUUUUCUCCACAAAUCUUUACUUAAUUGUUAUGUUUCCUCAACUUUUUUCCCCUUUUUGUGCUAAUUUUUUUUUUUGAUACUUUAUGCAAAAAUUAUGAUGAAAAUUAAUUAGUUUAGAACAUCAAUAAAUUUUUGUUACAUUCAAGAUAAGGACAAUUACACUUAGAUCACUCUUAUUUAGUUGAAUUAUAGGUAAUAAAAUUAGUUUUAACAAAAUAUGAUUCUUAACCCUCGUAAUUAAAGGCUCGUGUUAUUUGGUUUAGUUAUAACACCAUGCAACAGGUCGUCUUGGUGGGUUCAAAUUAAUAUACGAUCAUUCUCAAUUUUUAAUAGUUUGUAAUUAAAAAGCCCUACAUCACAAUUAGAAUUUGCAAACAUGCCAAAGUGAGUUAAGUCAAAACCUAUAAAUUUGAGGUCUACUACAAACUUCUGACAAAUUAAAUUUAAAACGAUUAAUUAAAUGCUAGACAAAAUUUAGCUUAUUAAUGUUCCUGACCACAUGAUGAAUGUACUUAAAACAUCCUAAUUGGUCACUAAUUGAUUAGUUAUUAUUUUUUCAAUUUCUUUUUAUAUAUCUUUGAAACUUCUAGUUUCCUAACAUAUUAUUUGCAAUUCGUGUAAAUUAUUAUUUUUUAAAUAUUAGAGCAACAACCAGUAUAAAAAUGAAAUGCACUCAUUUAAUGGAAAUUUUUCUAGAUGCUUCAAUGGCAGAAUCUCGUUGGUCUAUAACUCUCACGCCUUUGAUUCAAGAUUCAAUUUCAAACCAACGCCGAACAAACAGUAUAAACCUUAAUAAGUCUGUGGCUGUAGCCCAACAAACCUACUUCCGGCUCACCGAAUAAUCAUCUCUUACGUCGGAAUUUAAACUUAAACAAAGCUACAUCCCACGUGUCCCCAACUUUCUUCAUAUUUCCAUAAAACCCCUACCAGAUCCAGAUAAUUACCUUCACUCUUCUCGUAUAAAUAGAGAAGAUGAUGAUUCCUACAAAGCCACGUAAGUCAAGCGAACGUUACGGCCAUGGCACAUUGGAAUUGGAUCAAACCACCGGAAUGCAAAGCAAAAUUAACCAAAUAAACUAAAUUAGAUCCAACCAAUUGAAUCGGUUAAUGAAUCAGUUUAGUGUCACUCAAAAAACAAAUAAAUAUAUAAAACCACACAAUUAUCAUAUUAAUGGGGCACUUUUAUCAAACACUAUAGGAUCAACUAGUACAAAAUGAAUUCAUUUGGGAUACGUUUAACGUACUGUGCUAUGGUGUAUUGCAUUAACAUACAUUAUAUUAAGUUAUAAUGUUAUACUUUGAUAUAGUAUAAAUUGUAUUAUAUAAGGUAAUGUUUUAUAUUAAUGUUAAAACUAAAUUAAUAUUAUUUAAAUUUAUUAAUAUUUUAGGUUUUUAUUAUUAAUUUUUUAAAAUUAAGUAUUAAAAAUUAUUUUAUAGUAUAUAAAUGAGUUCAUAAUAUAUUAUUAUUAAAUGAUAAAAUAUUAAAGUACUAUGUUAUAUUAUUAAAAAUUGUUAUAUUAUAAUAUAAUUUAUUUCUAGAUAUUAAUUAUUAUAAUAUAGUAUAAUCAUAUAAUAAUAUAAUAUAAGUUAAUAUUAUAUUGUAAAAAUAUAAUACUGCACAAUUAUUUAAUAUAAUGUAAAUUAAUUUAUAAUAUAAUAUUAAAUUAUAAAUUUAUUAAAUAAAAUUAAAAUACUUUUUACGUAUUUAAAGUAAAAUAAUUAAAAUAAUUUAUGUAAUAGAAGUAUGAUAAUGUAUUAUCAUUUUCUCAUUAAAUAUUUUAGGUUUAUUAAUUUGUUAAAUUAUUAUUUAAAUUAAAAUUAAUUGUUUAAGUGUAAAUAUAAAUAUAAAUGAAUGUUUAAUAAAAUCUACUCCUAUGGAUCUAUUUUAUACACUUUUUAUUCUAUAAAUCACGCAUAUAAUGUAGUUGUAUAAUAGAAACUGGAUAUGUAAUGGAAGCCAAAUUGCGCACGGUUUGUGGGUCUGUCAAAAAAUGAUAAAAAGACCAAUAUGAUAGACUGACUCUGUCCUCUUUAAUAUUUUUCUAGAUGCUUCCGUGGCAUAGUCUCAUUGGUCCAUUUUUCUUCACGGCUUAGAUUCAACUUCAAAAAUCAAUUUGAAGCAAACACAACAAUUCAACAAAUAUAAUAAGCGUCGAUAAGCUUGUAGCUGACUGGCUGUGGCCAAGCAAAAUGUACCUCAUGGUUACCGAAUCAUAUCUUACGUCAGAAUUUUGAACUUAAACAAUGUUCUCAUUCCACGUGUCACUCUCUAACCAAUACCCAAACUUUUAUCAUAUUUCCAAAGAAACCCCUACCAAAUCAAGGUAAUUACCGUCACUCGGCUCAAAUAAAUGGUCUCCUCAAUUCAACUGAUGACGACAUAUCCUCAUAGUCUUUAUUUAGAAGGGGAAAUUAUAAAAAAAAGGGUUAUUUUUAGGAACUUUCCCUGAAGUUUAGUGUAUUAACAGUCUGAUAAAAAGUAUUUAUGUAAUUAUAAGUAUUUCCCUUAACAUUAGUAUAAAAAUACGUAAACGUCAGUAUAAAAAGGUAAACAAGUAAAAGUAAACUUGAAAUUUAAACAAAAUCAAAAUUCAAGCAAAAUAUGUUUCGAUGUCUGUGAAAUAGAGACUUAAACACACCAUUACCCAGUCCAAAGUCAUUAUCCAGUAGAUGAAAGAAAAUGAUUUUUUCACAAAGGGUACUUCUCCUCGUAAACACAGCUUACACUUGAACAAAACCCACCAUCAUUUUCAUCCAUGGAGAAGAAGCGUCUGCAACUCACAAAUAAUUUCUGAAAUCAUUGAUUUAUUUUCAUCUACUGCACAAGAUGACGUCGUGCGGUGGUCCAGAGCUUCCAAGAAGCGAGUAUUGCCAGCAUCUAGCAUCUACCGUGACUGGAAUUAGAUCGCAAGAAGAGGUCAGUCUUCGAAAACACAGCUUGCAUGCUUGAAUCAGUGGCUUACAAGAUAUUGUUGUUAUUUUAUUGAUUAAAAAUAACAAUGGGUCUGUUUUAAUGAAUGAAAAUGGUGUUGGAUGUUGUUUCUCUCUAGGGUUGUUAGUGUUGAGUUGAAAAAAACUAUUGGGUAAUGACUGAUAAGAGCAAUUUCCUAAUGAUUUAAGAGCUGUGUAAGUACUAGAUGUAGUUCAUCAAAGAUGGGUUUCGAUUUGCUUAUAAUCUGAUAAUCUUUUAGAGAACCCACAGUGGUUUAUGUGAUUGUUCAGUUUGGGGUCAUGACACUAAUUGAGUUGUGUGCUAGUUUCGGUUUGUGCAUGCCUUUGGUGUUCUUUUGCCUUAUUGUUGUAAUUCCUUCAAUAAUUUGGCGGUGUUGUUUUUUUUUUUUUUUUUGAGAAGGUAAUUUUGUAUUUGCUAAAUAAUGUGAUUGUAAUCAGAGGUAACUUAAGUAUAUUGUUCUACACACAAUUUUUGCUCCCACGUGAGAUGUUCUCUGUGUUUUUGUCUAAGGCUUUUGUUUGUUAUUCAAACUAGAAAAUAGUGGAUGCAAGACUAUGAAUUUGGCAUGUGAUAAACUUUGAAAUUGCCCUUUUUCUAGAUUAAAAAAUAUUGACUUGCCAUUUUCCUUGUUUGAUUCUAAUUUUCAAACAAGUGUGCCGAAAUCUUAAGUUCGAUUACAUGUUGUUUAUUGUAUUUCUUAUUUCAAAGUCUGUAAUCUAUCUGCGUGCAUCAUUUCAGAAGAAGAAUAAGCAGCUGCAGCAAGUCCAUUAGUUUAGGUGUUCCGAGUAUGACAGAGAUGAUGCUCUAGAUCCAGGUUUGAGGCACCAACAAAACUCGAAGAUAUCAAUUAUAGAGUGGGAUUUUCAGGACCUGAAAUCCAAUUUAAUAUUUACUUGAUCUGGGUUUAAAUAUGGAUGGAGCAAAGAUUGGUAUCAGAAGGGUUUUAUUGUCGGUGCCAACGCCUGUACUAUCAAGUUUACAAUAUGAAAAUCAUUUCUUUUAAUAGCUCUGCUCUUGUGGCAUGUAUUAGUUAUGAAGUAGUUUGUAAUAAAAAAAAAAUCACAAUAAUAAUAUGCAUGCAGGAUGCAGCUAUGCCGCCACACAUUAUUUCAAUUUUUUUAUUAUUUUGCAAUGUCAAUUUUUUUAUUAUUUUGCAAUGUCAAUUUUUUUAUUAAGCAAUUUCAUUUUUUUAUCCAAUGGAUAUUUUCAUCUUCUUAAGUAAUUUGUGAUUUUGGCACGAAUUACCCAUCAGUUCAUCAGCGAAUAAAGAAAUAUUUUGACAGGAAGGGUAUUUUUGGAUUUUCAAUAGUCAACUAACAGUCCACUUAACAGAAUACAAAUGUCAGGGGAGGUCUUUGUAAUUACGUGAAUACUUUCUAUCAGAAUGUUAAUACACCAAACUUCAGAGGAGGUCCUUAAAAAUAACCCUAUAAAAAAAUCCCCUCGUUCUCUAAAAAUAUGAGGUUUUCUCAAGAAUAGCUAAACCUCCAUCACAAUCCUGAAAAAUCUCAAUUUAACCUCUCUAGGGUUUCGAUUGUCGGGGAUUCGCUUCAAAAUUUUGUAUUAUUUUAGUGGAUUUUGCUUAUCUCGUAUCCUUCAAUUGUUAGUUCAGUUCUGAUAAUAAUUUGGAAUUCAGUUUGAAGGGUUAAGCGCAAUUUCGAAAUUUUUUAUACAAUUUAAAUUAAAAUUGAUAGAACAAUUGGGCGGUUAAUAAUUAAUUGAUGGCUAGUGACACUACAACGGCGCCCGCGCCCGCAGCUCCGGAAAAAGCGGAGGCGGUGGAGGAGUAUGAUAGCAAUCCAGAUGAAGUGAAACGCUGUCUUGUGACGCACAGAAGGGAAGCCAGCGAUGACGAGGACGUGGUGGAGGAGUACGAGAGCGAUCCAGAUGAAGUGAAACACUCUCUCGUGAUGCGCAGAAUGGAAGCAAGCGAUGAUAAGGAGAAGGAGGAUAAAGAAUUCGAGCGUUGAAUGAACCGUAGGGUCCACAUUCAUUCUUACGAUGAAUCUGAUGGCCAAGGUGGUGUCCAGCUGAGUAUGAUGAUGAUCACCUCUCUCGACCAGUUCAGGUUCAAGGGAAGGGUGCUCGAGGGGUACUUGUCUUGUUUAUCAUUUUUGUUUAAUUUUCAUAAAUUCGACGACCCACAAUUCAAUUAUGAGUGAAGAGUUUGUUAAAAAACUGUGGUCUUCCAUUUACUAUAACUAAGUCCGUGUGAUGUAAUUAUUUUUCUGUCACUUAAAUGUCUUGAAAAUUAUGAAUACAUUGUAGGAUUUAGAAGGAUUCUAAAGUUUUAAUGCAUAUGGGUUUUUUAUGUCCAUCCACUUAUGCGUAUGCUGCAUUUUAUGAUUAUCGUAGUUGGUAGAUUGACAAAUGGACCUUAAUUACAAGUCAAAUAACCUAAAUACUUAUCGGCCAAAGGAAGCCAUUUAUAGUAAUUUCUAGUGAAGCAAAGUAAAAUGAUUCAUACUGGCAAAGAAAAUUGGAAAAGAAAAGGAGGAUUACUGAUCCACACAGUGUCGUUUACUAAAGGUACGUUGAUCUUACACUUAAUUUAUUAUAUAUCCAUUUAUAAUGUUCAAAAUGAUAAUGUACUAUUUCUUAAAUUAGGCUUUCAAAACAUCAUUUUGAUAAUGCAUAGUUGUGAUGUGUCUCUAAAUUCAGUAAUACAAGUUCUUUCCUGUUACUAAUGGAUGAAGUGACUUGAAAUAGUUUAAUAUUUAUUUGCAGUAAAAAAGUUGAAAAAGGAACUAACAAUUUACAUGCGUUUUGCUGAAAAUUUAGUUAGUUUCAUUUGAAACUUGCAUGGGCAUUAAAUGCUGGCAUAAUCUCUUUGACUUCUCUUGCAUUUGAAUGAAUGGAUCAGUGUUAAUGCAGGCAAAGAUUUUCUGGACUUUCAUGGAUGCACAAUAAAUGCUACGUCAAAGGCCUGGUAAGAUGUCAGCAAGCUGGUCGAAGAUAUCAACCUGAUUUGGUGGCUGCAAGAUUUGUUCAUCCAGGAUCGUUUUCUUUGACAAUGAGAAAGCCCCAAUGUCUAUAAAUUGAGAACUCACUGAAUUGUAGAGAGAGAGAGGAAAGUGAAUAACGGGAGAGCCAGUGAAAAGAGAGUGUGGGAAGAUUUGGGUGUAAUUGGGGUUUGGGUGUGAGAUAAAAUAAUCAGAGAGUGGUUGUAAUAAUUUUUUAUAUAGUGAAAUUUUUUUGUCUCGUUAUUUUUUGCAGUGGUGGUUUUUUACUCUAAUAAAAGAGUCUUCCAAGUAAAUUUUGUGUGUUAUGAUUGGGAUAUUCACCAUUUUAGUUUUCUAUUUAUUAUUUGUUUUACAUAUUGCUAGUAAAAAUCUGGGGCGGGAACCGAAAAUUCCCAACAAUUAUUAAUUAUUUUAAACUCUGUUCUGAACAGUGCAUGAAGGAUCAUAUUCACUUCACUUCACUUCACUUGAUUUCAUCUUGUCCCUCUCCUUUAUAAAAGUUGCAUAUAUUGGAGUAUCAAGUUCAUCACAAGGAUCAUAUUCUGGCUAACGAAGGAGCACAGUUCAUUGGCUGCACUCAUGUGUAGCAAAGUAUUUGGAUUCAAGACUGUUAGAAGGUCGUUACAGACGCAAGACUGCUGCUGUGUAACGGUAUGCCAUGCUGGCAAGUGGGGCAGUGCGCUAUAACAGAUUGCGGAGGUAGCACCAAAUAUUGUGAACUAGUAUUCGUAAUUAGUGUAGAGUGUUCUGAUUUAUUCAUUUGUGCUUAAAACCUACAUGUAUUGUACGUUUCUAUCGGUAAUUUGUUCUGAUUUUUUUUUGGGGCCAAUUGCAGUUUUGAUAACAACUAAAAUCUGUGUGGUCCGGUUACCACAAAGCCUAUAAUGAUUGCAAUUACUGUAUGAUCAUUUCCCCAACUAUUAUUUGAAUAAUUGGUCCAGUUACCACAAAGCCUUGCCCCAGAUCCCUGCCAUUUUCUCCUCCACCUCCAUUUGGGGAAAUUACUACUUACUUUUUGCAAGUUUUUUGUGAAAUAUUUAUUUUGAGAAGAAAACCAACAAUACAUUUUAUGAUUUGGGCUGUUUCAAAGAUCUUCGCUUGAUGUCUCUGCUACUGGUUUUCAGCAGAGUGCCCAAAAAUAGUUUUCAGCAGUACAAAAAGUAUAUAUUUUGUACCUUCCAUACAUUUUGCUUUGUUAAUGUUAUUAUUUGAUAACAUGUUUGUCGAGUUGCACAGUGUAUAAAUGCUAUACAAAUACACUCCUUUCAUUUUAUACAACUUUGAUUGAUCAAGUUGUAUCUCUUUGAUAAUAUGUUCUAUCUCCUUUCAUUUUAAACUUCAAUUGAGUUGCUAUCUAUUUAACUUUGGCAAGUCAGAGAGAGGGAUGGGACUGUCCAAUUAAAAUUAAGUUCCAAGUGCCAAUCCCACCAUUGUCGUCUCUUGUUUGCCAAAUUCAAAUUUGAAAAUCUCACCAAGUCAGUAUGGUGAUGUUGUGGGAUUGUCUGGCCUAGGUUUUUAGCCUCAUGAACUCCUUUAUUAGAAAAAGUCUUAAGUGUUCUUACUCAAUGGUAGAAUCAUAAUUUUACUUCAAUGGAAGCCAUAAUGAUUAAAAUAUACUCUUUUGAUUAAUUACUUAUUUGAUGUUGCUCUCUCUACCUUCAUCUCCUUCUUUAUGAAAAAUUUAUUGUAAUACAUGGAAGUAUAUAUUGCAUUGAAUAAAAUGAAAUUGUUCAAAAAUUAACAAAUUCAGCUUUAUUAUAAUCUAAAACAAAGUAAAUAAAAUAAUACCCAUCAUGUAAAAAUAAAAAAAUAAAAAUUUUUGUACCACUUUGAAUCUAUUUUAAAUUUUUUUGGUCAAAUCUCAGAAGCACAAACUUUGAACAAUAAUAAUAGGUAAAAACUAAUAAUCUUAUAAUAAAAAGUAAGAAAAAAAUAAAGUUGAUUUAGCAUGUAAGAAUAAAAAAAGAAAAAUAGAAAGAGAGAGAAAUUAGCUUAGGCUUUAACUAUUGUUAUAGUAGAGAAGUAAUUUUAUGACCUUUUAGAAAUGAGUGAAUUAAAAUAGUAAGUUAUAAUUUGAUAACUAUCUUAAUUAAAAAAGUGGGUGUUGAAAUAAAAUUAAUGGAUUCAAAUAGCCCACCCAAAAUCCAAAAUUGCAUACCAAUUAUUUUCUAAUUUACAUAAAGUUCUUCUAUUUUUUUUUUAUAACAUUUGAUUCUCAAUUGGUCUAAUGGAGAAACAACCAGCAAAAAAAUAAAAAAUAAAAAAUAAAAAAUAAAAUGAAUGCAAUUAAACCGAAAUUCGUAAAAGAGCCGUAUGACAUUUAUGUGCAAGCAAAAUUGCAUUCUGUUUAUGGGAUCCUGGAAAAAAUAAAAGAAAGAAAACAGAGUAAGACGCUUUCGCUGUGGGCUUUAAUAUUUUUCUAGAUGCUUCCAUGGCAGAUUCUCGUUGGUUGAUUUUUCUUUACGCCUUAGAUUCUAUGAUUCAAUUUCAAUCAAAUACGACAAACAAAAGAAGCUUUUAAGCCUGCAGCUGAAAUAGAUGGUACUUUAAUUUUCAGCUGAACAUAUAUAUGGUAAGAUUAUUAUUAUUGAGCUUGAUGAGGCUAUAGAAAAUUCAAUAUCGAGAUCGGAUAAGGGUCCAAUAAAUUAUAAAAAUAAAGCAGCUCAAAGCCCAUAUGAUCAUGGGCCAGGCCACUACUUGCUCAUGCUUUGAAUCAAAAUUAGUGACGUUGGAAGCUGAAAGGGGCAAAUGAUGAAAUGGGGUUCAUCAUAUAGUAUGCCCAACGGGGUAAGAUCAUCAUUUAAUUGCCUCCUCCUCUUGUCGAUAGAUAUUUGCCUAAAUUUUUCUAUUUAAAAAAUAUUAUAUUGGUUAGUAUAAUUAGAAGUUUUACAAAAUAUAAGUAUAAUUUUUAAAAAAAAUUAUAUUUGUUAAUCUAAAUUUACAUCCAAGAUCACGACAAUUACACUUAGAUCACUCUUAUUUAGUUGAAUUAUAUAUGUAAUAAUGUUGGCUUAACAAAAUAUGAUUCUUGAUCGUUGUAAUUACGAGCUGGUAUUCUUUGGUUUUAGUAGUAGGGCUUAUAACGUUGUGCAACAGUUCUUGGUGGGUUCGAAUUAUUAUACGAUCAUUCUUAGUUCUUUACGAUACGUAAUUAAAAAUUCUUAUAUCACAAUUAGAACUUACAAACAAGUCAAAGUGAGUUAAAUCAAACGUAUAAAUUCGAGGUCUAUUACAAACUUCUAAAAAAGAUUUUCUUUGUUCUUUUUUCUUUCACUUUCUCUUCCAUUUUGCCAAUCCCCAAACACCGCCAAUCCUUGAUUUUUUAAGUAUUAGCUGUCAAUUUCUACAAACAUAGAACUGCUGUUUGUUUGUCUAAUUACUUUCAAGAAACAAAACUGUUUGUCAUGUGGUCUCUUCGUUUAUUGGCUUGUGAGCAAAUAAGAUAUUGGGCCGAUGGGCUUAACGUGACAAGUUCUUGAAUUGAAUGGCUUCUCUUUUUUUCAUAAAUCUUUGCUUAAUUUUUUUUGUUCUCUCAACCUUUUUUGGCCUUUCGCGCUAAAAUUCUUUUUUUGAUACAUUAUGCAAAAAUUAUGAUGAAAAUGAGUUACUUUAGAACAUCAAUAAAUUUUUAUUACAUCUAUAAUAAGACAACUAUAGUGAGAUUAUUCUUAUUUAGUUGAAUUAUAUGUAAUAAAAUUAGUUUAACAAAAUCUAACUCGUUAGUAUUCCAUAUCACAUGAUUAACGUAUUUAAAAAAUCUUAGUUGUUCCGUCGCUUGUUUUACAAUUCUUUUAUAUAUCUUUGAAACUUUCUGCUUUCUGACACAUCAUAUUGUUCUCAAUUCGUCAAAAUUAUUUGUUUCUUCAAACACUGCAGCAACAAUCGGUAUAAAAAAGAAUGAACUCAUUUAAUGGGAAUUUUUCUCAUUGGUCUAUUUCUCUUCGCACCUUAGGUUCCUCUAACAAACUUAAAAGAUGUUCCCCAUCCCACGUGUCUCCAAAUCUUCGUAUUUCCAAACAAACCUCUGCCAAAUAGAGAAGAGGAUGGCUUUUAUUGCAAACUGUAUGAGCGUUAUGGCCAUGCAUGGGACAUUGGAUCCAAAUGAAACCAAUGGAUUGUAAAGCAAAAUUACCGAUUAAAAAUUCAAACAAUUGAAUCGGUUUGGUGUCACUUAAAAAAAUAAAUAAUAUAUAAAACAACACAAUUAUCAUAUUAAUGAGCCACUGUUAAAUUCAUUCAGUCAGUAUUUUUCUUUUCCCAUUUUCAAUGAAUGCUUAAUAUGGAAAACAAUAUGUCCCAUUGAGCACUGUUUAAAUCAUUCCCUAGUUUGUUUAACACGCAAAGAAUAUUCUUAUUCAGCUCGGCAGCCAAUCCGUUAAAAUUUAUUAAAAUUCAUUUAAGUGAUGACUGUGAUAUGACUCGAUCAAUCGUUUAAUUUGUAUAAUUUAUAAAAAUUUGAGCUUCAAGUAAUGUAGAUAGAAUGGUUAAUUAUUUUAAUAUUAAGAUAAAUUGAUAUAUGUCAUUAUAUUAUGAGUGGAUGAAAUAUCCAAUAGAAAAAAAAAUGUUUAUAUUCGUCAUUUUUAGUGGGAAUCUAUUUAGUGUAACUUAUCCAUAAAAAUGGUUGACGACUUAUCUUGGUUCUCAUUUUGUUUAAUUUUCAUAAAUUUGACUAAUGAUUAAUUGUGAGUGAGUGGGGCUAAUUAUCCGUGGGGCGGCAUCAGUUGCUGCUUGAGUGGAGCUGCGCUUUAUCCAUAAAUCUGGUCUUCCAUUUAUUUUGUAGGAUUUAAAAGAUUAAAAAACUUUAAUACAUAUAAUUUUAUGUUCGAAACUAAAUACUGGUAGCAUUGCUGCUUCUAUAAAUAACUCAUUUGUGCUUCCAACAAUAAUUCACGUUUUUGUUUCUCUUCAUAAAGAUUUUCUUUUUUUUUCUUUUUUCCAUUCACUUUUUCUUCCAUUUUCCCGACUCCCAAACACCACUAAUCCUUGAUUUUCUAGAGUAUUAACUGUCCGUUUCUACGAACAUAGACCUACAGUUUGUCUAAAUACUAUCAAGAAACAACGUACUCUGUCGCGGGAUCUCUUCGUUUAUUGACUUUUGACUUGUGAACGGGGCUAAUUAAAGGGCGUUCCUUUCUUCAAGAAAGAAUGCAAAGAAAGUACUAUCCAUGAGACACGUUAAAAAUUAUUUUACAUAAAAAAUGAUAAUAAUCAUAAUAAUCGGUUAAGGAUCGACAAAAAUGUUAUAACCUAUAAAGCAUGGAUAAUUAAUUAAUGGGAAUGCACCUCUCAUCUUUACCAUUCUCUUUGUCAUUUUCAUAAUUCAGCUGUUUAUUAAUAAAGUGAAUAAAUUUAUCUUUUAAUAAUAUGUUUCUUGGCUGUUUUUUUGUGUAUUUUUGUGUACAAUUUUGUGUGCAAAUAGCAUUAUUCAUUAGUAAUUAGUUUGGAGUAGCUCAUUUUGAGCUUAGGACCUGUAACUAGUAUUUUAUGUUUCUGUUAAUCUUUAAUAAAGAUUUUCUCUAUUUUUUUUCCCUUUCACUUUCUCUUCCAUUUUCCCCGACUCCCAAACACCACCAAUCCUUGAUUUUCCAGAGUAUUAGCUCUCUAUUUCGACAAACGCAUAACUGUUGUUUGUCUAACUACUUUCAAGAAAUAACGUAGUCUGUGGUUUAUUGACUUGCGAACGGGGCUAAUUAGUCACGGUCCGAUUGUCUGACUUCUCCAUUGACUCGGUCAAUUCACGACCUUGACCUGUACAGUUGAUACAAACGGACUUCUCCAUUUGAGGUGUACAAAACUUUCUUGAGUCAUUUUGUUUGGUGAUGAUGAAUUGGAUGUCAGUUCAUGAGUUUCAUGAUGAAGAGGACCAAAAACAUUAUUUUAUUAUUUAAAGAAGACUAACAAUUAUUUCGAUGGUCAUUUUAUUUUUUAUUUUUAAAUAUCCAAGGUGCUUGACUUCUUUACACAGAAUUACAAAGCAAAAUAAUUAAGAAACUAAAUACUCGUCAUCCAAGUGAGAAGAGAUUGGGUUGUUGAUACAUUAAAUAAAAGAAAAAUCAAUUAAAAGCACAACAAUUCAAUAAUUUCAUUCUCAAUCAUAUAAAAAAUAAAAUUUACUGUACAUUGUUGUUCGGUUCUGUAAAAAAAAAAAAUUAUUAGGGAUUUGCAGUUUUUUUUAGUGUAAUUUUCGUUAAUUACAGUUUGGUCUGAAGGGUUAAGCACAUGGAUCAUAAUCAUAUUAUGGCCUAAGGAAGGAGCACAGUUCAUUGGCUGAACUCAGUUUACAGAAUAUUUUGGGAUUCAAGACUUCAGGUUGUUAAAAAUGCAACUUGCAAGGCUGUUGCUGCGUAACUGUAUGCAAUGCUGGCAAGUGUGCUAUAACAGAUUGUUGAGAUAGCACCAAAGAUUGUAAACUAAUUAGUACUGGAAAAUCCUAUUUGCACAAACAAUUGCACAAAAUAAAUAGAAUGAGAAUACUUAUGCAAAAAAAAUAAGAUUAAUAAAGUGAAUAAAUUUAUCUUUUAAUAAAAUAUUUCUAGUCUUUUAGUGUUUUCGUGUAUUUUUGUGUACGUGCAAAUAACAUUACUCAUGAGUAAUUAUGUUUUACGUUUCUAUUAUUUUCUAAUAAAGAUUUUAUCUGUUUUUGUUUUUUUCCCCCCUUUGAACGGGGCUAAUGUUGGUCUAACUGCUUUCAUGAAACAACGUACUCUGCGGUUAAAAUUAAUUGAUCAUUUUAUUUGGUGAUAAUGAAUUGGUUGUCAAGUCAUGAGUUUGAUGAUGCACAGGACGAAAAACGUUAUUUUAUUAUUUAAAAUAUGACUACCAAUUAUGUUGAUGGUCAUUUUAUUAUUUAAAAUAUGCAAAUGGAAUCUUACCGAACUAUAGUGCUUGACUUCUUCAUACAGUGCUUGACUUCUUUGUACAGAAUUAUAAAGUGAAAGAAAUUACGAAAUUAAAUACUUUUCAUGCGAGUGGGGGAGAAAUUCUGUAUAUUUAUGAAAUAACUAUUGAUUUCACUUCGGUAAUUACUUUUUAAAAGUAACGUAAACAUUUUUAUUUUAUUUGCAUUCGAGCUUUCUUUCUUUUUCGCUGGCCUUUACUCUUGACCGUAUUUUCAUGGGGCAUAUUCAAUCUGAAUCCUCUGCAAGUUUGUGGCAGUUUGGUUAGUUACGAACUUUUGUAGAAUUGCAUGAAGAUGACGCUUUUAUAGACAUUUUUUCUUUUUUCUUUUUUUCUUCAGUGAACAUAUUAAAAAUUUAGUUUUUUGUCAUCAUGACUAGAACAGUAAAAUGAAAAUAGUCCUCAUUUCGACGAUUGACAAAAAUGUUGUACUCAUACCGAUUAAUGGGACACUGAUUUCGUCUUCUUAAAAAAUUAUUAUUGCAGUGAGGUAAUUGGAUCGAAGAUGGACGAUUUCCAUAUUUGCCUAACCUAAGUGAUAAGAAUUUUCAUAUGGGACAUAAUCUGAUUUGUUUUGCUUGACUGUAUUCCAAGAGACAGUCAUAUCUACUAAAUGAAACAAAUCUUGCUUUUCUAGAGAAAUAAUGCAAUAUGCAAUUAUGCAUGAAGGUGCGCAUCCAUGUGAGAAAGUUGACGAAAGCUUCUUUUUCAGUAUUGUUGGAAUAAUGGUAUCGAUUGGAAUUGUAAGGAAAGAGGUCUUCGAGUCGUGGACAGCUGAACCGAAGAGAGCAGAUGAAUGCCCUUUGCAGAAGCAGGAAAUAAGCUGCCUAAAAGUAAGCAUUAGAUGAAUGCCCGAUCGAACACCACUAAUUCCAACAAUAUAUCAAAAAAAAUCUUUGAGUUUAAGGAAUUAAUUUUUUAAAUAUUUGAUAUAUGUCAUGUUCUGACUUAGUACAAGAAGAAAAUUAUAGAAUUUUUUUUUAAAUUAAUGGAAUUAUUUUACGAUAAAACAAUCACAAUCACAAUUAAAAAUAUUCUUUAAAAUUUCACUAUUUCUACUGUUAUUCUUUAAACUCUUUCUGAACAGAGCAUGAAGAGUCACUUAUCUAAAUAUGUUUUUUUUGUGCUUUCACUUCACUUGAUUCAUCUUAUCCCUCUUUUAUAGAACCUGCAACUCGUAUUUUACGUUUCUGUUACUUUCUCUUCCAUUUUCCCAACUCCCAAACACCAUCAAUCCUUGAUGUUACAGAGUAUAUUAAUUAAUUAAUGGGCCACUAAUUCUUCUUCUUAAAAGAAAAUUUUUGUAGGGAAAUUGGAAAAAAGGCUAAUUCAAUUUAAUUUUGAUAGGUGCGACAGAAGGAUAGGACCGUCCAAUUAAAUUGCAAGUGGGCAUUCCCACCAUUCGUGUCUCAUGCUUGUCAUAUUUAAAUUUAAAAAUCACACCAUGUCAGUAUGGUGAUGAUGUGGAAUUGUUUCACCGAAAUUUUUAUUUCGAUGGUGGCCAUAAUAAUUAGACUACUGAUUAAGUUGGUUGUGACAUAAAAUCAACGUUGUAUAAUUUUUUGGAUAUUAUCUCAAUUUUACUUCUGUAGGUUUGUUUUUUUGUAUAUUAUCUCAAUUUUUAAAAAAAUGUAAUUGCAAUUAUCAAACACGACUAAUCCCAACAAUUUAUCCAAAAAAAUUUUAUGAUAGAAUUGGCUAAUUUUUUUAAUCGACUUUCUGGAUAAAUGAUAAUUUUUUUGAUAGAAAUGUUACUUAAGUAUUACAGGAAGAAAAUUAUAGAAUAAUUUUUUGAAUUAAUAGUAUUACUUUACGAUAACACUAUCACAAUCUAAUUUUAAAAAAAUAAAGUUAUUCUUUAAAUUUCGCAUUACUAUUCCUACUUUUCUUGUUAUACUACUUAAUGGCACUGGUGAAGCCUCGAAUUAUCAAACAAAAAAGCAAAAAUAGUUCAAUAUCUGCUGUCCCACUGAGCAUUGUUAAAUUCAUACCAUAACAUGAGUACUUAUAUUAAAAAAAACAAUCGGUCUCAUUGCGUGCUCUUUCAUUGACAUAGGCAAUUUGCUGUCAACUUGUGGCACUUUUAUGAAUUUUCAAGACGGGUGAAUUUUUCAAAUUUAAAAGAAAAAAAUACAGAAAUGUAAUUUCAAUUUAUCCAAAAAUUUGAGUUUCAAGGAAUACAACAUUUAUUAUAUGUCAUGUUAAUAUAGAGAAGAAAAUUUUAAAAACUUCUUUUUGGAUGAAUAAAAGUAUUUUCUGAUAAAUAUUUCACAAUCAAAUUUAAAAAAUUUCACUCCUCUUGGUACAUAAUUUAAGAAUUUAAGAUUAUAAAUUAAUCUUUUUAAUCAAAGUAAUAAUCUCUCCUCGGUCUGCAAAUGCUAAAAUUUAAUAUUAUAUCCAUUGACAAUAUUUGCUCCAAAUUCACGAAAAUAAAAUUUCUAACAAAAUUAUGGAAUUCGUUACUAGAAAUUUGUAUAAAAGUUGUGAGAAUAGAAGGUUUGAUCAUAGGAAAUUAAUAUAUCCCUAUCCGAUGCAAAAAUGAUUGUAAAGAAAAACAAAAGUCAUGGGCUUAUUUAGAAAAAAAGAAAAAAUUACAUUCCAUUUUCCAGUUAUUAAAGUAAUUCUAAAAUCGCUAGGAUCACAAAGGAUAAGUUUUGGUUGACUGAGGUCAGCCUUAACGCAUGCCGGUCUUUUUCUCCUCUACAUUCUUAGAAAUUUUGGUUUCACUAUAAAUACUCGGUAUAUAGCAAACUUAUAAGUGUUCUUGCAUUACCAAUCCAACUAAGCACACGCUUACAAUAUAAAUACUCUCAUCUCAUGGAAAGAGCUCAUUCUCUCAUGAUGAUGAGCAGAUUUCUCUUACUCCAUUGUUUGAUUCUUAUUUCCUUAUUUAUCGCGGCAGCAACAGCCAACACAAGUUCUACUAUCACGGACCAAGAUGCUCUGUUGGCCCUGAAAGCUCACAUAACUCAUGAUCCGACCAAUUUCUUGGCCAAGAAUUGGAACACAAGUACUCCUGUCUGUAAUUGGACAGGCGUCGCUUGUGAAGUCCAUAGCCAGAGAGUCACAGUCUUGAAUAUUUCAAGCUUAAAUCUCACAGGCACCAUCCCUUCUCAACUUGGGAAUCUUUCUUCUCUGCAAUCACUCAAUCUCAGUUUUAACCGACUUUUUGGUUCCAUUCCCUCCGCCAUCUUCACCACAUAUACACUGAAAUAUGUUUGUCUCCGUGGAAAUCAGCUCUCCGGCACUUUCCCUUCUUUCAUCUCCAACAAGUCUUCUUUACAACAUCUUGAUCUUAGUAGCAAUGCACUGUCUGGUGAAAUUCGUGCAAAUAUUUGCAGUAAUCUUCCUUUUCUGGAGUACCUUGCUUUCUUCAAAAACAUGUUGCAUGGCGGCAUACCGUCCACGCUAUCAAAUUGCACAUAUCUGCGAACGUUAGAUUUUUCAUACAAUGAUUUCUCGGAGGCCAUACCUAAAGACAUCGGCAAUUUGACCAACCUUAAGGAAUUAUAUCUUGGCCGUAACAGACUCCAAGGUGCGAGUAAUCACGGAGUUUAAUUAUGAAAAUUGUUCCAUAAGUUGUAUUAUGAAUAAUGUUCCAUAAGAUAAUUUGCACGCGUUGAUUAAUUUGCAGGAGAAAUUCCUCGAGAAUUUGGCAAUCUUCCCGAAUUGGAGCUGAUGUCGUUAGCAGCAAACAAUCUCCAAGGUAUGAUUAGAAACUUUUUGCAAUUUUUUUCUAGCCUCUGCUUGCUUCUGUAUUCAUUCGUUUGUUCAUUAAUUAUGCUAUGAUUUAUUGUUUUUCUUUCAGAUGGAGAUAAAGCUCCAUGUCUCUCCUCACUCAUUUCAUUUCUUAAUUUAUGCAGAUAAAAAAAAAAUUGUUUUGUAAUUUUCUUUUGUCAUAUUGCCACUUCCGUUUUGAAGCUCCCAAUUAAGUCGAUGAAAAUGAAUGAUGUUUCAUUCUUAUUCUUGUCAGCCUAAUUCUUAUAUAAUUGAAGAGUAAAUUGUUAUUAUGAUAUUCGUCAGCCAAUAAAUUCUUUUUUUUUUCCCCCCAAAUAUGAGUGAUCAAAUUGUUUGCGCAUAUAUAUAUGUACUUAAUUUGCAGGAGGUAUUCCACACGAAUUGGGGAAUCUUGCAAAAUUGGAGAUCUUAGAGCUGUUCGAGAAUAACUUGACCGGUAACUUUCUUUACGAUAUAUAUAUGAGACAUCUUCCGCUUCUUAAUUAAAAGAUUUCAAGUCUCUCAUUAUAAAAUAUAAAUUCUCAUAUGAGGAUGUGUAGUUAUCACUAUCUAACAUUAUUCCGUUUUUUAUUAGAAAUUAGUUUGUGUUAACUCAAAAUUCCAUAGCAUUUAAAAAAAAAUUAAAAACACGUAGAAUAAAUCGUCAAUCUUUCUUCUUUACUGAAUUUGGAUUUCUCAAAAAUUAUCUGCACAAGUAUGGUUCACUAAUGAUAUACAUGUGUGACAACUUCAUAAAAUAUUUCACUAAUUAUCUUUAAAUAAUUGGAGAUACCAUCAGUGAUACAUAAUUUCCUAACAAGCACCAUACCAAAAGAAAUCAACAAUUUUUUUAAUAUUAAAGAGUUACAUCUUCACUGCAAUUAUGGCAUAAUUUUUCAUCUAAAAAAAUUUUUAGUCAUCAAUCGCAUAAUAUUUUAUCUUAACGGUUGAUGUUCAAUCUUGGAAUUUAUAAUAUCUUGAAGGUUAGUAGCUAUUAAAAUUAGAAAUUGUUUAUUUGCUAAAAAGUUAACUUAGUGUUUAAGCUUUUCAAUUGAAAAUUUUGAAACAAAUGUUGAGAACUGGUCCUCCUUAGAAUUUCAGCGGAUAAAUAUGAAAAUAGACUUGAAAAAAAAUUAUUUUACUGAAAUAAUAGUUAAAAAGAGAGGAGAAGUACAGUACUCAUGACUUGGGCUUGCUGUGUCCUUAUUUUAUCUGACUAUUGGUACUAAUAAUAUUUAUAAUUACUUAGUAAAAAUAUAAAUUUAAUACUUUGUUAACAUUUUAUCUACGUAUAAUAAUUAAACUGAAACUUGUAUUUAAAACAUUUGAGUUACGUAUACUCAUUUCAUGACAUAAAAGUGUAUAUUUAUACUAAUUUACCAUUAUCAAUAAAAUGCUUUGAGACAAAUAAUCUAAUUUAUAUUAUUAUAUUUAAAAUACUUGCUUUUAUUAUAUUUUGAAAAAAAAUUAUUUGCAAUUAUUUUAAACCUUUGGAUUCAAUUUUUCUUAGUUAUAAAUGUAAAAUAGUCAAAAACAUAUUUGUAUGAUCAUUUUUCAAUGUAUAAAUUUUCUUGGUUAGUAGGAAAAUUAGAAAUUGUUGAUUUACUCAUAAAUAAAUUUAGUCUUUAGCAUUUCAAUUUUGGAAAACUUGAACUAAUUGUUGAUAACUUCGAAUCGGUCGAGCUUCGCUUCGCUUCCUUGUCCCACGGGCCUAUUGAAAGUUCUAUUUGAAUUGAGCUUCUUUUCAGCGUCACCACAAUUUAUUCACAAAUGAGUUGAUUAGAGUCGAAGUUGCCUGAGAGUCUAAGACCAUGUUAGUAGGAUAAAUUUGAAAAGAAAUUAUUUUACUGAAUUAAUUUAUUUUAUCUUGCUGUAAUUGAAAUACUACUCUUUUUUUUUGGGCUAUCACUGGGGCUUGAUUUACUUUAAGAGUCGCAGCCACCGACUUAGGCUUUUUUACUUCUCACCACACAAUUUGAUCUUUUAAUUCGUUUUAACCACAUAAUCUAUCUAUCUCUUACUUAAAUCGAAUACAUGUUUUACCUACUAAUUUUUACAAAUAUUAAUCAAAUAUAUUUUAUUACAUUUCUCUCGUAACUGCUCUAAAUGUGCACUAUUAAUACUUAACCCUCCCUUUUAAUUUACCGUGCAAUCUAUCUACACUUAAAUCACAUAUAUAUUUUACCUAUAGUUUACCCAAAAAAAAAAUAUAAAAAUAAAAAUAAAAGAAUAUGUGCAGCAAUUUGUAUAUAACUAACAAAGCAUUGAUGGUGUGUAGCCUUUCAAUACUUCAUGAGUGGCUUUUCUUGUGUGUUAGUACUUGUAAUAAUUGUGUAGUGUAUAAAUGACCUUUUAUUACGAAAUUGCGUCUGUUUUUUGAAUUAUUUAUUAUUUGAAAAAUAAUCUAAAUAUAAUUCUAUUAAAAUACAGGGAAGAUACCACUUAAAAUCGGCAAUCUCCGAAAUCUGGAGAAGUUGGACAUUGGUGAUAAUAAAUUAGUUGGUAUUGCCCCAAUCGCAAUCUUCAAUGUGUCAACACUCAAAAUUCUUGGCCUUCAGGACAAUUCUCUCUCGGGAUGUCUUUCGUCCAUUGGAUACGCCCGACUUCCAAAUCUUGAAAUCCUUUCUUUAUGGGGUAAUAAUUUCAGUGGCACAAUUCCUCGUUUCAUCUUUAAUGCUUCUAAGCUCUCUAUACUAGAUUUGGAAGGUAACUCAUUCUCCGGUUUUAUUCCCAACACAUUUGGCAACUUAAGAAACCUUAGUUGGCUGGUUUUAUCUGAUAAUUAUUUGACAUCUUCAACUCAAGAAUUGAGCUUUCUAUCCUCGUUGUCAAAUUGCAAGUUUUUAAAAUAUUUUGACUUAUCAUAUAAUCCAUUAUAUAGAAUUCUUCCAAGGACGACUGUCGGUAAUCUUUCUCAUUCUUUGGAAGAAUUUAAAAUGUCCAAUUGUAACAUUAGUGGUGGCAUCCCUGAAGAGAUAAGCAACUUGACCAACUUGAGAACCAUUUAUUUAGGGGGCAAUAAAUUGAAUGGAUCAAUUCUGAUUACUCUCAGCAAAUUACAAAAGCUUCAAGAUUUGGGUCUUAAAGAUAACAAAUUAGAAGGAUCAAUCCCAUAUGAUAUUUGUAAUUUGGCUGAACUGUAUAGAUUGGAUUUAGAUGGGAAUAAGCUUUCUGGAUCAAUCCCUGCAUGCUUCAGUAAUCUGACUUCUCUGAGGAUAGUGUCGUUGGGUUCCAAUGAGUUAACUUCUAUUCCCUUAACUUUUUGGAACCUUAAGGAUAUCUUGAACCUCAACUUUUCAUCAAAUUUUUUGACUGGCUCACUCCCAUUAGAGAUUGGAAGUUUGAAGGUUUUGGUUGGAAUUGAUUUAUCGAGGAAUAAUUUUUCAGGCGUUAUCCCAACAGAAAUUGGAGGCCUAAAAAAUCUAGAAUAUCUCUUUUUAGGAUAUAAUAGAUUGCAAGGCUCGAUUCCUAAUUCUUUUGGUGAUUUGAUAAGUUUGAAAUUCUUGAAUUUGUCCAAUAAUAAUCUCUCUGGGGUUAUUCCUGCAUCUUUAGAGAAACUCUCAUAUCUUGAAGAUCUAAAUCUUUCUUUCAACCAGCUAGAAGGAAAAAUUCCUAGAGGAGGAUCUUUUGGAAAUUUCUCAGCUCAAUCAUUUGAGGGAAAUGAAUUAUUAUGUGGUUCACCCAAUUUACAAAUCCCGCCAUGCAAAACUAGCAUCCACCACAAAUCAUGGAAAAAAUCUAUUCUCUUAGGGAUUGUCUUGCCAUUGAGUACUACAUUUAUGAUAGUAGUCAUUUUGUUAAUCCUAAGAUAUCGACAAAGGGGAAAACGACCAUCGAAUGAUGCUAAUGGGCCACUAGUAGCAUCAAGGAGAAUGUUUUCAUACCUAGAACUAUGUCGAGCAACAGAUGGAUUCAGUGAAAACAAUCUAAUCGGCAGAGGAGGGUUUGGCUCUGUUUAUAAGGCAAGCCUUGGGGACGGGAUGGAGGUUGCAGUGAAGGUCUUCACUUCGCAAUGUGGAAGAGCAUUUAAGAGUUUCGAUGUUGAAUGUGAAAUCAUGAAAAGUAUUCGCCAUCGAAACCUUAUCAAAGUUAUUAGCAGUUGUUCAAAUGAAGAGUUUAAAGCAUUGGUAUUAGAAUACAUGCCUCAUGGAAGUUUGGAGAAGUACUUGUAUUCAAG
rnacentral:lncRNA from 1 species